AACGAUGCUAUAAUAACACAACAUAAGCCAUAUAUAAUAAUUCAAGCACGUUUAAAGGAAGUGAGGUUCCUUAAGUGCUUCAAUGGCUGAUCCGACACAGCAGCUUCAUAAUUGUUAGAAGAUGAACCUUCUUUGGCAGAAAGAGUGAGGUGGUAGUUGGUCCCUGCAACAACCUGUGAUUCACCUUUGAUAAGUUUCUCAAACUCCAAUGUUGCUCCUUUUUGCUUGUUGUACUCGACAAGUGACAACUGCGAAACGGGCUAUUUCAAUCGCAUAUGGAUCAGUGAUGUUCUUUAUGGGAGUCCAACUGCCUGGUAUAGCUUGAUUCAGAGUGGCCGAAGCAAACAAAAUAAGGAAGAGGAGACUAAGGGAUUGAAAUCUCAUGAUGUUUGUUUGGUAUUUUUUCAAGCGAAAUCAAGAUGGUAUGAGUUAGACUCUGUAGACUGGAAGAGUAAUUAUAUAUAAUGUACAAAAGUUAUGCCAUGUUUGGUGAUAGACUUUUUUAUUCAUUGAAAUAAAUCAAAAAUUUCAUUUGAUUUUAUUUCAUGAAAAUAAAAUAAAUUUCUUUUUUGACCAAAUAAAUAAAAUCUCUUUAAUAAUAUAUAAUAUUUAAUAAACCUACAAUUAGUUUAAUAGAAAAGUAUGGUCAAAAAUAUUAUAUUUAAUGUCAUUCAAGGAAAAUGUUGUCAAAAUAAAUAAAAUCUCUUUAAUAAUAUAUAAUAUUUAAUAAACCUACAAUUAGUUUAAUAGAAAAGUAUGGUCAAAAAUAUUAUAUUUAAUGUCAUUCAAGGAAAAUGUUGUCAAAAGUAUUAUAAAUAAUAUUAUUCUAAAAAAUGUCAUACAAUGUUUCUGUUUUUUUAUAUAUUUAUUUAUAUAAAACAUUUGAAUAAUAGGUUGUUCUAUGUUUUUUAUUUUAUCUUAAUAAAUGAUAAAUAUUUUUUUUUCAAUUUUUUAAGUAAUAAUGAUAAAUAUUUGUCUCCUAUAUUUUAUAAUAUUUGACAUGCACUUCCUUUCUUUGUCUCAAUGAAAUAUUUAUUCCUUGUUUAAGUUAAUAUUUAUUAGUGACAAGAUAUUUGUUCUGUGUCUUUUAAUUUAUUAGUACAAAUUAUAUAAUUCUAAAAAAAAUGAACAAUUAUUUUUUUUAUAAUAAAAUAAAUAAUCAAUAUUUAUUACUAAUAAAUUACAAAAUAGGAAACAAAAAGUUAUCAUUCAUGUAUAAAAAAGUGCAAGACAGUCAUUUUUCGUUAAUAUAAAAAAAAAUAGGACACAAAUAUUUAUUGUUGAUGCACAAAUUAAUUAAUAAAAUGUAAGUUUAAGAAAAGGAAACAUGUUUUUAACCUAUAGGUGAAAAUUGAAGACUAUAUCAUCAUAUAAAUAACCCGGUUUAAAUUUCUUUGACCCAUAAAAAAAACAAUGUAAAAAUAAAGGGAAUAUAAACCAUUAAAUUAAAGAUGUGUGUGACUGAAAUGGAGGAGGGUCUCCUUACCUUUUGUUGGUGCACAAGAUCAAGUCCAAGCUCAAAAGACAAACCACAUGAUCCAUGAGUACCAAAGACCAAGAACUAAGGUUUUGCGCAUAAGUAAAUACCAUGAUUGUAAUAUUUAUGAACCAUGGUCCCAAGAAAAAAGAAUUAAGGUUUCACCCCUUGAUUCCAUAUUGACAGUACCACCACAAUCUCUAGGGCUUGAUCCUCAAGCAAACCCUAGCUUUUGUCAGGUAUAAAUAACCACAAACUUUGAAUCUAUAAUGUAUGUUUGAGAGUGCUAACAUGAAUGAAUUAUGCAUAUGUAUUUGGUAUGAAUGAGUACAGAUGAAUCUCAAAUCAAAAGUCAAAUGAAAAGUAAAAAGGGGAGGGGAAAUUUUGGGGUAUGACAGCUUCCCCUAUUUAAUCAUCUUAAACCUGAAUGCGCGAAUUGCGAUAGCUUUUCGGGUAUUCAAGGUAGAAGAGGAUUAAAUAUCAAAAUAUUCAAAAAAAAGUCCCGUUGAGAAUGGUUGUAAUGUGAGAAGGUAAGUGUAUUGGGAAUAUCGAAUGAUAGGUAGACUUUUGUAGGUUCAUCUGAUGGGGAUUGACUGAAAUACUCUGUUGGGGAAAUAUAUCAGUCGCAAAGGAAAAACAUGAUAUGCGUGCUAUAUGCAAAGUAUGUUUAAUUUUUCAUAAUGCAUGAAAUUAUGUAUGCUAUAUAGAAAUAUGGGUUAUUUUAUGAUAGAUGAAUGAUAUUCACAAGGUUAAAAAAUUUCUGGUGUAAAGUAGACUUUGACUCACCGAUAGCCGCACCAAAGAACGUGUAAUGAAGGAAUGCUUUACGUUACCAUCACUGCUGGAUAUUUUCACUUGAUCCUGCUGGGGAGGAAAGUGUGUGAUCUAACCGGGAAUUCAUUGAGAUGCUCUUGUAUAUCAAGCACUUUCCAGGUAAUCAAAGCAACACACAAAUCUUUGCUUGUUCGUUUUCAAGGCUUCAUGCUAUGAGAGAAGCGACAUGAUUCCACAUGGUGAUGAAUUAUGCAAUUGUUAACCAGAUGCUCUUGUGGCGGGAGGUGGGAGCUUUAAGGCUAGGAUAAAGGUCAUAAAGAUGUGAUUCUCCGGCACUAACUUCAGGCUCAACAGUUGUUGUCACACCUCUGCGCUGUUUUGAAAUAGCGAGAGAACUUAUUCCUUAGUAGCCUACCUCUUCCCUAGUCUGUAGGGUGUCGGCAUGAAUUUGCCCUAUCAUAAAUUAUGAAGCAGACUUGUUAUGGGAAGAUCUUGAUCUGGCUUUCCCUAAUGUCUAGAAAUUGUAUCUCCUUGAUCAACCAUUUCCGGGAGUGUUUGACUUCUCGUGCUCAUGAGGUGGCAUGUCUCAUUAUGAGCCUUGAAGUGACUUUGUCCCUAGUUGGCUAAGCUUGGAGAGAUUUGUCUUCUCAAUGUGAUUGCCUCAGAUUGACUGAGUCUUGAAAUGGUCUUCCCUUCUUGUCAAGGGAAUGUUCAGGCGUUUUUCCCUUUGGUAUGAUCAAACUUCCCAUUAUGGAAAUUUUCUUGAUGUCAAAUGCUUGUUCGUAAGUAAAAAUGUUUAUUUUUCAAAUGAUAAUUCUAACGUUAUGUUUAUGUCAGUUUUGAAAUCCAAAUAUGGUCACUAAAAUUAUGACAUAUAAUGAAUGAAUCAUUAAUUAAUAUGUCAUAUCAAUACCAACAUAAAUGAUAAGUAAAUCUUUAAGAGUCAGUUUUACAUGAUCCUAAUGUAGUAUGCUUUUCGAAAUAAAUCCCUCUUAAAUUAGGUCUUUUGAGGGUUGUGAUGUGGUCUGGUUCACGGUUUCAGAAGUAAAGGAUAUAAGGCUCAAAACCUAUUCUAGCCCGCCCAUUCUCCUUGUGUUCUCCAGUCCUACGUUCAGCUAGCUCACACAAACGCUCAUUUUUCAAAAUGGAUUUUGAAUAGUAGAUGUGAUGGUUAAGGAACCCAUGAGAUUUUGAGAGUGACAAUCACCCACCUUUUACUUUUUCUUGUAUCCACACAAACUUUAUCUUACCGAGGAUUCUUGAUUCCUCUUUGUUUUUUCUUUUUUUUUUUGCUUUCCCUUAUUUUUGUCAGGACUAAUCCCUUUUUAAUCUUGCAGUCCAUCGGGAUGCCCUAAUUUUCUCCUAAGUCACUUAUUUUCAAGUUUUCGACUUAGCAGACUUUUCUUUUGCUUUUGAUUUCUUUGCAUUUCUCAUUUUUCUCUUCUCUUUUAAGAAAAAAUUCCAUGACAUUUGCUUGAUUUGUUGAAAGGGUUGUGACUGCCUCGCUCCUUUUGUUGUAAGGGACAACCAAUGAGGAUACUGCCGAUUCAAUCCUCGCCUGAGGGAUAUUAUGUGGUUGAUCCUUAGAUGGGAUACUCUCCUUUUUGAAAUUUGAAUGAACGGUCAACUACCUGAAGAUUACCUACCCCCAUUUAAGACUGAGGAUUUUAUGUAAAAAAAAAAACUCCUACUCCAAGGCCCAAAACGUUGAGUAGGGAUUAUCUUCCUUAUAUCUCUGGUGUUGAGGGAUUUGAAACAAUGUCUUACAUCGUCAAUAAGGUUUUAUUCAAAAGAAUACAACCAGUAGUCUCGUGUACUUUGAUUUCAUCAUUCUCUUUUCAUUUUUCUUAAACAAAAGUAUGAUAUUGAAAAAAAAAUGAGUGAACACGAAUGGAUUGAUUCAAAACAUGCAUAUUCAAUUCAUUAUGAUUAUUAUUAAAAAACAAACGAGUUUUUACAAGUGGAUAUUACAUUGACAAACAAGAAAAACUACAGAUGAAAAUGAAUGACAAAAUGAUCUUCGACGUUGAUCAGUCACCAUUUGUGCUAGAAUUUUCAUCAGUUAUACGUCAAGAAACCAGGUAAACUGUAGAAGUUUCAGCUUAAUUCUGGGUAAUUCGAGACAGUUUGUGUCUUAAUAGUAUUUUCUUGGUUUUAGUUUAUGUUAUCUAUUUUUUCGCUUUUGGUAUGACUGGCAUGUUGGAUGCAUGUAUAAAGGUACAAGGAAUCAAGGAUCAGACGCAGGACAGGGCCAGAACAAGGAUUCAAAGAAAAAAAGAAGAAAAAGUGCAAGCAUUUGCCAUACGCGUAUGUAGUCAUGUAAUACGCGUACGGACCCGCAUUGUACGUGCACCUUACAAUUUCUACUAGAAAGGAGAAAAAACUUGUUUGAUACCCUUACGCAUAAGAACAUAGGUGUUAUGCGUAUGGCCAUGAUUGUUACUCGUACGAUACGAGUUUCACCAGGAAGAAGAACAAAACAAGCUUUUGUCCAUAUGCAUAUCGUACGUGUAAGGGCAUGCUUGAGAGGCCACUAUAUUGGCGUACACGUAAUGUACGUCUGUAAGGAAUAAGGCAAUACGUGUAUAACACUAGUCAUUACACGUUUUGAAGCCCAAAUAUUCAGAAAGCCCAAAUUUUGAGUAUUUAGCUCCUGAACGCGAUUUUACAAGGGUUGGGCGAUUUUACUGAGAAAAAACACGUUCUAAGGCUGAAGAACUCAGAUUUUCAAGGUGGAUUCAGAUUUUCAAGAGCUUUCUGCGAUUGAAGACCAAUUCAUCUAAGAUUUCUGUAAUGAUAACAAUCUUUACCAUGUUUUCUUUUCUUUUUUAUGAGUAGCUAAACCCCUUAUUGCUAUGGGUGUCCCUAAUUCAUACUUGUCUUACUUUAUGCAAUAAUAAUAAUUUUUAUUAUAAUUGAUUUGUUCUCAUGAAUGUUCUAAUUUCUUUAUCUGUCGAACAAACGGAGUUUGAUGUAUGUGAAAUAAUUAGGCGGACCGCCAUUAUUCAUGAUCUGCUUGAGAAUAUAUCAUAGUAGAUGUCACCUAGGACUAGGGAUACCCUAUAAUAACUGGAUUAUUCUUGAUAUAAUAAUGCUUAAUUUCAUCUAUAAUUUUCUAUGGACAUAGUAAUUAGGUUGAAUGAUUAAAGGUUUUCUCACUAAGGACUUAGGAGUAAACAUCCUUAAGAACCGGUAGUCAAUUAUAUAAAAGUUGUUGUUGCACUGUUAGUUCGGAAUCGUUACAUGAUUGAAUCAUACACCUUCCCUUGCAUACUACUCAUAUUUGUCUUAAUUGUUCAAGUAUUUUAUUUACUUUAUUCACUAUUGCUUUUCUAAUUUCAUCAAAACAAUACCAAAACACCCAAUCUUUUGUUUAAUUGAAAUUAAUCCAGAACUUUGUAUCUUCAAGUAGUCCUUGAGAUCGAUACUAGGGAUUUACCCUUUUUAUUACUACAUUGGCAUAUUAGUACACUUGCUAAUUUACUGAUCAAGUUUUUCGCACCAUUGUCGGGGACUGCCAAAGAGUAUAGAGUUCAUAGAUCUAUUUCAGUUAAAAUUGUGUUGCUUUGCAACUAAAAUUUAAAAUUUCAGUUUAUUUAUUUAUUUAUUUAUUAUUUUUUAUUAUUUUUUGUGGCUAUUGUUGGGUUAUAACUAAUAUUUGUAUGUGAGGAAAGCCCUCAACUGAUUUUACUUUUGAAGCAAGGUUGGUCGCCUCUGAAGCAUAAAUUUCUGAAUACUCAGAUACAUAAUCCCACAGAGAAAGAGAAGAUCCAAUUAUGUAUGAACCAUAAGAAAGACUUCUUGGGGAUUAUGGAGGAGAAAAUUCCCCAUUGGUAUGUUUAACUAUAGCGAAUCAACUACUGAAUGUUCCAAAUUUUCCGUUGUACCCAACAACCAUUCGUCAGCUUGAGAAAAGGCCUUUCGCAUGGAAAAACAAUGAAGAUGAAAAUAAACAUCUACAAAGGUUUCUUACUAUGAGCACUACUUUGAAUAUUGAGGGGAACACUGAAGAAGCAAAAAAAUUGAGAAUGUUCCCAUUCACUUUAGCUGAAGACGCCGAAGAAUGGUAUUAUUCAUUGCUAGCUGGAAGUAUUACUACAUGGGAACAGAUGGAAACAACUUUUCUAAAUGAGUACUUUCCGGAUUCUGUUUAUAAAGAUAAGAUAUUGUGAAUUUUAAGCAGAAAGAAGGGGAAUCAAUGGGUGAUGCAUAUAAGAGAUUUAAAAGGUUAUUGGUUGCUUGUCCCACUCACAACUUGGAUCAGACUGAAUAGAUGAAAAUGUUUGUUAACGACCUCAGAUUGAAGACUAAGAAACUUAUUGAUACAUCUUUCGGUGGCUCGGCCAACUUUACAACAUCCAUUGUUAUCAAGAAGAUAAUAGAAGCCAUUGCUGCAAAUGAACAUCUAGAGUUAUAUGACCGAAGUGUGAGUAAACUAGAAGGUGUGAUUGAUUUAAAAGUUGUAAAUCAGAUUGUGAAGAUGGAAUACCAAGUUGUUGUUGAAGUUGGGAGAAGACUUAAGGCUAUGAAUAUAGGUAUUCAACAAGUAUCCCAAUUCAACCUGUUCCAGCAGUUGAUUGUGAGAUUUGUGGAGGACCCCAUUUUCCCAUGCAUUGUGUUGCAACUACACAAUAAAUUAAGGAAAUAUUUUUUUUGAAGCAGGACAACCCAUAUUGUAACACAUAUAAUUCGGGCUGGAAGAACCAUCCAAAUUUCUCCUGGAAAGAUCAGCAAGGGAAUGUUCAAAAGCAGGGUCUUACUCAGUAUCAAAAUCAACCCCAUCAAUAUCAGAAUACACAACACCAACAACAGUAUCGACCACAGCAACAACAACAGUAUCGACCACAGUACCAACCACAACAACAACAAUAUCAAGAACAAGCACCCAAAAUGGCCGAUUGGGAAAUUUCCAUUGAAAAGAUGGUAGCUCAAAGUUCCCAGUUCCAAGAAGAAACAAGAAACAAUCAGAGAAACACUACGACUUCUAUAAAAAAUCUGGAGGUUCAGAUGGGUCAGAUAGCACAACAAAUAGCAGGUUCUCAAGCACAAGAUUCCCUACCUAGUGCAAGUAUGACAACCCCGAGAGACCAUAAUAAUGUUAGUGUAGUGACAACAAGAAGUGGGAAAUCACUUGAAGUGUCUGAAGACAAAUCAAAGGAAGAGGACCAAUUGUUUGAAGUGGAGCUAGAAAUCAAAGAAAACCAGACUACUAUAGAGGAAAAGGUCACACCAAAAUAGGUUGUAAAAUAAAAACCCACAUAACAAAAACCAAUCAUCAAACUACCAUUUCCUACAAGGAACGGGAAGAAGGACCAAAAUGAGAAAAAAUUGAGAAGAUCCUAGAGAUGUUUAGAAAGCUAGAAAUCAACAUUCCAUUCUCUGAGGCACUUAAGUUGAUGCCCAUAUAUGCAAAUUUCAUGAAGGAUAUUAUCUCAAAGAAAUGCAUGAUUGAAACUGAACCUAUAUUGCUAACUAAAACUUGUAGUUUUAUUUUGCAGGGUAUGAAGAUCCCAUUCAAAAAUAAAGAUAGAGGUUUUGUCACUAUUCCAUGCACCAUUGGGGAUAAAUCAUUCAAAAGGCACUUAUUGAUUUAAGAGCUAGUGUGAGCCUUAUGCCUUUAUCCAUAUACAUGAAGCUGGGAAUAGGAACGGUACAUGAUACCAGGAUGACACUCCAGUUUGUAGAUCAUUCAAUAAAGAGACCUUAUAGUGUAGUUAAAGAUGUUCUGAUUAAGAUAGAUAAAUUUGUGUUCCAUGUUGAUUUUGUGAUCCUUGAGAUGUCGGAGGAUGAAGAGAACCAUUUGGUUAUGGGAAGACCUUUCCUAGAAAUAGGGAGAUGUAUGAUAGACAUUAAGGAAGGAACCAUGACCCUCAAAGUUUAUGAUGAAGAGCUAAAGAUUGAUGUGGGAAGUAUCAUGAGACACAAAGAAGACGUGGGGAAAAGUAAUGCAGUGGAGGUGAUAGAUAAAAUGGUAAUAAAAAAUAUUCAAAGCCAAGUCCAUAUGUUACCUUUGAAAAGAGUUCUUAGCUUGUCCGCCCAGGAAAUAGAGGAUAAUAAGGAUGAAAGAGAGAGGGAAGUUCUAGCCAUGUUAGAGGUAUAACCACCGUGGUUGAGAUCCAAACCACAACGGUGGGAAUAUUUAAGAGCUCCACAAGGAGUUGAGACUAAAAAGGAAGUUAAAAUAGAUACAGGUGCAUAACUUAAACAAUUAACUAAAAAUAUCAAAUAUGUCUUUCUGGAUUCUGAAAAUAAUUUUCUUGCAAUAAUAAGUUAUGGGUUGCAAGCAAAAGAAGAGGAAAAAUUGGUACAUGUGUUGAAGAAAUACAAAAGUGUUAUGGGAUGGACCAUUGGAUACUUGAAAGGGAUUAUCCAUAUAGUAUGCAUGCAUAAAAUACUGAUGGAGGAUAAUCACAAACCAGUGGUACAACCCCAAAGAAGGAUGAAUCCAGCACUGAAGGAGGUUGUGAGAAAAGAAGUGGUGAAGUUAUUGAAUGCAUGGUUAAUCUACCAUAUUUCUGACAGUUCAUGGGCGAGUCCAAUACAUGUGGUACCAAAGAAGGGAGGAAUAACGAUGAUUCUAAAUGAGAAAAAUGAAUUGAUUCCCUCUCGCAUAGUAAUAGGAUGGAGAAUGUGUAUUGAUUACAGGAGGCUCAACAUCGCAACAAGGAAAUAUUACUUUCCUCUUCCUUUUAUUGACCAUAUGUUAAAGAGACUUGCAGGUCAUGAAUACUACUGCAUUUUAGAUGGAUAUUCAGGGUAUAACCAGAUUGUUGUAUCCCCGGAAGAUCGGGAGAAGACAACGUUCACAUGUCCUUAUGGUAUUUUUUCCUAUAGGAGGAUGCCAUUUGGGUUGUGCAAUGCCCCUGCUACUUUUCAGAGAUGUAUAUUUAACGAUAUGCUUGAAAAGCACAUGAAGGUGUUUAUGGAUGAUUUUUCUAUAUUUGGAUCCUCUUUUGAUCACUAUUUAACUAAGUUAUCUCAGGUUUUGGAAAGGUUCCAGGAAACUAACCUUAUUCUUAAUUAGGGAAAAAUUACAUUUCAUGGUACAUAAAGGUAUAAUGAUGGGUGAUAAAAUCUCCCACAAGGGGAUAGAAGUUGACAAAGCGAAAGUGAAAGUAAUUGCUAAUAUCCCACCACUAGUAAAUGAAAAGGGGAUAAAGAGUUUCUUAGGACAUGCAGGUUUCUAUCCUAGGUUCAUAAGAUAUUUUUCCAAAAUUGUUAAGCCUUUGACAAAUAUGCUUGUUAAAGACAGGUCUUUCACUUUUGACUAUGAGUGUAGGGUGGCAUUUGAGACCUUAAAGAGUAAGUCGGUAUCUGCACCCAUCGUGAUAGCCCCAAAUUGGUCUCUACCUUGUGAAGUCACGCCCCUUCAGAUAUAUGUUUUGAUGAAGUAAACUAAUAUGCAUGUGUAUCAAGAAAGGAUGAGCAAAAGAUUAAGAAGGUUGUGAAUCAUGAUUUCUACUUCAUGAAGAUUAGCUUUGUUUGAUUGAUCUUCAUAUUUUAUUGGUACAAGUUUCAAUUCAAGCCUUGAUAUAUUUUAAGUGCUCAAAAUUAUCUACAUUUUCAUACAUAUGCACAACAAUCAUUUUAUCACAUUGCCAUUAGUUUAAAACAAGUUUAAACAAUUAUUUUUCACUUUUUUCUUCAGUAUAACCGGUUACAUGAGCAAGGUAACCAGUUACAUGAACUUUGGCAGAACUGGAUUUUAAUGUUUUUUACAAUUUUUAAGUGAGGUAACCAGUUACAUCACUGAGGUAACCGGUUACAUGGACAUAUUUUUUGAAUUUUUUUAAAAUUACAAUGAGGUAACCGGUUACAUCCCUGAGGUAACCGGUUACAUCGCUGAACCAUUGCCUUUUUCAGUGCAAAACAUUUUUAAACGUUUUCAGCUUUUACACCAUUAAACCAUUGUAUUGUUUGAUCAAUUCCUACUCUUUGAAAAUGGUGUAAUUCUCCUAUAAAUACUCUAAUCUUUCAGAUUUCAAAUCACCUCUUUCAUUUGCAAUUUCAAAUCAUUUAUUAUCUCAAUUUUUAAACAAGUGUUUUGACAUUAACAUUUUCAUUGAUAUUUUUCUGCACACUUUAUCAAAUCUGUCCAGAAAAGUUUCAGCAUUAUUCGUAUACUUUUGAGCACUUGUAUAUCUUGGUAAAUUUCUUACUUGAAAGAGAAGAUCAAUCAUAGUGAUAUAUAUAUAUAUAUAUAUAUAUAUAUAUAUAUAUAUUCAAACACUUUCUUUACUCAAUAUUUUUCCAGAUUUGGUUGUAUAUCCUUGUUGUCUAGGAUUUUGUAUAUCUUGGUAAAUUUCUUACUUGAAAGAGAAGAUCAAUCAUAGUGAUAUAUAUAUAUAUAUAUAUAUAUAUAUAUAUAUAUAUAUUCAAACACUUUCUUUACUCAAUAUUUUUCCAGAUUUGGUUGUAUAUCCUUGUUGUCUAGGAUUGUUGAAAGCAAGAGAGUCAUUAAGAGGGGAUUGUUCUCAUAGUAGACUUAUUAAAAAAAUCCAAGAGGAUUGUUCUUGGUGGUUUGUUAGAGUCGUUUGAAAGUCCUAAUAAUAGUAAAAUCUCUUUCAUGUUGAAAGGGGAAUGAUGUACUCUCGAUCUGUGAGGGGAACCAGGAUAUCUCUCUGUAUUCUUUAUCUUUUCAGCAUUUACCGUGUGCAUCACAUAGUAAUCUCUAAGGAAAGAUUCUUAAAACAAGUCAAAAGCGAAAAAAGUUUCAUCGUACCUAAUUCACCCCCCUCUUAGGUGCACACUCAACUUACAUUUGGUAUCAAAGCGGGUUAUUGGUAACUUGCUCCUUAGAUCCAAAAGAUGGCUUCCGCAAGCGCAAACCCGAUUUUCAAAGAUGGUGGUAGUAGCAAUAAACCCCCUCUAUUUUCUGUAGAAUAGUUUGACUUCUGGAAAAUCCGCAUGAAUGCAUAUUUAGAAGCACAAGGAGAUGGUAUAUGGGAAAUUGUUGAAAAUGGUACGCAUAGUCCAAUUAGUGUGGUCAAUGGUGUUGGCACUCCUAAGGUUAAAAGUUCCUAUGAUGAAAAUGAUAAGAAAAGAAUACUCAAUGAGAAGAAAGCUAUCAAUAUUCUUCAAAGUGAAUUAAUUAUGGAUGAGUUCUUUCAUAUAUCUCAAUGUAAAUUGGUAAAAGAAAUAUGGGACACUUUGGUGGAGACUCACGAAGGAACCGCUGAAGUUAAAAGUUCCAAAUUAAACACAUUGAGUCAAGAAUAUGAAAUAUUCAGAAUGCAGCCCGGAGAAUCCAUUGUUGCAUUACAGAAAAGAUUUAUUCACUUGAAGAAUCAUUUAAUUGCUCUCGGAAAGACCUUUACAAAUUAUGAUCUCAACCUUAAAGUGCUAAGAUCCUUGACUAGAGAAUGACAACCAAAAGUAACGGCUAUAUCGGAAAAGAAAAGUAUUUCUACCAUGACGUCUGCAUCAUUAUUCGAAAAACUCCAAGAACAAGAACUUGAACUUAGAAGACUUGAAAAGAAUGAAAUUCAAGAGAAGAAAUACAAAGGCAUUGCUUUGGAAGUAGACUCAAAGGAAGAUAAAGAUGAUGUCGUACCAGAGGAAGAUGAAAAUUUCAUGCUCCUUGUCAAAAGGCUUGGUAAGUUUUUUGGUAAAAAUGAUAAAUCCUUUUAUGCAAAAACAAAUAAACAUCUGCACAAAAUGUCACAUGCAAUGAUGUGGAAAGCAGGGUCAUAUAAAGCAGGAUUGUCCGAAACUCUCCAAGAAAGGUGGCUUCAAAGGCAAGAAGGAAUUCAAGAAUAAAAAGGUGUAUGUUGCAUGGGAAGAUAAUGAGAUAAGUUUAUCAUCUGAGUCAGAAAGCGAGGAAUGUGCAAAUUUAGCAUUAAUGGCUUCACACCAUUCUGAUGAUGUAGAAGAUAAGGUUAGUAACGAAUUUUCUCUUUAUAAUAGUGAUGCACAAGUUGUUAUAAACGAACUUCUUAAAGAAUGCAAUUUUUUUAUAUAAAACAAUAUCAUCACAAAACAAACUAAUUUCAUCUCUAGAAGAAAAAGUCGUGACAAUGGAAAAAGAUGUCGAUGAUUGUUGUACCCCAAAAUUUACCCUCCCUUUUUCUAGUUUUCCAUUCAACCACUUGACUUGGGGAUCAUUUGAAUACAUUCAUAAUUCAUUCAUAUGCAUAAUUCCUCCACUAGUGGAUUAUCAUGGAUCCAAAACUUUUGGCUUGUGAAGCUAGGAUUUGUGUGGAGAUCAAGUGUCAAAAGCAUGGUCUGACUAUCGCAUCCAGCAUACGAGAUGUGAAACCCUAAUUGUUUGGUGGUGGAGGCAUGGAUUCAACAAGGGGUUGUCCAGGAAAUCCUCAGGGGUCUUCAAAACCAUAAUUCCUCAAGAUAUGAUGAUGGGAUCCUAUGGAGCGUAUGAGACAUAUUAUCUACUACCGUUAUAUGGGUAAAAAUGUACGAAUCCUACUCGACUGAGGAAGAAAAAGACUUCAACUGAAGAGUGCAUGAGACAUAUUAUCUACUACCGUUAUAUGGGUAAAAAUGUAGAUAACAUACUCGCAUGGAAGAUUAUCCACAACCGGUUACUGGGUUAAUAAAGGAUAAAUCGACCAAAAAGAAAGGACAUCGGGAUACCAGUUAUUGGGUAUAAAAUGAUGACCAAUCAGAAUGGAGAAACAAUCAUUACCAAACAAGGGUAAAUGAAAGAUGACUCGCUAGGGAUAAAUUGCCUGACAAAAGCAAUUAUCCAAGAGAUAUAUCACCGGUUAUUGGGUGAUACACUCAAAACGAAGGAAUAUCAAUAUCGGUUACUGGGUAAAGAUAACCAACAAAGAGGGGAUUAUAUCUACCGGUUACUGGGUAGAAAACCAUAGAAAUAGGAUUUACAACUACAGGUUACUAGGUAGAAGGCCACAAAAUCUGCUGGGGAAAGGAUGAACAACUACUGGUUACUGAGCAAUUGAACAACUAAACCACAGGGAACUGCAGGGGAUAACAAGAAAGGAAAUAAAUCUAGGAACAAACUAGAAAGACGCAAUCAAACAAGACUCAACCCGAUGAGGAUAUAACUCAGGGGAGUAAUUCCAUCCCGAUACACAACUGGGGAGGAAACUAAAACAAUAACCAUCCACGAGGACAUAACUCAGUGGAGAAGAAAGAAGGAAAGAUAAACACUUUCUGCCUAUGGGGCUGACUCUAUAUGGAGAGAUCAGACACAAACAUCUGCUUGGGGAAGAACACUUCACUAAUAGCAGGAGAUAACAAGCAAAGAUAUAUGGCAAAGAAUGCAUCAUGAAUAUCUGAAUGCUAUGAUUAUGCAUGUAUAUGCAUGAUUUGUGUAUGAUUAAUGCUGACAAACAGACAUAUCUAACACAAACAAGUCCAAGAAUCACGAACAGACACUCGGCAAACGUCUCGACAAGAAGGGCGAAGCCUACUGGAGAACUCAUCUUGGGAACAACCCGAGAAGGAUGAAAAUAAAUCAUCAGGGAUAUCAAACCCUAUCCCAAAGCUACACUCGCUGAGGAUACAAAGAAGAUGUAUUCAGGAGCAGCGAAAGAAGAUGAUCAAACAGAGAGCUCAACUCUGAUGGGGAUCAUCUUUGGAAUAAGAAUGAACAAGGGAAGACUUUAACCAUAGCUGGGAAUAAGCAAAGUCAAAGCUUCCAAUUGUAGGAAACAAAACUCCGCACAGGAGAAAUCUCCUAGGGGCAAACAAUCCUGACAAAAGGAAGAUGCAAAAGAAUUUGCCGGGGAGUUUCCAUCAACUCUCUUGGGGACAGGUGGUUAAAACAAAAUAAAAUCCUCCGAAGAAGAAACUCUAUUGGGGAAGCUUAUCAAGGAAUGAUGUAAAACUCUGUGGGGAACAACCACCAACCGGAUGUACACCAAUCAAAACACUCCUUUCUACCUGCCGGAGAGGCAACUCUGCAAAGGGGGAUAAUAGUAUUUUACUCUACUGGAGAAGGAAGUAAACACCUUCACCACCUGCUCUCUAUGCUAGAAGAAAUCUUCAGACUCGGAGGAGAUACAAAUAUCAAACUUUGAUCUGGAAACCCUAAUGGGGACACGUUGUAAAUGCUCUCGAGGAAACCAUCCUGGCUGGAGAAAACGGAAAUGAAUCCUUCAUCCACAAGAGACAUACCGGGGAUACUUCUUUUCAAAAUGAGAUGGGAAAUAAGCCCUUCAUCAACUGGCGACUUUACUGGGGAAACAAUUAUCACAUGCUUACUCCCCUGGAGAUUCCUACUCAGGCUGGGGAAAAACGACCUUCCUUGUGAGUAGAAAGUCAGGAUAGUGAGACAAGGAAUAUUCUCCACUCAAAGCAAUAUCAACUUUUAUCAAUCUAUAAGGGAUUUUAGGUCAGUCCACACAAGGGAUGACAACCAUACAAUAGAUAAAACACAAACGCUAGUGUCAGACUCUUUGGGAAACUGAUGAUGUAUUAUUCUUUCUGCGCUCGCUGGGGAGACAACUUGAACACCGAUGAAGAGGAUAUAAGAAUGCCAGAAUAUGAACAGAUGUCUUACCCUUUGGUGAUCAUACUAUCCUUGGGAAAGCACUAAGGACAUCCCACUUAUCCUUUCAAUCAUUGUGAAUGUUUAUUUUGUUUAAAACAAUUUAUUUAUGAAAAUUUUAUUUGUUUAAAACAAUGAUAUUUAUCAAUUACUCACAUGCAAACAUUUGUUAAACAGAAACAAAUAAGAGUGCAAAGAAUUGGAUAAAGGCUCAAAUUUAUUUAAGAGAAUGGUAGUCCGCAAAUGGCAAGACUCCAUGGAUCUUUACAAAUUUGAAGUUGGUGAUAUACAUGGAAAAAGGGCUACACUGAACAUAAUGAUCGUUUCUCCAUCAACUCGGAAUCCACGGUAUUCGAAAUUUCGGUUGAUGACGAUUGAGCGAGAAUCUUUGACAGAUGACAGUUGUAGAACAAAGUCUUGUCAGGAUGCAGUUACUUGCCAAAUCCCUAAAUUUUUUCCCCUAAAUUGCCCCAGAGUGAGGUACUCAAUCUAGCGGGAUAUAUAUAUUCAUUUUUCAUGUCUCUAACUUUUUCCUGGAUCGACCUUUCGGGUUUUCAAUCCACCGAGAUGCUCAUUUUUGCCUAAGCCGCCCUUUCGGGUUUUCAACUUAGCGAGCUAUUCUGUUUUUAUUUUUAGGCGAAGUAUUUCUUGACUACAUCUGAAUUCACAUGACGAGUGAAAUCCUCCCCAUCCAUAGUUGUGAGCAACAGAGCAUCACCUGAAAAGGCUCUCUUAACAACGUAUGGACCUUCAUAGUUUGGAGUCCACUUGCCCCUGGAAUCGGACGCGAAAGACAAGACUUUCUUGAGCACGAGGUCACCUUCUCGGAACACGCGAGGCUUGACCUUCUUAUCAAAGGCUUCCUUCAUCCUUUGUUGAUAUAACUGAACAUGGCACAUGGCAGUUAACCUCUUCUCUUCAAUCAAAUUCAGCUGGUCAUAACGAGGCUGAACCCAUUCAGCCUCAGUCAACUUGGUUUCCAUCAAGACUCUCAUUGAUGGGAUCUCGACCUCUACGGGGAACACAACCUUCAUGUCGUACACAAGGGAGAAAGGGGUUGCCCCUGUUGAAGUGCGGACGGAUGUACGAUAGCCAUGCAAAGCAAAUGGCAGCAUCUCAUGCCAAUCUUUGUAAGUAACAACCAUCUUCUGAAUAAUCUUCUUGAUGUUCUUGUUAGCAGCUUCAACAACCCCAUUCAUCUUGGGUCUAUAGGGAGAAGAAUUAUGAUGCGUAAUCUUGAACUCACUACACAGCUCUUUCAUCAUCUUAUUGUUUAAGUUGGAUCCAUUAUCAAUAAUGAUUCGGUCUGGCACACCAUAUCGGCAUAUGAGUUGGUUCUUGUUAACCUCACAACCACCUGCCUGGUCACAUUUGCAUACGAUGCCGCUUCAACCCACUUGGUGAAGUAAUCAAUGGCUACGAGAAUAAAACGGUGACCGUUCGACGCCUUAGGUUCAAUCAUGCCAAUCAUGUCUACGAUGCCGCUUCAACCCACUUGGUGAAGUAAUCAAUGGCUACGAGAAUAAAACGGUGACCGUUCGACGCCUUAGGUUCAAUCAUGCCAAUCAUGUCAAUUCCCCACAUGGAGAAAGGCCAUGGUGAAGAAAUAACAUUCAUAAGUGUUGGGGGAACAUGAAUCUUGUCCGCAUAGAUCUGACACUUGUGGCAUUUCUUCAUAAACUUGCAGCAGUCAGACUCCAUUGUCAGCCAAUAGUAGUCUGCUCUCAACAUCUUCUUUGCCAUGGCAUGUCCAUUAGAAUGAGUACCAAAUGAACCCUCAUGGACUUCAGUCAUCAACAGGUUUGCUUCGUGUCUAUCCACGCAUUUGAGCAGAACCAUGUCAAAAUUCCUCUUGUAAAGCACAUCACCAUUAAGGUAGAAACUGCCAGACAAUCUCCUUAAAGUCUUCUUAUCUUUAACAGAUGCCCCAGGCGGGUAAGUCUGACUUUGGAGAAAAAACUUGAUAUCAUAAUACCACGGCUUAUCAUCUUUUACUUCCUCCACUACAAACACAUGAGCUGGUCUAUCCAAGCGCAUCACGGUAAUAUUUGGGACUUCAUUCCAAUAAUUGACAGCAAUCAUUGAAGCAAGCGUUGCGAGAGCAUCCGCCAUCCGAUUCUCAUCUCGAGGAUUAUGAUGAAAGUCAACUUUAGUAAAUAAAGUCGAAAUCCUCCUCGUAUAAUCUCUAUAUGGGAUAAGGCCAGGCUGAUUCGUCUCCCAUUCACCUUUAAUCUGAUUAACAACAAGGGUCGAAUCGCCAUAAACAUCAAGAUGUUUGAUCCUAAGAUCAAUACAUUAUUCCAGACCCAUAAUACAAGCCUCAUACUCCGCCAUAUUAUUCGUGCAUUUGAAAGUUAGCCUUGCUGUAAAAGGAAAAUGUGUGCCUUGAGGAGUAAUAAUCACUGCCCCAAAUACCAUUUCCAUAUUGAUUGACAGCGCCAUCGAACACCAUACCCCAUCGGGAACCAGGCUCUGGCCCUUCAUCGAGCGUAGGCUCAUCAUAAUCUUUCAUUUUCAAAUACAGAAUCUCUUCAUUAGGGAAGUCAUAUUGCACAGACUGAUAAUCUUCAAUUGGUUGAUGCGCCAAAUGGUCAGCCAAGAUACUACCUUUAAUAGCUUUUUGAGCUCGAUACUCAAUAUCAUACUCAGACAACAACAUCUGCCAACGGGAAAUCCUCCCCGUUAAAGAAGGCUUCUCAAAGAUAUACUUGAUCGGAUCCAUUUUGGAUAUCAACCAAGUUGUAUGAUUCAACAUAUACUAGCGUAAACGCUUAGCAGCCCAAGCCAAAGCACAACAUGUCUUCUCAAGUGUUUAGUACCGAGACUCACAGUCGGUGAACUUCUUACUCAAGUAGUAUAUUACAUACUCUUUCUUUCCUGAUUCAUCUUGCUGACCAAGGACACAACCCAUGGAAUCAUCAAGCACAGUCAAGUACAUAAUCAAUGGUCUCCCUUCAACAGGCGGGGACAGAAUCGGAAGCUCGGACAGAUACUCUUUGAUACUAUCAAAGGCCUUUUGGCAAUCCUUGGUCCAAUCAUGACGUUGAUCUUUCCGGAGGAGCUUGAAUAUAGGCGCACAUGUGGCGGUCAUGUGGGAUAUGAAUCUCGAAAUGUAAUUCAAGCGGCCAAGAAAACCUCGGACUUGCUUCUCAGUUUUGGACGCAGGCAUCUCUUGUAUUGCUUUGACCUUGGCAGGAUCAACUUCAAUACCUCUCUUGCUGACAAUAAAGUCCAAUAACUUGCCGGAACGGACUCCAAAUGUACACUUAUUCGGAUUCAAGCGGAGUUUGUACUUCUUCAAACGUUGGAAAAGCUUCAACAAGUGUUCUACAUGUUCAACUUUCGUUUUCGACUUUGCAAUCAUAUCAUCGACAUACACCGCAAUCUCCUUGUGCAUCAUAUCAUGAAAACCUCCACCAAGUGAAUAUGCUUGCAAAUUAACUUGUUAAGGAAUAACUCCACACAAGUCAACAAGACUAUGCCAUUCUCCUAUCAUAAGUGCACUCGAGUUCGGGUAUAGAACUCAUCUCACAAGAAACCACCAAGCAUACAAGCAAUUGAUAUAUUGACUAUGCCAUUCUCCUAUCAUAAGUGCACUCGAGUUCGGGUAUAGAACUCAUCUCACAAGAAACCACCAAGCAUACAAGCAAUUGAUAUAUCAAGCAAUUCAUACAUUACAAAUAAUACAUUCAUCCCAAAUUUGCACAAAAAUAUGCCACAAAUAAAUAUAAACAUACAACACAUACAAGCAAAAAGUAGGCUAAACCCACUGGGGCGUCUUUCCUCAGCAGAGUCGCCACUUUUCUGUAGCGGGGUUUUCGUUACCUUUAGGUUUAUUUACUAAACCAAAAGUCAACAUACAAUUCGAGUUGCCACCACACUUUUAUUUGUCCAAAGGAAAGGCUAAAAAGCGAACAAAAGUCAAGUAAGAAAUUUUUCAAAUCAAAAACCAAUAAAAAUGUUAGAGAUCUAGGUAAGGAGGUUGGUUAUGAAAUGGGAAGGCUUUACGCACCCAAAACAUCCUUAGUACUCUAAGGGAACCCUUUUUGCAAAUAUGUGUUGUAGGUUGGUAUUUGUGAAAAGUUUUAUACAAAAGAUUAGAGGGAUGAGAAGAGAAUAGAUUAUAUUUACAAAUUUUGUUGUUUGAAUGGAUGAAUCCAUUGCCUACGUACCAUCACAAAGGAGGAUCAAAACCUCGUAGUUCGGGGUAAAAAUCUCAAAGAUUGGUGAAUUGAUUUGAUCAAAAGCCUUAAGGUCUUUUGUUAUCAAAUGGAGAAAACUCAACCUAAACCAACAAUCCACCAUGUGAGGAAGGCUUCAACAUGCUAGUGAGGGGUUAACCCUAUAAUAAGCAUGGAAGACUUAUAGUCCAACACUAAGGAUGAGGUGAGAUUUACAUCAACCACUAUGAUAACUCAAACCUAUGACUAAUGUUUUGAAAAGGGUUUAACAAGUGGCCAUUGGAACCACAAAACAACUUGAAAUGGAUUGUAUUUACAAAUUAGAUUUAUUUACAAAAUGAAGUCAAAGUUGAAUUAAAGUUUAUUUACAAUGAGUAUUUAUGAAAAUGGUUUUGAAAAGUCAAAGGCAUAAGGCCUAAGUUUCUAAUUUAAAACAAAGUCAAAGUUUUUAAGAUGAUUUUUGGCUUGGUUAGAGUGGGGAGAAGAAGAGAAGGGCUAUUCCUAAAGCAUACAAAGAUAAGAGGGGAAAGAUAAACCCUUGGAUUUGCUUUUCUUGAAGUCAUAUAGAUGACUCAAGAUGCUCCUUUCCCUUGGACUUAGCACACAAACAAGCAAUCAAUAAUUGAAUUCAAGCUCCUAGGAUCAUCCAUUUGGCUUGUCUCUUAACUUGGCUAGUCAUGACAAUGGUCAUCUUUUCACAAUCUCAAGAUGGAAUUCCUAUCACACAAAAGCAAACAUCAAAAAGUUCACAGCACAAUAAAGGGAAUGGACAAAGAAUAAGUCUGAGGAGAAGUCCUUUGAGAUCAACUUUGGAAAUUUUAGCAUUCUAAAGGCAUGAGGCCUAGUUGCUCUUCAACAUAUUUUUCAUUCUAAAGGCAUGAGGCCUAGUUGCUCUUGAACUCCUUUAAGCAUGGGUAAGUCCUAAUUCUAAGUCCUUUCUCCUUUUGCAUUUGAUUCACAUCACAACAAACACAAAUGACAAUAUAUUUAUAUACAAUAAUUGGCUCAAAUGAGCAAAGUAAAAAUGACAUAAACAUAAAAUAUGUGUUCAAGUGAGCAAAAAUGAAAAUCAAUAUGAAUAAUGAGUAAGAAAUAAAUGACAUUAAAAGUAAAUGACAAGAAAUUAAAAGCUCAAAUUAAAGUUAGUAAUUAGUGAGGUUAUGUUAGCUUGUCAUAAGAUGAUGUAGCGCUAUGUUAAGCAAUCGUAAGUGGACUAAUGUAGUAGUCACACCUAUCUGAGGUCGGUCAAUAAGAAUAUAGCCAAAGAACAUAAGUUAGAGAUCAUGACUAGUAAGCCAAGCUCCAUAAACUUGCCAUCCAAACAAAAGGGGAAGGGCCUUGUAUUGACUUUUGGUUAUUUGCUUGACCAAGAAGCAACCUAUCUUGGACACAAAACAACUCACUUGAUCAUGUAUCAAGUUGAGUUUGGUUUGGACCAAAGAAGGUUAAGCUUCUGAUUUGUCAAGACAAACCUCAAGACUUUAACUCAUUGGCCAUUGAUGGAAAGAAAGGGAUGAAGAUGAAAGGCAGGGGGUAAGAAGUCAACAAACAAUCCCAAUUGAUCAAGGGAUAACUCAUCCUUGAUCAAAUUCAUUCAUCUUUCUAAGUGAUGAUCCAUAAGGACUUUCAAACCACAAGAUUUCAAUGAAUUUGAUCAAAGUUGAAUCAAUUCAACCUCAAUCAACACCAAACAGAAGAGAAAUGAAGAUAACAGGUCAAGAAGUCAAAUAUUUUUUUUGGUAUUUUUGAAUUAAAAUAAAAUGCAAAUAAAAAAAAUAAACAAAUAAGUUGAACCUCAAAUUCAAUUCAAAUUAACUUCAAAAAGUCCAAUUAAAUUCUCAUAGAUUCAACAUAGUCAAACAAGCUUUGACUAAUUUUCUCACAAAUUUUUGAAAUCAGAAAGUAAUUAAAAACAAUUAAAAACAAUUAAAAAUAGCAUAAUAUGAAUUAAAAUCUCAAAUAAUCUCAAAACAAUCAAGAAAUUGUUGAGACUAUUUUUCAUUGACUUAUCAUGAUCCGUAGAUGCUAUGAAAAUAUUUUUGGGUUUUUUAAAAGUCAUAAAGUAUUUAAAAAUGAAUUAAAAGCAUAAAAAAACAAGGAAUUCGUAAAAAAUAUCAAAUGAAGUCACAAAAAUAAUUAAAAAUCAUAAUAUGAAACUAGAUUUUUCAAGAAAUUUUUUGGAAUUGGUCUCAUAUUUUUCUGACUUCAAAUGAAUUUUUAAUGAAUUUUUGAAAAUAAAAGGAAUUAACAGAAAAUAAAAAUAAAAUGAAAUAAAUGAAAAAAAGCAGCGCCACAGGAUGCAUUUCAUUAAUUGAUGUGGCAUCAAUGAAUGACUUAGAUCUGAGGAAACACGCUACACAAAGCAUUAAAUGAAGUAAUUGAAACGGACGUGUGAGAUUAGAUCGUGGCAAGAUGAUCCAAUGGCCAGGAAGUGACACACGUGGUGGUGGUGGUGGAAACCACCAUCUUCUCCGGCGAAACAACAACUUCCGGCCACCAGUUGCAGAGAAAUAAAUUUUAAUGAAAAUGGAAAACAAGGACAUGGAAAUGAAGCUCGUGUGAUGGAGAUCAUCACUGUACCAUUGGAUUUUCCUCACUCUUCCUAUAUUGAGAGAAAUGUGAAGGAGAAAAUCAUGGUGUUCAUACUGAUUGCUCAUGAAAUGAAGAAUUGAAAGCACCAAUGGCUUGCCUCAAGUGUGAGGACUUCAGAAAACCAUAGAAACACAAGAAUGCUACAUUGAACUAAGAGUUCUAGAUCCAAAAAGUUUGAGAUUAUACCUCUGAAUUGAUGAACUUCUGGCCACGAAUUCUCCAAGAUCCUUGCUCCUCUUUGAUCUAUGCAUGUAAUGGAAGUGAUAGGCUAAGGUAUUUGGCUUUAAAACUCAGCUAAUGAUGUUGAAUUUCAAGCUCGAAAAAUUGAAGAAAAGUGAUUAAUUCCUUUGGUAAUGGCUAUGGUUUCACUCCUGCAGCACUUGGGAUCUCCAAAAGGUUAGCAAAUGAAUGAGAGGGAGCCUCUAUUUAUAACUGAAUGCCUCAACUGAUCAUGAUUUGUUCAUGUGCAUGGCAAAUGGAAUCUGAAUUGCAUGGGCCUGUGUAAGCGUGUGGAAGGCCCAAUGAUGAAUGCAGAAGUUUGCUGAGAUCAAGUGAAGGGCAAUUGGACGUGUACAUUGGAAUGAACAAGCUUGCAUAUUCAAGUUUUAUCAUAAAAUAUUAAAAUGCACCUAAGUGAAAAGAAUUUUGAAUCUCCCAAAUGGUGAAUCCAAAAGACUAAUGUGAGAAAUGGUUAGAAAACCCUUGAAAUAAGGAACAAAAGUUAUGUUGGGAAAAAAAUCAUUUUGCAAUUGGAAAUUGAUCAAAAUUGGCUUGGAAAAUUCAAGUACAUAACAUAUUCAAAUCACUUUAAAAAAGUUCACCAAAAGCAAGCUUAAUCAAGCCCCUCUAUUUUCAUGAUGUAAGCUUCAAAUGGAAAUAUCUCCAACAUAAAAGUUGUAUAUCUUUUCAAGAUAGUCAAUCUAGAAUCAAAUUUUGCAUCAUUUGGAUUUUCUAUGACAAAGUUAUGGGCAUUUGAAGUUGGGUACUUUUUCAAAUUCAAUGAAUUAGGUCCAAGAUGACCUAUAAUGUUUUGCAUUAUCACAUGUAUUUAUUUUUUUUCAAAUUCAAUGAAUUAGGUCCAAGAUGACCUAUAAUGUUUUGCAUUAUCACAUGUAUUUAUUUUAGGAUUAUGAAAUUUUGUCCAACAUAACAUUUGAAUUAGACAUCUUAAUAUUUCCAAUUAAUUUUGUCUCACCUCAAAAUCACAAAAAUUAAGGAAGUUAUGCCCUUGGUAAGUUCACCCAAAAUUAGGGUUUCAGUCAAAAUGACCUAUAAUGUUUUGAAAUGAAUGAUGACCUUCCAGGCUUCAAAUGGAUUUUUGAUGAAGAUUAAAGUUGUUAAUAUGGUUCUUAGGAACAUGUUUUAUUUUGGGGUCAUCUUCAUUUGACAAACACAUCAAAAAUUAUAUCUCAUUGGUUCUCAGUUGAGUCAGAUGACUUGACUGGUCAACUUUUCAAGGCCAAACUUCCAAUCUUGAUGAAUGAAUGAUUAAGGGGCCUCAAAUAGGCUCAUAUAUUCAUAGAAUAAUUAAUGAAAGAACUUACCUUGAUUAAAUUUGAUCAGAGGUUGAGAUUGCUUCAUGGGCAAGGCACAGUCAAAGCAUAGUGAAAUUAGGGUUUCCUUGGGAAACAAUCUUGAAAUCCUUUGGGUUAUCUUGAUCAAAUUGGUAAAUUGAGAUACUUGGGAGAAAUAUAUGAUUAUUAGGAACUUUGUGGACCAUUGUCAUGCUUCUUCUCAUCUUCAUUUAGCCAUUGCAUUGGGCUUAGGAGCCUCUUAGGAGCAUUGUAGAGCACAUGAUCACUUGAGCUUCAAAACAAAAAGAGUUAGUGACAUAUUUUUGUGCUUUUGGUUAGUAAUCAAAUAAGAAAAGCAAUAAUAUACAAUACAAGCAUGCUUGGUGAUUUCAAAACACUCAAACAAAUCCCCACCCUAGGGUUAAGGAGCCAAACAUGCUAUGAUCCUUGAGGCAAUGCACUUGUGUAAUAACAUGAUGCCAUGAGGGAUCUUAGGGUCAAAAUUAGGGUCUUACACCAUGGCUAUGUGUCGCAACACGAAAAACAACCGGCGGAAAAAUACAGAGCCGCCACCGACGCUAUUCAUCCUAUGACGGAAAGGAAGCGCGAGAUUAACCUAAGAAAGGGAAAGGAACGGUCUUACGACCAGAGAUUACAAGGUACGGGAGUCGGUUACGCAAGGGGAAGGUAUUAGCACCCCUCACGUCCGUCGUACUCGACGGGAUCCACGCUCAAAAAGAUAGCUCAAAGAAUAGGAAAAGGUUGCUAAUAAAACUGCUCAAAGGAAUUGCACAAACUGGAAUAAUAAAACAGAUGAAAGAAGACGGAGGAAGUGGACUCGGCAGGAUGUCGCAUCCUGGGCCUACGUAGUUUGUCGGAAACAAACAUCAGAGUCAACGUAGUUCGGGGAAAGGGAGACAUGCUCGCUAGGAUAUCGCAUCCUAUGCCUACGUAUCUUCCCAAUCCACAGGAGAAUCAGAGCACUCGUAGCUCGGCUAACACACGCUGAAACAAGACACCAAAAAGGAGACGCUGAGACGUCAAAAGAAACACUCAAAAGGAAACAGAAUUCCAAUACAUGGACUUAUAUCCGACUCCCAACAAUAACCAACAAAAGGAAACAGAAUGCCAAUACAUGGACUUAUAUUCGACUCCUAACAAUAACAAACGCUAACCGGCGAACACCAAAGAAAAAAAAGUUAUCAGAAUGAACCCCGAUAUGUAUAACCAAUCACCACAAAUGAACCCCAAAAGAUGAACCCCGAAUGAGUGACAACCGUCACAAAUGAACCCCAAAUUAGUGACAACCGUCACAAAUGAACCCCAAAGAUAAACCCCAAGUGAGUGACAACCGUCACAAAUGAACCCCAAGUAAUAACAAUCAUCACAAAUGAACCCCAAAGAUAAACCCCAAAUGAGUGACAACCGUCACAAAUGAAGCCCAAAGAUAAACCCCAAGGUAUAAACAUACCACACACGCUCACGUUGGACAAACAAGUACUCACACCAAAACGAAGAAAAGGGUGAACACACAGAGACUCAAAGAAAAGGGUGAACAAACACACGAAAAUAACACAGCAAAAAAGAAAAAGGGUGCCCGGAGAGAUUGCUUGCAACCUCCUGCCUACGUAUCUCAUCUGGUAUGAGAAUCAGGGCGACGUAGUUCCCCUGAACAAGGGUACAACACUCUCCUAACCAGAGACCAGGGAGACAACAAACUAAUAGGGAGACUAAGACUCGAGCCUAAUAGUUGUCAUGCAAUCGAAUCCCUAGGUUGAGGUCUCUAACCUGCACUCAACUCACUCUGGAAGCGAGCCAACUCAAAAGCAAAUAAUCACCAACACAAGUGAACAAGCAUCACACACUAUAUCCAUACAAGAGGCCCAAACAAUGGGUAGGCUUUAGUCAAGAGGGGUCAUAUCAACCUUGACAAACAAGCCAAACUGUAAUGGGUAACCUGUAGCUCUUAACCACUAACAUUGAGAGUUAGGGUGAAGCUGAUCAAAAUGGUAAUGAGGAUGAGACCUCAUGCUCUUAACCCUGGCCUGGGUGAGCUCAAAACAAAGAAAGUGUGGGGAUCCAGAAAUUGAGAUCCUAUUCCACUUGACAGACUCUGGACAAAGAUCUUGGGUACAUGUUCAGAAGCAUCAGCACGUAGUGCGAGCAUAAUGAACGACUCACUGAAUAAUGGGGGAUUGGCUACUAAUCCCUUUUAUCCGUCAAUUGCCUCUUCACUUAGGAGGACUUAUCAAGUAAUACAUGCCUCAUCUUGGAGGUCUUUGGCACAAUCUGUAAACAAACACAAACAGAGCCUCUUAAGGAGGACUUCCAACAAAAUGCCUGCCAAAAAAAGUGACAGGACUUCCAGACUACAUGGAGUAAGAAGAUAACUACCUAAGUGGUGUAUCAACCACAAUCCAAAGCUCAAGUAAGAGCUAAAAGCAAGCAACUAAGGUACCUGUACAAAAGCUAACCAGUUAAUAUUUCAGACAUAAAAUCAGAAAACAAACAGUGAAACCAUCCAACUGUACACAACUCAAUGAACAAUGCUCAAGCACUCAAAUGAGCUCAAGCCUAUCACUUAGAACCCUACAAAACAAACAAAAGUUAGAAUUCAAAUCAUUUGCAUCUCACAAAGUGAGACCAAACCAACCAUCAAUGCUAAAUGUCCAAACCUGAAACACAAGUCAAGGUUAGUUCAUGUACAAAACACUAGUACAAAGACUAGGUCCAAAACCAAACCAAAUGAUCAAAACAGAAGUCAAUCUUUUACACAAAGCUCAUUCAAACACUUCAUUCAAUGUCCUCAAAAGGACCAACAUCAAUUCAAAAAGCAAAGGCAUCAAAUGGCUCAUGUAAUGCAAUGACCAAACAAUGUGCACAAGAUGAACUUCCAAUUUAGAAAAUCCAUAUCAAAUGGAAUAUGCAUGCAAUGGCCUUGAGAUUUUUCAUACCAGUUCCUCAUGUCAUGAACAAAUAACAUGCCAAAAAUUAAAUCCAGAAAGGUUCAAAUGAUAUAUGAACAAAAAUGAAACAAUUCAAUGUCAAAAAUGUGACACAAAUUGUCACAUUAUUCUCCAUGUGUCAAAAACAAUGAUGACAUAUGAGAAUAAAUCCAAACUAGUGCUCAAAAAUUCAUAUCAUGAGUGAAUAGUAAGCAUGUAAAAAAUUUGACCAAGAAGCUCAACACAUAGAAUUUCACAAGGCAAUGAACAUAACAUGUCAAAUUAACACAAGGUUCAAUCAAAAAUCCACAAUUAAAAAAAUCAGACAUCAACAAAUCAUGAAAAUAAUAUAAAAAAAACUAGACAUUCAUACAAAACUAGAAAAAAAAUUGGAGUUAAUUUGGAUCAUUUUCCUAUUUUUAAUGAUUUUUCUAAAUGAGCAAAAUAAAAUGGAAUAGCAAAAUAAAAUGGAGGGAAAAACAAAAUUCAAAUUAAAUCAGAAUAAAUUAAUAAAAUGGAAUAGCAAAAUAAAAUGGAGGGAAAAACAAAAUUCAAAUUAAAUCAGAAUAAAUGAGAGCCACACGAUGAAGCGCGCAAAAGCAAUCCAGCGGUCCACAUUCAAAUGUCAAAACACAUUGUUUCAUUAAACACGGUGGCAUGCUCAGUCAGCUAGUCAAGACACGCAUGGCAAGUCAAAGCAAUUCAGUCCAAUCAAUUGUACAGGCAAGGCACACAUCAGCAUACAGCAUGGCUAAAUGAAACGAUGCGUUUCAUUUAUUAGUCAGCACACCACAUCAUCGGUCAAAGCAAACGUGUGGCUAGUCAAUGCAAUUACAACCAAACAAUUGGUCACGAAGGCGCACACAUGGAACACACGUGGAUCUAGCAAGGCAAACCCUAACAAAUAACCAGACGCCGGAGUUGUAGCUCUGGUCGUCUUCUCCGACCAACCAGGCGGUGGCACUGCCGUGGAAAUUUGCAGAAAUGCACAAACCAUACAUCAAUCGAACCGCUCUCUCACAAGGAAUCCAAAUAUCAUAUCAGUUCUUCCUAAAUCAUCAUGUAUUUUCCAGAUCGAACGAAAACAUUUUCAUAAUCAAAUUUUGAAGUUCACAUAACAUGCUCAAUUCUCAUCCAUUUUUAAAUCUAAUCAUAUCUACGUGCUCUACAUAGUGAGAUCUACACAACUAUAACAAGAAAAUAACAAAAAGAGAUGAUGAAUUUCAACUCACUUGGAAAUGCAGGUUGUUGAAUUCGUGUGUUCAAGCUCUCAAAAGCUCCAGAUCCACUCCACUACACUUGACUUGAAGCUUUGUGCACGAAUCAACAGCUGAAACCACCUAGAUCUAGCUCAAUUUCCAACUUCCAUCUUCAUGAGAUUGUGCUUGAACUGCUCCAAUUCUUUAUGAAUUGCACCAAACCAAAGCUGAUUCUUGAUCAGUGAGAUAUGAGGAUCAUGAUUAUGCAAAAAUAUUUGACGUUUAUGUGGAGAAAAUGGAAGAAUCGAAGAGAGAUAAAGUUGAGAGAAUUUCUUGAAUUUUGAUCUCAAAAGUUAGUUAUGGCAGUUAUGGCUUAGGGUUUGGCUUAUAUACUCCAUGCUAAUGACCAUGCUAAUCACACUUUGCAUUUGUUAAUCAAGAUUAGGGAGAUUUGAAGUGAUUUGCAAAAAUGCAAAAUGAGUUCAUUAUGCCAUGUUCCACGUGUACAGUACCAUGCAAGGCUUGGAAUUCACUUAAAAUCAACCAAGGAUCAACAUGGAAUUGGUAUUUUGCUUGUAUCAUAAGCCAAAUUUGAAUUAUGGAAAUUCCCUCCAAAAUAAACACAUGAGAAAUGAUGAGCAUACACCUUUUUCCCAUGCAUGGCAAAGGCUAUUUUGAGAUGUCUUGAACAUUAGAAGCACUUUGCAAAAAGAAUGGGCCAAUUUGGAGCUUUGUAUCAAAAAUUAGGCCAUUUUGAAUUUCCAUGCACACCUUGUGAUCAAAUGACCAUAACUCCUCAACCAUUCAUCAUAUGGACAUGAAUUAAGGCUUCUUGAAAAGGGGAGACAAAUAUCUACAACUUUCAUGUUCACCAAAAAUCAAUUUGAAACAUCUUUGAUAUUGAAAAGUUAAGUUGAAGGUGGACUAAAAACUUGCCAAAUUGGGAAACUUUGAAUUACAGGUCACUUUCCAUUUUUGGCAACUUUUGCCAUGACCUUUGCAUCUUCAAGAUGGAUGUUUAAAAUGAUGAAUGGACAUCCUUUGAACAAGAUUGAGGUGUCUCAACUCAUUUCCCCACCUCAUAGCCCUCAGUUGACUGCACAGUUGACUUUUGGUCCUCAGAUGACCUUGACAUGCUUUGAUUCACUUGAGCCUCUACCACUUGGGGAAAUUGCUCAAAAAUGAAACCCUAGCUCAUGUAAGCUCCUUAUAACAAUCAUAUGAUCCUCAUCCCCAGAAAAUACAUCAUCUCUUUGAGAAACCCCUGGUUGGAAGAAAUGCAUUGAUUAGGGUUGACCAGAGGUCACAACCCUAAUCCCAAGGAACUUGAGGAUGAACUAUGAAACCCUUGAUGAUGAUAGAACCAUGAUGAUGGUAAGAUAUCCUUGAAAACAAGAUGAUGCCCAAGACCUUUGAAGAAUCAAGAAACCCUAAUUGAAGUACAAACCCUCAGAUGGUUGAUAAUCAAUUCAUAGAGACCCUCAGGCUUGAAUCAUGUAACUUCUCCAUCUUUGAAAAGAUUUUGGAGGAUGACUUUCUUAUUUCCCUAUGAAAUGCAAAAUGCAAUGCCUAAUGCUCUAAAAUACGAAAUGCAAUGUGUCAAACUAGUCUCAAGAAGAGGAGGGCAAAUUUUGAGGUGUUACACUAUGAUAAGUGAUUUUUUUAUGAUUGAUAUGGCUUUGUUAUGAAUGAUGUACAUGGUCUUGGAUGUAUUACUAGUUAUGCUUAUUUUAAAAUAAAUAUGGAUUGAAAUGCUAGAAGUAUGUUAACAUAUGGUCUUAUUGGAAUUUUGCUGCAGCGUAUGGUACUAUGCAGCAUACGAACCGCACUUACUGUUAUGCUCCUCAUAUUGUACUUUUUUCAUUUUAUUCACAAAGCCUAAAAUUUCAAAUAAGAAUUGAUUCACACUCAAAUUUCAAAUGACUAACAAUUUUAAAACUACUUUUACCAUGGUUCUGAAUUUGGUCACCUUUUUGGCUACUACUAUCAAUUUUCACGAAGAUCCUUUCUCUUUGAGGUGAAAGGAGGGGUCCGCGAUUAAAACAUAUGGUCAGAAAAAGAGGAAGGGACUUGGGAAAGUAAAAGAACAUAUAUAUUAUGUUUCCAUGAAAAAAAUCAAUGGCCAUUAUUGAAUGUUAAACUGGACAAUGUAUUUGGUUGUGGAGUUGGAUAGCAAAAAAUGGUUUAUGGCUAAUGAGAAUUUGAAUUGGAUAUGAAAAUGUGCUUAAGAAUUUGGGUAUGGGUAAAAAAGGAAGAAUGGGUUUUAAUAAAAAUAUAGAAUGCAUGGCUUAUUUAAGUUCACUAGUGAAAAACCGAAACAAGACAAUUUUAACAAUGGGAUCAAAUCGAAAUUAAAAAAGGUUAAUGGUUCCUAAAGUUACUUUGAUAAAAGAAAAGCAAAGCCUCCUAAAAAUCAACCCAAAGGCCAACUUGAAACCCCAAAGACCAAUUUGGGAGUAAACCCAUCUGAACCUCCGAGAUUAAAUCAGAUUUGAAAUCAAUUUAAAAAAGAAGACUAGGACACAAAUGAUGACUGAAUAAGCGCCGGAUUGAUGAAUCCUCAUGGCGCGACCUGUGGGUCAGAUCGUAUCAUGGCCAAAUGGACGAAUGGAUAUCGACCCCAUUAUGCACCAGAAACAUAUGACCAAGAACCAACUGGCUAAUCAAGAAUGGAUCCAGACCCCUAAAAAUGAGAUAUACAACCCCCUGGGACCCCUGAUCAUCAAAACACGUGGCAAACCCUGAUGAUNAACCCAUUCUUCCUAUUUUUACCUACAUCCAAAGUUCAUUAAGCACAUUUUUCCAAUAUCCAAUUCAAUUAUCUCAGUUACGUCCAUAAAGACCAUUUUUUGCUAUACCAACUCCCACAACCAAUACUUUCGUCCAGUUAACAAUUCAAUAAUGGCCAUUGAUUUUGUUCAUGGAAAUAUAAUAUAAUGUUCUUUUACUUCCAAAGUCCCUUAUCCUCUUUUCUGACCAUAUGUUUUAAUCGCGGACCCUCCUUCACCUCAAGAGAAAGGAUCUUCUGGAAAAUUGAUAGUAGUAGCCAAAAGGUGACCAAAUUCAGAACCAUGGUAAAAGUAGUUUUAAAAUUGUUAGUCAUUUGAAAUUUGAGUGUGAAUCAAUUCUUAUUGAAAUUUUAGGCUUUGUGAAUAAAAUGAAAAAAGUACAAUAUGAGGAGCAUAACAGUAACGUGCGAGUUCUGUUGUAUGACUGCAUAGUACGCAUACGCUGGCAGCACCCACUACACUGUGGGGAUAUCAGUUUUGGUCUUAUGUUAUUACCUGACUUUUCGAUACCUGCGCCAACUCAGUUACAUCCUGAGAAUCUUCGCGAGUCAACCCUACAACUGAAUACAAAAGUAAAUGGCAUUAAAAAAGGUUUUUGUACCUUUAUAUAGAAGCAUUAAAUUCCCCCCAAUAAGACCCAUAUGUUAACAUACUUCUAGCAUUUCAAAUCCCUAAAUUUAUUUUAAAAAUAAGCAUAACUAGGUAUACAUCCAAGACCAUGUACAUUCAAUCAUAACAAAAGAUUUUACCAAACAAAUGAAAUUAUUCCCCGAUGUUAUAGACCAAGACAUCAGGGCUCGAUUGCCUGAUCCUCCUCAAAUUGUGAAUGAACCAGAGUGCUCACCAGGUGCAAGCAUAAAGCCAUGAAUCCGAAUCACUUGUAUCCUCUUGUAUUGGACCAUGAUUGUGCAGAUGAAAUGAAAUGUCUGUAAGGCUAUGCAUAUGAUUAAGGUUAGUGACCUAGAUGAACUUUGUGAAAGGUUGGGUGAAAUUUGGGGUAUGACAGUAACAUGUUGGGAUGAAUGGGGCUUUCUCCCCAUCCUUUUCUUGUUCCUCUUUUUGUUUCUUUUCAUGCCUCGAGAAUAUUUUGAAGUCCUUUAUUGUAAGGGGCAUGUCACUGCUAGAGUCAGAUUCCUCUACUUUGAAUGUUAGGCUUUUGGUUUUCUUUUCUUGUUCAUCAUCUAUGACAAGUCUUUUAAGUUUCAUCUCGUGUACCUGUACUUUGAAAAAUAAAGUGUUUGUGUGUCGAUAGUUAAAUUCUUAAUGACUAUUGGGUUUCCAACUACGGUUUAGGCAUCUAAGAAAUUUUAUAACUAGGUCCUCGUUUGAAUUACUUUGAAAAAUAAAGUGUUUGUGUGUCGAUAGUUAAAUUCUUAAUGACUAUUGGGUUUCCAACUACGGUUUAGGCAUCUAAGAAAUUUUAUAACUAGGUCCUCGUUUGAAAGUGUUAUUCCCAGAAUUCUCAUAUGACAUAUGAUAUGGGUAAAUUGUCACUACUGCGUAAAUGCUCUUUCACCCUGGUUGGAAAAGAGAUACGAUCACGGUUGACCAACUAUGGUAGGGUAAGGCAUAAUAGUAAGUAUGUUGCUUUCUAGCACAAGCAUAUGACCGUGAUGACAAACUAUGUCGCACGCUACAUAUCACAAAGGUUAUCUCAAACAAGCUUGGUGAAACAUAUUAAGGUCGUGGACUCGAUUCCCAAUCAUAAUAUGAUAUAUAAUAAUUGACACUCUAGCUAUCACCAUGGUGUCUUAUUCAAUUAUGGUGAAAGACUUUUUUUUUAAAUAUUAUUUUUUAUUAUUCCAUUUAUGUCCCCUCUUUUUUAGUACUUAUACGCUAUAUUUUACCAUAAUAAAAUUAGCAAAUAUGCAUAUCUUUGUAACCAAAAUAUGACUAUAAAAUAUUUCCAUCAAACUUAAAAAUAUAGCAAACAUAUAAUUACAAAAUAUAGCUUUACCAAAAUGUAACCAGCCUAAAUAUUAUUUACAUCCAACAUAAAAAAAUAGUAAACUUAUAUUACAAACUUAUGUAUGAUCAACCUUACCUAUAAAAUGCAUUGAAAAAAAACACCAAACAUGCAUAUACGUCUCUAAAAUCUUCUUCUGAUAAUGAUGUAGUGUCACUACAAUAUACAAUAAAAAAUACACAACUAAUAUUUGUAAUAGUAAAGAAACACAACAAAUACUAUAAUUUUUGUUGAUUAAUAUAAAAAAUAAUAAUACAACACAGAUAUUUAUCAUUAAAGCAUAAAAAAAACACAAGAUAAAUAUUUGAGCGGCAAAAUAAAUCCGCUUCAAAUCAAAUGCAAAUAUAAAUCAAAUAAAUUUUUCAUAAAAUAAUAACAAGAAAGUUUGCACAAAGAUAAUUAGACGAUGAUGUUAUAGAACUAGAUCCAUAAUCCAUUACGAUAUAAGAAAUAUAAUAUUUUAUUGAUAUGAUAAUAAGGCAUACAUGAAAACAAUGCUAUAACAACACAACAUAAGCCAUAUAUAAUAAUUCAAACACGUUUAAAGGAAGUGAGGUUCCUUAAGUGCUUCAAUGGCUGAUCCGACACAGCAGCUUCAUAAUUGUUAGAAGAUGAACCUUCUUUGGCAGAAAGAGUGAGGUGGUAGUUGGUCCCUGCAACAACCUGUGAUUCACCUUUGAUAAGUUUCUCAAACUCCAAUGUUGCUCCUUUUUGCUUGUUGUACUCGACAAGUGACAACUGCGAAACGGGCUAUUUCAAUCACAUAUGGAUCAGUGAUGUUCUUUAUGGGAGUCCAACCGCCUGGUAUAGCUUGAUUCAGAGUGGCCGAAGCAAACAAAAUAAGGAAGAGGAGACUAAGGGAUUGAAAUCUCAUGAUGUCUGUUAACUUGAGAAAUCAAGAUGGUGUGAGUUAAACUCUGUGGUGUGGAGGAGUAGUUAUAUAUAAUGUAUAAAAGUUAUGCCAUGUUUGGUGAUAUACUCUUUUAUUCGUUGAAUUAAAUCAAAAAUUUCAUUUGAUUUUAUUUCAUGAAAAUAAAAUAAUUUUUUUUGACCAAAUAAAUAAAAUCUCUUUAAUAAUAUAUAAUAUUUAAUAAACCUACAAUUAGUUUAAUAGAAAAGUAUGGUCAAAAAUAUUAUAUUUAAUGUCAUUCAAGGAAAAUGUUGUCAAAAGUAUUAUAAAUAAUGUUAUUCUAAAAAAUGUCAUACAAUGUUUCUGUUUUUUUAUAUAUUUAUUUAUAUAAAACACUUGUAUAAUAGGUUGUUCUAUGUUUUUGAUUUUAUCUUAAUAAAUGAUAAAAAAAAAUUCUUCAAUUUUUUUAAGUAAUAAUGAUAAGAGAUUAAUUACUAUACACUGUCAGUGUAAAAAGUUUUACACUGUCGGUUCAUCACCAUCACCCGUUUGUAUUACUUUAUAGAUUUUUAAAAUAAACGUCAAACUUCUUUUAAUAUCCAACGUCUAUAAUUAACUGACGGUGUAAAACCCUUUUACACUGUCAGUGUAUUUCAAUUAAUCUCUAAUGAUAAAUCCUAAAUGUCCCUGAUCACCGUAUUUGAACCCCGACAACUUCAUGUCACUCUUGCUGCCAAACAAUGAACCCCGUUCUCCAUUUGAACCCCAAUCGCCUGACGAUAACUCUCGAUCGUCAUUAUGAACCCCAUUCUCCAGAAAACAUCCCGUGUCUCCUUUUCUCCAUUUGAACCCCGUUCUCCAUUCUCCCGUGCUAAUUCCGUUAGCAACGUCGGAAAUAACACCAACCACCACUCAGACGGCGACAUAUCAGAGGGUAUACCUUCACAACAGGAAGGUAACAUGUGCAUUUCUUCCUCGGAAGACACCCAUAACGACUUCUCCUGGCCUCAGCCAAAGUCUAAGGUGACACAUGAUCAGAAGACAAUCCUGAGGACCUCAUCCCGGAUACAAUCUUCAAUCUCCAUCUCCAGUUGAACCCCGUUCUCCAGAAAAUGCGCAACACUUCCUUUUCUCCUGGUGGACCCCAAUCUCCGCUCAUCGUGUAACGUUCUCCGAUCUUCAUUUCCAUCUCCGCCUGACGGAAUCCCUUCCUCCAAUAUCGCGCUACUGGGGAAAAUUGUUGAUCCAAUGUCACGAUGCUAAACUCCUCAGAGUAACAUCUUCACCAACCAGCUAAGCCAAUUCUCAAACGGUAACCACGGCUCGAGACUAGCUUAUGCUUGCAAUGCUGAUGCAUGAGUUUUACAGCGUAAUGCUCCAUAACCAUGGAAAUGCUACGCGAUUAGUUAUGCAAUAUACUAUGCUUCUCUAAAUGAUGAAUGCAUAAAAAGUAUCCCCCUCAGGGGACGGCACGAGAAACUCUGUUGAGGAACUCGCUAUCACUCCGAUCUCCAACCCUGCUUGGGCUAACACUGCUGCUGAGGAAAGGACAAUCCUUACUGGGGAUGACCUCCACUGAACUCGAUCCGCUUGGGGACUUCGCUGGGGAAUAACCACCAACGCACACCCCUGCCGGGGGAACAACAACCUUCAGACCUGCUGGGGAAAUAACAAUCUCGACCCUGCUAGGGGAAACACCGACCUCGAACACACUGGGGAGAUACAUAAUAUUUGACACGGAACACCUGUCGACUCGUCGACCACUGGCAUUCACCAUCUAACCACGGUGUCAAUGUUCCACUUCUUUAGACUUUGAAGAGUCUUCUUGAUUAACCCUCUAGGAUCGUCGCACUUCUCUCGUCGUCUCUACACCAUUCUUCAACUCCCCGUACCUGAUUGGACCUCAAGGGAAUAUUUUGUCAAAACGCUUCAUACCACAACCUGCAAGUGAGUGAAAAUAAACCAACAGCGCCUGUAAAAGAGAUCGUUAGAUAAAACGUGCCCCAGGCGUGCCAAAAUUUCAACACCCAGGUCACUCAACCUUCCGAAUAAGAUUUCAAGUUUUCAAUCAUAUAAGCAUGCAUUGGAAAGGACCCCUAUGUCUCAAAAUGCAAAGAUUCUUUAUCAAAAUAAACUGAUGUUUUUGCAAUCAAAGCGGUAAUGAAAACAAAAACAAAAUUACUUGACUGAAUAUGCAUUUUAUUGAUUGAAAAAGGUGGCUCGUAACUGAGCGGUACACAGGAAGCAAUCCCUGAAAAGAGGUAAUUGCGCAUAAAAGGAAAAUCUAUCCUAAUGGCAAUGUGAAACCGUGAUCUCAUCGAGUUCCAACCCGGUUACAACCCAUAUGUCCUCAAAACUCUCCGCACUUUCUGCCUUCCGAAACAAAACGCUUCCGACCGAUCUCUGUCGGGGAUUAUCCUUGGUGUCAUAUCCAAAGUACAAACGAUCAUGCUAGACGCAGUUGUUCGUUUCACUCCCUCUUUUGCCUGGACCGCCCUUUCGGGUUUUCAGUCCACCGGGAUACCCUUUUUUGCCCAAGUCGCCCUUUCGGGGUUUUCGACUUGCCGGGUGUACAGUUUUUCUUUUUAUCCCUAAUUUUUGCCCGAACCUUUUUUUUCAUUUUUUAUUUGGUUCGUCGGGAUGCCCUUUUUUGCCUGGACUAUUUUAUUCUUUCCGUCCAGCGGGUCUCUUAUACGAAGUAUUUUUUAACUACGUCCGCAUUCACAGGGGAUGGAAAAUCCUCACCAUCCAUGGUCGUCAACAACAAGGCUCCGCCAGAGAAGACCUUCUUGACCACGAAUGGACCUUCAUAAUUGGGUGUCCACUUGCCCCGACGAUCUGACGAUCGUUCUGAGGAGGAAGGAUCCUUUUCAACACCAUAUCUCCCACAUGGUACACACGAGGUCGCACCUUUCGGUCAAAAGCACGCUUCAUUCGUUGCUGGUACAACUGCCCAUGACAAAUGGCUGCCAGCCUCUUUUCCUCAAUCAAGCUCAACUCUUCAUACCGAGUCCUUAUCCAUUCAGCCUCUUCCAAUUUCACAUCCAUCAGGACUCUCAAUGACAGGAUCUGGACCUCAACCAGUAGCACGGCUUCCAUCCCAUACACAAGCGAGAAAGGCGUUGCCCUAGUAGACGUACGCACUGAGGUUCGAUACCCAUGCAAUGCAAACGGCAACAUCUCGUGCCAAUCCUUAUAAGUCACGACCAUUUUCUGCGUAAUCUUCUUAAUAUUCUUAUUAGCCGCCUCGACCGCCCCAUUCAUCUUUGGACGAUAAGGAGAAGAAUUGUGAUGCUCGGUCUUGAACUCCUGGCACAGUUCUGCCAUCAUCUUGUUGUUGAGAUUAGAACCAUUAUCAGUAAUGAUUCUUUCAGGAACCCCAUACCUACAAAUGAUGUCUCUUUUCAGGAACCUGGCAACGACCUGUUUCGUCACGUUUGCAUAAGACGCCGCUUCCACCCACUUGGUGAAGUAAUCAAUAGCCACUAAUAUGAACCGAUGCCCAUUCGAAGUCGUAGGCUCGAUCUUUCCGAUCAUAUCAAUGCCCCACAUAGCAAACGGCCAUGGAGACGACAUUAAACUCAACGGAUUUGGAGGUACGUGCACCUUGUCAGCAUAAAUCUGGCAUUUAUGACAUUUUCGCACGAAAUUGAAACACUGAGCCUCCAUUGUCAUCCAGUAAUAUCCAGCUCUUAACAACUUUUUCACCAUCGCAUUCCCACUGGCGUGGGUACCAAACGACCCCUUGUGCACUUCUUUCAUCAACUGACUUGCUUCCUUGUCAUCGACACAUCUGAGCAAAAUCCAAUCAAAAUUCCUUUUGUACAACACCCCAUCUUUAUUCAGAUAGAACGCCAUGGCCAACCUCCUCAGAGUCUUUCGGUCCUUUUUAGACGCUCCCUCGGGAUACUCUUGGGUUUCCAGAUAACCGAACUACAGUAUUAUGGUGCCGAAAAGUAGUAGUCCGCCUGCUUCAACAGCAAACACAUAAGCCGGUCUAUCCAGUCGUCCCACCUCAACACUAGGGAAUUGAUUCCACCACUGCACUUUAAUCAAAGCGGCCAGAGUAGCCAAAGCAUCUGCUAAAGGAUUUUCUUCUCUCGGCACAUGGUGUAAUUCCACCUUGGUGAAAAACGUCAUCAACCUCCUUGUAUAAUCCCGAUAUGGAAUUAAGUGAGAUUAAUGCGUAUACCACUUCCCGUUAACCUGGUUCACAACCAAAGAUGAAUCUCCAUAGAUAACAAGGUUCUUGAUUCGCAAAUCAAUCACCUCUUCGACACCCAAGAUACAAGCUUCGUAUUCAGCCACAUUGUUGGUGCAUUCAAACGUUAGCCGGGCAGCAAAAGGAAUGUGGGAUCCCUUCGGCGUAACCAAAACAGCACCAACUCCAUUACCAUUCAUAUUAACGGCCCCAUCAAACAUCAGAAUCCAUUCGGACUCAGGGUCAGGCUCCUCCUCCGGGAUCGGUUCCUUACAAUCUUUCGAUUUGAGAAACAUGAUGUCCUCAUCAGGGAACUCAAAUUUCAUCGGUUGAUAAUCCUCAAUGGGUUGCUGGGCGAGGUAAUCAGACAAUACACUCCCCUUGAUUGCUUUUUGGGAAGUGUACUAGAUAUCAUAUUUAGUCAAAAUCAUUUGCCAUCUCGCAACCCGUUCGGUCAAUGCUGGCUUCUCAAAUAUAUACUUGAUCGGAUCCAUCUUGGAAAUCAACAAAGUGGUAUGAACCAGCAUAUACUGUCUCAGUCGGCGAGCAGCCCAUGCCAAAGCGAAGCAAGUUUUCUCGAGCAGUGAAUAUCUUGUUUCACAGUCGGUAAACUUUUUGCUAAGGUAGUAAAUUGCAUGCUCUUUUCGACCAGACUCGUCAUGCUGCCCCAGUACACACCCCAUAGACCCCUCGAGGACUGUCAAGUACAGAAUUAACGGUCGUCCCUCCACAGGAGGCAUCAAAAUCGGAGGCUCCUGCAAAUAUUCUUUUAUUUUUUCAAAUGCCGCUUGGCAAUCAUCAUUCCACCUGACCGUUUGAUCUUUUCUCAAUAACUUGAAUAUGGGUUCACACGUGGCUGUUAGAUGAGAUAUGAACCGCGAAAUGUAGUUCAAUCUGCCUAAGAAACCACGAACCUCUUUUUUUGUUUUCGGUUCAGGCAUUUCUUGUAUCGCUUUUACUUUGGCAGGAUCAACCUCGAUUCCUCUUUCGCUUACAAUAAACCCCAGCAACUUACCGGACCGCAAUCCGAAAGUGCACUUAUUCGGAUUCAACCUCAAUUUGAAUUGUCUCAACCGGUCAAACAACUUGGCCAAGUCUACCAAAUGCCCUUCUUCUGUUUGGGACUUUGCUAUCAUGUCAUCAACAUAGCAUUCAAUCUCAUGAUGAAUCAUAUCAUGAAACAAAGUCACCAUAGCUCUUUGAUACGUGGCACCGGCAUUCUUGAGACCGAAUGGCAUCACCUUAUAGCAAAAAUUGCCCCAUGGUGUGAUGAACGUUGUUUUCUCCAUAUCAUCUGGCGACAUUUUAAUUUGGUUAUAGCCAGAAAAGCCAUCCAUGAAGGAAAACACCGAGAAUUGAGUUGUAUUAUCUACCAACACAUCGAUGUGAGGUAAUGGAAAAUCAUCUUUCAGGCUAGCUCUGUUCAAAUCCCGGUAAUCCACACACAUUCUUACCUUUCCAUCCUUCUUCGGCACCGGCACAAUGUUCACGACCCAAGGAGGAUAAUUAGUGACAGCUAGGAAACCAGCAUCCAACUGCUUUUGCACUUCCUCUUUGAUUUUCAUGGCCAUCUCGGGUCGAGUUCUGCGCAACUUCUGCUUUGCUGGAGGACAGUCUUCUCUCAAUGGCAACUUGUGUACAACGAUAUCGGUGUCCAACUGUCGCAACCUGAAAAAUACAGUGCGAAAAAAAACAACCGGCGAAAGAAAAAGACAGAAGAGUCGCCACCGUGCGUUAUUCAUCCCAAAGGAGGGAAAGGAAACGCUCGAAGUAAACCUGAAAAAGGAAAGGACAAGACGGGGUCUCGCAACCAAAUCUUGGGUUCGGGAGUCGGUUAUGCGAAGGGAAGGUAUUAGCACCCCUACGCAUCCGUAGUACUCUACGGGAUCCACUUUUGUNNNNNNNNNNNNNNNNNNNNNNNNNNNNNNNNNNNNNNNNNNNNNNNNNNNNNNNNNNNNNNNNNNNNNNNNNNNNNNNNNNNNNNNNNNNNNNNNNNNNNNNNNNNNNNNNNNNNNNNNNNNNNNNNNNNNNNNNNNNNNNNNNNNNNNNNNNNNNNNNNNNNNNNNNNNNNNNNNNNNNNNNNNNNNNNNNNNNNNNNNNNNNNNNNNNNNNNNNNNNNNNNNNNNNNNNNNNNNNNNNNNNNNNNNNNNNNNNNNNNNNNNNNNNNNNNNNNNNNNNNNNNNNNNNNNNNNNNNNNNNNNNNNNNNNNNNNNNNNNNNNNNNNNNNNNNNNNNNNNNNNNNNNNNNNNNNNNNNNNNNNNNNNNNNNNNNNNNNNNNNNNNNNNNNNNNNNNNNNNNNNNNNNNNNNNNNNNNNNNNNNNNNNNNNNNNNNNNNNNNNNNNNNNNNNNNNNNNNNNNNNNNNNNNNNNNNNNNNNNNNNNNNNNNNNNNNNNNNNNNNNNNNNNNNNNNNNNNNNNNNNNNNNNNNNNNNNNNNNNNNNNNNNNNNNNNNNNNNNNNNNNNNNNNNNNNNNNNNNNNNNNNNNNNNNNNNNNNNNNNNNNNNNNNNNNNNNNNNNNNNNNNNNNNNNNNNNNNNNNNNNNNNNNNNNNNNNNNNNNNNNNNNNNNNNNNNNNNNNNNNNNNNNNNNNNNNNNNNNNNNNNNNNNNNNNNNNNNNNNNNNNNNNNNNNNNNNNNNNNNNNNNNNNNNNNNNNNNNNNNNNNNNNNNNNNNNNNNNNNNNNNNNNNNNNNNNNNNNNNNNNNNNNNNNNNNNNNNNNNNNNNNNNNNNNNNNNNNNNNNNNNNNNNNNNNNNNNNNNNNNNNNNNNNNNNNNNNNNNNNNNNNNNNNNNNNNNNNNNNNNNNNNNNNNNNNNNNNNNNNNNNNNNNNNNNNNNNNNNNNNNNNNNNNNNNNNNNNNNNNNNNNNNNNNNNNNNNNNNNNNNNNNNNNNNNNNNNNNNNNNNNNNNNNNNNNNNNNNNNNNNNNNNNNNNNNNNNNNNNNNNNNNNNNNNNNNNNNNNNNNNNNNNNNNNNNNNNNNNNNNNNNNNNNNNNNNNNGUUUUUUUAUGGAUGCAUGAAUGAGGAGGGCAAAUUUUGGGGUGUUACACCAACCCUGGCAUAUCCUAAUAAGACCAAGCGAAGAUAUCAACAUACUCUUUCAACAAUGCUACCAUUCUGCUCUUGACAUUCACCUUCAAAGCGGCCCCAACCUUUACUUCGUUUAUGACCGCCUCGGUACCCAGAUUAACAAUCUCGACUUGCUCCUCGUGCGGUUGAAUCACCUUCUCCUCUUGUUUCAACAACCUGGCUAAUUCUUCCGACAGUUCACAAUCUUCUUCGCCUUCUUCUUCGGCAUGAUAGAUCGGGUUGUCGAAGUCAUAUAAAGGUGUAACAGGAUUGUUAUCAAUGAGAUCCGGAGAAUGAUCGCAUCUGCAUGAAUGUUGAUUCAUGCAUUGCUUUAGAGUCGGGACGAAGCAAAUUAAAAGGAAGAAAAAUGAAAAUAAACAUUGCCAUUUUUAUUUUAUUUUUCUUAAACUGCAAAAAUAAAUGAAAAACAGGGAACACCGCUUUUAAUGCGAAAAACAUCCGUUUAUUAAUGAUGCAAAUAAUGCAAAAUGAAACACAUGAGGUGGCCCUUACAAUGGACCAUUACGUUUCGGGAAAAACGUAUGGCUUUCAUGCAAACAGAAUUGAAAAACAGAAAUAUUACUCUUCACGCAGAGUGACAGUGAUGAUCUUUUCUCGUAUGGCUUUCAUGCAAACAGAAUUGAAAAACAGAAAUAUUACUCUUCACGCAGAGUGACAGUGAUGAUCUUUUCGGCCUUCCAGUUCUGGAUCUCCAUCCCUGGUACGCACAGUUUUAUCCACGAAUCAAGCUCGCAGUCACUGUCAGUCUCUUCACCCACUGCACAGACGCGAUCUGGAUUUAACAUUCCAGCACUGGUGAACGUGAGCGGUUGACGACGCUCUCUAUUCUGUCCAGACGAGCCUUGGCCCGACUGAUAGCCAAUCCCAAACCUGUCCUCUUUCGCCGCAAUGUCUAUCAUUCUUCCCCAACCUGGGGCCUCUCCACUUCUCACCACCUCCACGGCCUGUUUGUAAGAAGCAAUGGACGGCUUUUUCUCUUCCUUAGCAAAAAUGGCAUUCUCCACCUUAACGGUUUCAAACGCCUGGCUUGGUGUUUCAAAUAUUUCACCGUCCAUUUCCACAUAUUUGAACGAUGACAGUUGGCUGACAAAAAUAUCCUCCUCCCCACAAACUGUUACGACCUGCCCGUCCCAGAUAUACUUUAACUUCUGGUGCAAAGUCAAAGUUACUGCCCCAGCAGCGUGUAUCCAUGGUCGACCCAACAAGCAACUGUAUGCCGGCUGAAUGUCCAUGACAUAGAACACAGACUUGAACACCUCGGGCCCAAUCUUCACAGGGAGCUCAACUUCCCCAAACACAGCCCUCUUAGAGCCAUCAAACGCUCUAACCACCAAAUCAGUAGGCCUCAACACCACUCUUUCGCAAUCUAACUUAGCUAGGGCCUUCUUAGGCAACACAUUGAGUGACGAGCCGGUAUCAACCAGAACGUGCGAAAGCACUUCUCCUUUACACUCAAUUGAAAUGUGUAAUGCCUUAUUGUGAUUACGUCCAUCCACAGUAAGAUCAAGAUCAGUGAAACCCAACCCAUGGCUGGCAUUGACAUUUGACACCAUUGUCUCCAGCUGAUUGACCAUAAUCUCCUACGGGACAUAGGCCCUCUUCAAGAUUUUUAACAAAGCCUCUCUAUGCCCUUCUGAGCUUAACAGCAAAGAUAAGAUUGAAAUCUUGGACGGAGUCUGCUGCAAAUGAUCAACAAGUUUGUACUCAGACUUCUUGAUAAUCCUUAAAAACUCCUCGGCUUCAUCAUUCUUCUGAGCUUAACAGCAAAGAUAAGAUUGAAAUCUUGGACGGAGUCUGCUGCAAAUGAUCAACAAGUUUGUACUCAGACUUCUUGAUAAUCCUUAAAAACUCCUCGGCUUCAUCAUCAAGCUCAUUUUCCGACCCAAGAGGCAUCGGUGCCGCUCUAGGAAUACCCUCAUUCAUCACCUGUUUACCUUUUGCCCUGCCUAAAGCCUCGGCCUUAUCUCUCUUUUCUUUUUCUGCAUCCCUACUCCUUAACAUGUCAGGCGCAAACAACCUCCCACUGCGAGUGAAACCACUAAGUCCGGCAUUAUCCACCUUUGAAACGGUGGUAUCACCUGCAACCUGAUCUUCCUGCUUCUUUCCAUUACAAUACACCUCCCCACCAUAGUCCCACGGCACAGCAUCAUCAUUUUCAUAUGGAAUGGGUCCCGGUACCGUGAUGGUAACUGGAGCCGCAUCUGUCGGCGCUGACAAGUAGACAGGGUCAAAAUAAAUGGUUAUUGUUGAAACAUCCUCCUUCUCCAAAUCAACUUUCUCAAAUCGGAGACUUCCCUCAUCCAUCAUUCUCUGAACCGUCUCCCUCAAUACAAGACACCCAUUUGUAGCGACAGUGCAAGCAGCACAACAAUUAUCACAACCCGGAAAAACUCCAUUUUUUAACAACUGUCUCUUGACCACAGACAUUGGAGUCCUUAUCUGAUCCACGUCCAUCACCCCAAUUUUUCUCUUAUCCUCCGAAAUUGCAUUCACCCCCAUCUGACCAUGCGUCAGCAUGGGAUUAGCAUUAACAUUUGGCGAUGGUGCAAAAUUGAUGGCUUUAGAAUCCACCAAAUCUUGAACAACAUGUUUAAAGGCCUUACAACCCUCAAUGUUAUGCCCGGGAGCACUAGAAUAGAAUUCACACUUAGCAUUCUCAUCAUAAUUGGCAGGCCUCUGGUCUGGUCUUAACGGAGCCAACGUCCUCAGCUGAACCAACCCAAGAUCUUUCAACUUCUUUAACAGAAAUGCAUACGUCACGAGUGGCCUAUCAAACUGACGAUCAAUCAUCCUUCCUCUCACUUGAUACCCGGCCCGUUGUGUUCUCUGCUGAAAUGGUUGUCGUUGUUGUUGUUGUUGCUGUUGUGCAGGUUGAAUAUCAGCAGGAAUUGUUACUGCAGCAGUAUGCUUGUAGUAACGAUCCCUACCAUGUCCUCUCUGGGCAUACACAACACUCGUGUCACCCUCCUUCUUACGCUGACCGUUCCCAAAUGGCUUCUUCGAUCCAGACGACGAAGCAUUUCCCUGUAUCUUUCCCAUUUUUAGCCAGCUUUCAAUUCUCUCACCAGCCACUACUAUGUCUGCAAAACCAGUGACGGGACAACCCACCAUCCUUUCCGCAAAGGUCCCCUGAAGGGUACCCAUGAACAAAUCAGACAUCUCCCGAUCCACUAACGGUGGUUGAACUCUGGCAGCCAACUCUCUCCACCUUUGUGCAUACUCUUUAAACCCUUCAUUCGGCUUCUGAGACAUACCCUGCAACUGGGUACGGCUAGGUGCCAUGUCAGCAUUGAACUGGUACUAUUUAAAGAAAGCAUCUCCCAAAUCCUGCCAGCUCUUAAUAUCUGAUGAUCUCAACUUGGUAUACUACUCAAGAGACCCACCAGAUAAGCCAUCCUGGAAGAAGUACAUCCAGAGCUUCUGAUCCAUGGUAUAGGAAGAUAUCUUUCGGACAAAGGCCUGAAGAUGAGUUUCUGGGCAAGAACUCCCAUUAUACUUAUCAAACGUGGGCACUUUGAACUUCUGUGGGAUCACAAUCCCCUCAACCAGCCCCAUGUUUGUCAUAUUGAUAGCCCCAGGAGAGGUAUGGCUUUCCAGAGCCCUGAUCUUUUCUGCCAGUACCUGAAUCUCUUUGUUCGGCAGUUGAACACCAUAUUGACCAAGUUGCUCGUUCAGCACAGAGAACUGAUCUUCUUCUUUAUCCUCCACAGCCCCAAAGAAAGGAGGAAACUGAUUAUCCUUCAGAGUAUUGCCCACAGGACCUGGCCCACCGCCUGCAGCGAAACCAAAACCACCACCAUUGUUGAUGAAUACUCCAGCAUUAGUUGCCUUCUUUCUGAGAUCGCUACCACCCCUAAAACCACCAGGACCAUUGUUGGAGUUACCCUCAUGACUAUUGCCAUUGUUGACGAUCGAAGCCAGCUCAAGCCUCUCCACCUUCUCGACGAUUGCUUUCUGUUCCAUGGCGAACUCUUGCAUGGCGCUGAUCAACUCACUCAUCUUCUCUUUCAGCUCGAGAAUGUCAGUAUUGGAUGGAUCCAUCAGUUUGGGUUUGUUGCGUCUGGUAGGGUAUCUGUGCGGACGAGCUACGUGCAAAGGAAUGAUUCUGCGUGCGCGAGCAAUGAUUCCUAAAACAAUCAAACACGUUAGAAACCAACACUGGACGAGCUACGUGCAAAGGAAUGAUUCUGCGUGCGCGAGCAAUGAUUCCUAAAACAAUCAAACACGUUAGAAACCAACACCUGCAAAAUAGAAGAUAAGUUAUUAUGAUUCAUGCAUGAAUGCAAUGUCUAUCCAUAUGAGGAACAUUCUGUCCUUCGAUUCUGGUUUCAUUGAGACGGAUAAUAAUUAGGCAGCAAUAUCAUGACAUCAAUCAUCAGGUUUCGCCGUACAGAAAAAAAGGUUGUGCUCUAGCAAAGAUAUCACCCGACCAUGUGUGUGUUAAGUGAGUGUACACGGAAAAACAAAUAAAGCGUUGAGAUCAAACACUGAAUGAUAAUAACCACUGUAUAGCAAAAGUGCGCUACACGUGCGAGAAUCAUACACCAUGUUUGAUACGAAUCAAAUUUACAAUCCUCCAGAAUCAAAAAGGAAUACAAUCAAGUGAAUUCCGCCAACAUGCCUGACGGUAAUCCAACACAUGAUAACACUGCAAUAAAAGCUAAUCUGAAUAAGGUCUCACAGAAGACUCUGCUCCAUCAACCAUCCUGGUAAACUUCAUAGCGAACCUGAGCUCAGUGUUCUCCAGCCGAAGUCUUCCCACCUCUUUCUGAUGAAUCUUCAUCUGACGGAAAUAAUGGUCCCUCUCAGCAAGAUAAUGAUCUCUCUCGGUCAUAAUCUUCGCUUUCUCUUCUUCCUUAAUCCUCAGCUUUGCUUCCCACUCUGUGGUAAGGGCCUUGGCUCUAGUUUCCCUUUGAGUCUUCACAAGGACUUGUCUCUUCUUUUCAUCUUCAAUGACUUUCAACGCUCUAGCCAACUUCUCUUUGGUAAUGUCGUGCUCCUUCGUAGAUGACUCUAACGCUUGGCUGAUCUUACAGUAAUAGGCGGUAUCUUUCUCAAAACGCUUCACCUCCUGAGCAUGUAUCCUAGCCUGGUCUUCUGCUUUCCCCUUGAUCUCCUGAUUAGCCAUUUGAAUUCUAGCAACACUCAUUUCUAUCUCAGCCUUCUCUGCUUGCAGUUGAUCUCUCGUCCUCCUCAUCUCAAGAAAUUCUUCCAUACUGACAGAAGAACGUGGCUCCUCAAUCAACGGAUACCAAAGAUCACCCACAGGAAAUGGCAGAUGAGUGAGCUCAACCCUCUCUCUGAGCCAAUCAUCAAAUGGAGGAAAAGACAUGUUAUUAGCUCUACCAAAAGGAACCUUGCCUUUCCUUUGAAUGUCGCGCCAUGCCUCAGACACUUGCCUAAACAAUGACUGAUUACCCUCGAUCGGGAAGUAGAAAGACUCCUGAAUCUCACGCUCGAAGGGAGGACCCUCCAUAGCAAAUCCCAUUUGUCUCUUAAGAAGCGUCGGGUUGUAAUUAAUACACCCUUGAACUCCUAUAAGGGGCACAUUGGGAAAGCUCCCUCAACUGCAAAUAAAAUCUCGUCCAGCCACACCACUGUGAGUCCAAGCUAUGUCCUUGGCUCGCAAACCCAUUAACUUGGUUGCCCAAUUAACCGUAUGGUCAAGAAAGCCAAAGGCACCUCUGGAAGGCAAAUAUCCCAUGAACCAUUUAUAUAACAGUUGAGCACAAUAUCUAACCAAUCCUCCACGCCGCUUCUCGUUCCGAUUAUGGACCGAGUAAUAAACAUCCCCAAUCAAGGUAGGAAUGGGAUUCCUCUGAGCAAACACCCGGAUGGCAUUAAUAUCCACAAAAUUCUUCUGAUUAGGGAACAGGAUAAUUCCAUAAAUGCUUACAGCAAGCAGAGCACAGACAGUCCUCAAAUUACCCGAAACAACAUGUUCCUUGGCUCUGGCCUCCAAGAAACUCAGAUGAAAACCGGGCAACUUUCCUUUCUCCUUCAAACCCUUCUUAGUCACUUCCUGGCUCAAACAAAGAGCACGAGAAAUCUCAACAACACCAGGUUCUUCCUUAGUAACAUAAAAAGGAAUCUGGUUUCUGACCCGAAUACCCAGAAUACCGACAUAAUCUUCCAUCAAAGGUCCCAACAAAUAGUCUGGGAAGACAAAACAUCUCAAACUCGGAUCAUAAAACUGGAGAAGAGUAUGGAGGGCACUCCUAUCCCCAUCUGUGAGCCUGAAAACCAUCUUCAUAAUACCGCCAUAAGCUUCACGGAACAUCCCCACAUGGUCAGGUGUAAUCAAUGAUAUCAUACCCUUCAGCACGCUAAUCUCUGGAUUAAAGAAACUGUAGACAACAUUGUCUUUUAAGCCGGUCCUCAUACCUGGAACAAAGAUGUCUCUCAACCAGAAUCUCAAUCAAGAAUGUACCCUGCAUAUGGAUAAACAUGAGUUAGAUACGGAUAAAUGCAAAAUGGGAAUGAUGCAGAUGCAUGAAUGCAAUGCAUAAUUCCAUCCUCCAAGACAUCUGAGCACCAAUUGUACUGGAUUCCGGUCUCUGAACUGAUCACAACCAUCUGAGGGACUAAGUAACCACAAAUCCAACUCGGGGUUCCGAAAUAAACGGAACCGGAGGAUAUAUCACCAUCAUCACAGGAAAGCCACAGAACGGAUAACCACAAAACCAUCUGAACAAGUAACCCUUAAAUUCAACCCGGGGAUCCGAAAUAAACGGAACCCGCUGAUAAAUACCACGGACAGAACUCCGGCGUGUCAGAAAUAAACAUCCAUAAAUCCAACUUAUAAAUAGAACUCAGAUCACAAACCGAACCAAAGUCACCAUCAAAGAGUCACCAACAGAACCUGUAUCUGUAAGAAUCAAACCCCUCCCCUCACAGGUGAAUUCUAAUACGGUCAUCCUAAGGCGGAUAAUGGUCUCGACAAUCGGACAAGAUACUCAACGGGUUUGCCCUUUCGGGUGUGCCGUGCAGCUCUCAUAAGAUCAUCUAAACCAAAGAUCCGGGAAAGAACGGUCACCGUUUGCCCUUUCGGGUGUGCCGUGCAGCUCUCAUAAGAUCAUCUAAACCAAAGAUCCGGGAAAGAACGGUCACCGAAGUCAACAGCUCAAAAGAGGUAACCCAACCAUAGUGGAUACUCCACCAGGAAGAGCUCUCUCAGAAGAACCUCGUCCGGUUGUGGUAUGUCACGUCGCCACAAACAUGUUGACCUAACAUGUGAGGAAACAUGAGACCACGCUAAUCCUAAGUGUAUACUCGAGCCUGGGUUUUAGCCCCACUCAGAACACCCACCCCCAAAUCAUAGGAACCACACAUGUCCAGAAUCCAACACAGUGAUAAUAUGAUGCAUGCAAACAUAUAUGCAAAUAUCUACAAUCACAGUAUAAUAAUCACAAAUGCAAUAAAUUAGCAGUAAAAGCAACCCAAACUACCCUAAAAACUACACUAGAGAGCGCUAGGAUUAACUCGCUUAGGGAAGAUGGACUAGUAAGAGGUCAACCUUUAUCCCCAGCAGAGUCGCCAGCUGUCGCAACGCGAAAAACAACCGGCGGAAAAAUACAGAGCCGCCACCGACGCUAUUCAUCCUAUGACGGAAAGGGAGCGCAGGACUAACCUAAGAAAGGGAAAGGAAUCAACCGGCGGAAAAAUACAGAGCCGCCACCGACGCUAUUCAUCCUAUGACGGAAAGGGAGCGCAGGACUAACCUAAGAAAGGGAAAGGAACGGUCUUACGACCAGAGAUUAUAAGGUACGGGAGUCGAUUACGCAAGGGGAAGGUAUUAGCACCCCUCACGUCCGUCGUACUCGACGGGAUCCACGCUCAAAAAGAUAGCUCAAAGAAUAGGAAAAGGUUGCUAAUAAAAUUGCUCAAAGGAAUUGCACAAAUUGGAAUAAUAAAACAGAUGAAAGAAGACGGAGGAAGUGGACUCGGCAGGAUGUCGCAUCCUGGGCCUACGUAGUUUGUCAGAAACAAACAUCAGAGUCAACAUAGUUCGGGGAAAGGGAGACAUGCUCGCUAGGAUAUCGCAUCCUAUGCCUACGUAUCUUCUCUAUCCAUAGGAGAAUUAGAGCACUCGUAGCUCGGCUAACACACGCCGAAACAAGACACCAAAAAGGAGACGCUGAGACGUCAAAAGAAACACUCAAAAGGAAACAGAAUGCCAAUACAUGGACUUAUAUCCGACUCCCAACAAUAACCAACAAAAGGAAACAGAAUGCCAAUACAUGGACUUAUAUCCGACUCCUAACAAUAACAAACGCUAACCAGCGAACACCAAAGAAAAAAAAGUUAUCAGAAUGAACCCCGAUAUGUAUAACCAAUCACCACAAAUGAACCCCAAAAGAUGAACCCCGAAUGAGUGACAACCGUCACAAAUGAACCCCAAAUGAGUGACAACCGUCACAAAUGAACCCCAAAGAUAAACCCCAAGUGAGUGACAACCGUCACAAAUGAACCCCAAGUAAUAACAAUCAUCACAAAUGAACCCCAAAGAUAAACCUUAAAUGAGUGACAACCGUCACAAAUGAACCCCGAAGAUAAACCCCAAGGUAUAAACAUACCACACACGCUCAUGCUAGACAAACAAGUACUCUCACCAAAACAAAGAAAAGGGUGAACACACAGAGACUCAAGGAAAAGGGUGAACAAACACACGAAAACAACACAGCAAAAAAGAAAAAGGGUGCCCGGAGAGAUUGCUUGCAACCUCCUGCCUACGUAUCUCAUUUGGUAUGAGAAUCAGGGCGACGUAGUUCCCCUGAACAGGGGUAUAACACUCUCCUAACCAGAGACCAGGGAGACAAUAAACUAAUAGGGAGACUAAGACUCGAGCCUAAUAGUUGUCAUGCAAUCGAAUCCCUAGGUUGAGGUCUCUAACCUGCACUCAACUCACUCUGGAAGCGAGCCAACUGAAAAGAAAAUAAUCACCAACACAAGUGAAUAAGCAUCACACACUAUAUCCAUACAAGAGGCCCAAACAAUGGGUAGGCUUUAGUCAAGAGGGGUCAUAUCAACCUCGACAAACAAGCCAAACUGUAAUGGGUAAUCUGUAGCUCUUAACCACUAACAUUGAGAGUUAGGGUGAAGCUGAUCAAAAUGGUAAUGAGGAUGAGACCUCAUGCUCUUAACCCUGGCCUGGGUGAGCUCAAAACAAAGAAAGUGUGGGGAUCCAGAAAGUGAGAUCCUAUUCCACUUGACAGACUCUGGACAAAGAUCUUGGGUACAUGUUCAGAAGCAUCAGCACGUAGUGCGAGCAUAAUGAACGACUCAAUGAAUAACGGGGGAUUGGCUACUAAUCCCCUUUAUCCGUCAAUUGCCUCUUCACUUAGGAGGACUUAUCAAGUAACACAUGCCUCAUCUUGGAGGUCUUUGGCACAAUCUGUAAACAAACACAAAUAGAGCCUCUUAAGGAGGACUUCCAGCAAAAUGCCUGCCAAAAAAAGUGACAGGACUUCCAGACUACAUGGAGUAAGAAGAUAACUACCUAAGUGGUGUAUCAACCAUAAUCCAAAGCUCAAGCAAGAGCUAAAAGCAAGCAACUAAGGUACCUGUACAAAAGCUAACCAGUUAAUAUUUCAGACAUAAAAUCAAAAAACAAACAGUGAAACCAUCCAACUGUACACAACUCAAUGAACAAUGCUCAAGCACUCAAAUGAGCUCAAGCCUAUCACUUAGAACCCUACAAAACAAACAAAAGUUAGAAUUCAAAUCAUUUGCAUAAAUCAUUUGCAUCUCACAAAGUGAGACCAAACCAACCAUCAAUGCUAAAUGUCCAAACCUGAAACACAAGUCAAGGUUAGUUCAUGUACAAAACACUAGUACAAAGACUAGGUCCAAAACCAAACCUAAUGAUCAAAACAGAAGUCAAUCUUUUACACAAAGCUCAUUCAAACACUUCAUUCAAUGUCCUCAAAAGGACCAGCAUCAAUUCAAAAAGCAAAGGCAUCAAAUGACUCAUGUAAUGCAAUGACCAAACAAUGUGCACAAGAUGAACUUCCAAUUUAGAAAAUCCAUAUCAAAUGGAAAAUGCAUGCAAUGGCCUUGAGAUUUUUCAUACCAGUUCCUCAUGUCAUGAACAAACAACAUGCAAAAAAUUAAAUCCAGAAAGGUUCAAAUGAUAUAUGAACAAAAAUGCAACAAUUCAAUGUCAAAAAUGUGACACAAAUUGUCACAUUAUUCUCCAUGUGUCAAAAACAAUGAUGACAUAUGAGAAAAAAUCCAAACCAGUGCUUAAAAUUCAUAUCAUGAGUGAAUAUUAAGCAUGUAAAAAAUUUGAUCAAGAAGCUCAACACAUAGAAUUUCACAAGGCAAUGAACAUAACAUGUCAAGUUAACACAAGGUUCAAUCAAAAAUCCACAAUUAAAAAAAUCAGACAUCAACAAAUCAUGAAAAUAAUAUCAAAAAAAACUAGACAUUCAUACAAAACUAGGAAAAAAAAUUGGAGUUAAUUUGGAUCAUUUUCCUAUUUUUAAUGAUUUUUCUAAAUGAGCAAAAUAAAAUGGAAUAGCAAAAUAAAAUGGAGGGAAAAACAAAAUUCAAAUUAAAUCAGAAUAAAUUAAUAAAAUGGAAUAGCAAAAUAAAAUGGAGGGAAAAACAAAAUUCAAAUUAAAUCAGAAUAAAUGAGAGCCACACGAUGAAGCGCGCAAAAGCAAUCCAGCGGUCCACAUUCAAAUGUCAAAACACACCGUUUCAUUAAACACGGUGGCAUGCUCAGUCAGCUAGUCCUGAGACGCAUGGCAAGUCAAAGCAAUUCAGUCCAAUCAAUUAUACAGGCAAGGCACACAUCAGCAUACAGCAUGGCUAAAUGAAAUGAUGCGUUUCAUUUAUUAGUCAGCACACCACAUCAUCGGUCAAAGCAAACGCGUGACUAGUCAAUGCAAUUACAACCAAACAAUUGGUCACGAAGGCGCACACAUGGAACACACGUGGAUCCAGCAAGGCAAACCCUAACAAAUAACCAGACGCCGGAGCUGUAGCUCCGGUCGUCUUCUCCGACCAACCAGGCGGUGGCACCGCCGUGGAAAUUUGCAGAAAUACACAAACCAUACAUCAAUCGAACCGCUCUCUCACAAGGAAUCCAAAUAUCAUAUCAAUUCUUCCUAAAUCAUCAUGUAUUUUCCAGAUCGAACGAAAACAUUUUCAUAAUCAAAACUUGAAGUUCACAUAACAUGCUCAAUUCUCAUCCAUUUUUAAAUCUAAUCAUAUCUACGUGCUCUACAUAGUGAGAUCUACACAACUAUAACAAGAAAACAGCAAAAAGAGAUGAUGAAUUUCAACUCACUUGGAAAUGCAGGUUGAUGAAUUCGUGUGUUCAAGCUCUCAAAAGCUCCAGAUCCACUCUACUACACUUGACUUGAAGCUUUGUGCACGAAUCAACAGUUGAAACCACCUGGAUCUAGCUCAAUUUCCAACUUCCAUCUUCAUGAGAUUGUGCUUGAAUUGCUCCAAUUCUUGAUGAAUUGCACCAAACCAAAGCUGAUUCUUGAUCAGUGAGAUAUGAGGAUCAUGAUUAUGCAAAAAUAUUUGAGGUUUAUGUGGAAAAAAUGGAAGAAUCGGAGAGAGAAUUUCUUGAAUUUUGAUCUCAAAAGUUAGUUAUGGCAGUUAUGGCUUAGGGUUUGGCUUAUAUACUCCAUGCUAAUGACCAUGCUAAUCACACUUUGCAUUUGUUAAUCAAGAUUAAGGAGAUUUGAAGUGAUUUGAAAAAAUGCAAAAUGAGUUCAUUAUGCCAUGUUCUACGUGUACAGUACCAUGCAAGGCUUGGAAUUCACUUAAAAUCAACCAAGGAUCAACAUGGAAUUGGUAUUUUGCUUGUAUCAUAAGCCAAAUUUGAAUUAUGGAAAUUCCCUCCAAAAUAAACACAUGAGAAAUGAUGAGCAUACACACUUUUCCCAUGCAUGGCAAAGGCUAUUUUGAGAUGUCUUGAACAUUAGAAGCACUUUGCAAAAAGAAUGGGCCAAUUUGGAGCUUUGUAUCAAAAGUUAGGCCAUUUUGAAUUUCCAUGCACACCUUGUGAUCAAAUGAUCAUAACUCCUCAACCAUUCAUCAUAUGGACAUGAAUUAAGGCUUUUUUAAAAGGGGAGAAAAAGAUCUACAACUUUCAUGUUCACCAAAAAUCCAUUUGAAACAUCUUUGAUAUUGAAAAGUUAAGUUGAAGGUGGACCAAAAACUUGCCAAAUUGGGAAACUUUGAAUUACAGGUUACUUUCCAUUUUUGGAAACUUUUGCCAUGACCUUUGCAUCUUCAAGAUGUAUGUUUAAAAUUAUGAAUGGACCUCCUUUGAACAAGAUUUAGGUGUCUCAAUUCAUUUCCCCACCUCAUAGCCCUCAGUUGACUGCAUAGUUGACUUUUGGUCCUCAGAUGACCUUGACAUGCUUUGAUUCACUUGAGUCUCUACCACUUGGGGAAAUUGCUCAAAAAUGAAACCCUAGUUCAUGUAAGCUCCUUAUAGCAAUCAUAUGAUCCUCAUCCCCAGAAAAUACCUCAUCUCUUUGAGAAGCCUUGGUUGGAAGAAAUGCAUUGAUUAGGGUUGACCAGAGGUCACAACCCUAAUCCCAAGGAACUUGAGGAUGAACUAUGAAACCCUUGAUGAUGAUAGAACCAUGAUGAUGGUAAGAUAUCCUUUCAAACAAGAUGAUGCCCAAGACCUUUGAAGAAUCAAGAAACCCUAAUUGAAGUACAAACCCUCAGAUGGUUGAUAAUCAAUUCAUAGAGACCCUCAUGCUUGAAUCAUGUAACUUCUCCAUCUUUGACAAGAUUUUGGAGGAUGACCUUCUUAUUUCCCUAUGAUAUGCAAAAUGCAAUGCCUAAUGCUCUAAAAUACGAAAUGCAAUGUGUCAAACUAGUCUCAAGAAGAGGAGGGCAAAUUUUGAGGUGUUACACUAUGAUAAGUGAUUUUUUUAUGAUUGAUAUGGCUUUGGUAUGAAUUGGAUUACAUGGUCUUGGAUGUAUUAAUUAAUGUUAUUUAAAAUGAAGAUGGGAUUGAAAUGCUAGAAGUAUGUUAAAAUAUGCUUAAAUUGGAAGUUUGCUGCAGGUAUGAUGAGCAAUGCAUAGAACCGCAACUUACAUACGGUUAUGCUCUAAUAUUGUACUUUUCAUUUUAUCAAAGCCAAAAUUUCAAAUAAGAAUAUAUAAACAGUCAAAGUUAAAAUGAUACAUUUAAAACUAAUUUUACAUGUCUUGGAAUUGUCACCGCAUUUGUGUAUAAAUCAAUUUCAGGAAUACUUUUCUUGAGGGAACGGGGGGUCCGGCNNNNNNNNNNNNNNNNNNNNNNNNNNNNNNNNNNNNNNNNNNNNNNNNNNNNNNNNNNNNNNNNNNNNNNNNNNNNNNNNNNNNNNNNNNNNNNNNNNNNNNNNNNNNNNNNNNNNNNNNNNNNNNNNNNNNNNNNNNNNNNNNNNNNNNNNNNNNNNNNNNNNNNNNNNNNNNNNNNNNNNNNNNNNNNNNNNNNNNNNNNNNNNNNNNNNNNNNNNNNNNNNNNNNNNNNNNNNNNNNNNNNNNNNNNNNNNNNNNNNNNNNNNNNNNNNNNNNNNNNNNNNNNNNNNNNNNNNNNNNNNNNNNNNNNNNNNNNNNNNNNNNNNNNNNNNUUUUUCAUUUUAUUCACAAAGCCUAAAAUUUCAAAUAAGAAUUGAUUCACACUCAAAUUUCAAAUGACUAACAAUUUUAAAACUACUUUUACCAUGGUUCUGAAUUUGGUCACCUUUUUGGCUACUACUAUCAAUUUUCACGAAGAUCCUUUCUCUUUGAGGUGAAAGGAGGGGUCCGCGAUUAAAACAUAUGGUCAGAAAAAGAGGAAGGGACUUGGGAAAGUAAAAGAACAUAUAUAUUAUGUUUCCAUGAAAAAAAUCAAUGGCCAUUAAUGAAUGUUAAACUGGACAAUGUAUUUGGUUGUGGAGUUGGAUAGCAAAAAAUGGUUUAUGGCUAAUGAGAAUUUGAAUUGGAUAUGAAAAUAGGCUUAAGAAUUUGGGUAUGGGUAAAAAAGGAAGAAUGGGUUUUAAUAAAAAUAUAGAAUGCAUGGAUUAUUUAAGUUCACUCACCAUGGCCCACUAGUGAAAAACCGAAACAAGACAAUUUUAACAAUGGGAUCAAAUCGAAAUUAAAAAAGGUUAAUGGUUCCUAAAGUUACUUUGAUAAAAGAAAAGCAAAGCCUCCUAAAAAUCAACCCAAAGGCCGACUUGAAACCCCAAAGACCAAUUUGGGCGUAAACCCAUCUGAACCUCCGAGAUUAAAUCAGAUUUGAAAUCAAUUUGAAAAAGAAGACUAAGACACAAAUGAUGACUGAAUAAGCGCCGGAUUGAUGAAUCCUCAUGGCGCGACCUAUGGGUCAGAUCGUAUCAUGGCCAAAUGGACGAAUGGAUAUCGACCCCAUUAUGCACCAGAAACAUAUGACCAAGAACCAACUGGCUAAUCAAGAAUGGAUCCAGACCCCUAAAAAUGAGAUAUACAACCCCCUGGGACCCCUGAUCAUCAAAACACGUGGCAAACCCUGAUGAUCGAGGCAAUGAUCAGGUAUGAUCAAAUACCUUCAAAUCAAGCAAUUUACCAAACAAAUGAAAUUAUUCCCCGAUGUUAUAGACCAAGACAUCAGGGCUCGAUUGCCUGAUCCUCCUCAAAUUGUGAAUGAACCAGAGUGCUCACCAGGUGCAAGCAUAAAGCCAUGAAUCCAAAUCACUUGUAUCCUCUUGUAUUGGACCAUGAUUGUGCAGAUGAAAUGAAAUGUCUGUAAGGCUAUGCAUAUGAUUAAGGUUAGUGACCUAGAUGAACUUUGUGAAAGGUAGGGUGAAAUUUGGGGUAUGACAGUAACAUGUUGGGAUGAAUGGGGCUUUCUCCCAUUCCUUUUCUUGUUCCUCUUUUUGUUUCUUUUCAUGCCUCAAAAAUAUUUUGAAGUCCUUUACUGUAAGGGGCAUGUCACUGCUAGAGUCAGAUUCCUCUACUUUGAAUGUUAGGCUUUUGGUUUUCUUUUCUUGUUCAUCAUUUAUGACAAGUCUUUUAAGUUCCAUCUCGUGUACCUGUACUUUGAAAAAUAAAGUGUUUGUGUGUCGAUAGUUAAAUUCUUAAUGACUAUUGGGUUUCCAACUACGGUUUAGGCAUCUAAGAAAUUUUAUAACUAGGUCCUCGUUUGAAUUACUUUGAAAAAUAAAGUGUUUGUGUGUCGAUAGUUAAAUUCUUAAUGACUAUUGGGUUUCCAACUACGGUUUAGGCAUCUAAGAAAUUUUAUAACUAGGUCCUCGUUUGAAAGUGUUAUUCCCAGAGUUCUCAUAUGACAUAUGAUAUGGGUAAAUUGUCACUACUGCGUAAAUGCUCUUUCACCCUGGUUGGAAAAGAGAUACGAUCACGGUUGACCAACUAUGGUAGGGUAAGGCAUAAUAGUAAGUAUGUUGCUUUCUAGCACAAGCAUAUGGCCGUGAUGACAAACUAUGUCGCACGCUACAUAUCACAAAGGUUAUCUCAAACAAUCUUGGUGAAACAUAUUAAGGUCGUGGACUCGAUUCCCAAUCAUAAUAUGAUAUAUAAUAAUUGACACUCUAGCUAUCACCAUGGUGUCUUAUUCAAUUAUGGUGAAAGACUUUUUUUUAAAAUAUUCUUUUUUAUUAUUCCAUUUAUGUCCCCUUUUUUUUAGUACUUAUAUGCUAUAUUUUACCAUAAUAAAAUUAGCAAAUAUGCAUAUCUUUGUAACCAAAAUAUGACUAUAAAAUAUUUCCAUCAAACUUAAAAGUAUAGCAAACAUAUAAUUACAAAAUAUAGCUUUACCAAAAUGUAACCAGCCUAAAUAUUAUUUACAUCCAACAUAAAAAAAUAGUAAACUUAUAUUACAAACUUAUGUAUGAUCAACCUUACCUAUAAAAUGCAUUGAAAAAAAACACCAAACAUGCAUAUACGUCUCUAAAAUCUUCUUCUGAUAAUGAUGUAGUGUCACUACAAUAUACAAUAAAAAAUACACAACUAAUAUUUGUAAUAGUAAAGAAACACAACAAAUACUAUAAUUUUUGUUGAUUAAUAUAAAAAAUAAUAAUACAACACAGAUAUUUAUCAUUAAAGCAUAAAAAAAACACAAGAUAAAUAUUUGAGCGGCAAAAUAAAUCCGCUUCAAAUCAAAUGCAAAUAUAAAUCAAAUAAAUUUUUCAUAAAAUAAUAACAAGAAAGUUUGCACAAAGAUAAUUAGACGAUGAUGUUAUAGAACUAGAUCCAUAAUCCAUUACGAUAUAAGAAAUAUAAUAUUUUAUUGAUAUGAUAAUAAGGCAUACAUGAAAACAAUGCUAUAACAACACAACAUAAGCCAUAUAUAAUAAUUCAAACACGUUUAAAGGAAGUGAGGUUCCUUAAGUGCUUCAAUGGCUGAUCCGACACAGCAGCUUCAUAAUUGUUAGACGAUGAACCGUCUUUGGCAGAAAGAGUGAGGUGGUAGUUGGUCCCUGCAACAACCUGUGAUUCACCUUUGAUAAGUUUCUCAAACUCCAAUGUUGCUCCUUUUUGCUUGUUGUACUCGACAACUGCGAAACGGGCUAUUUCAAUCACAUAUGGAUCAGUGAUGUUCUUUAUGGGUGUCCAACCGCCUGGUAUAGCUUGAUUCAGAGUGGCCGAAGCAAACAAAAUAAGGAAGAGGAGACUAAGGGAUUGAAAUCUCAUGAUGUCUGUUAACUUGAGAAAUCAAGAUGGUGUGAGUUAAACUCUGUGGUGUGGAGGAGUAGUUAUAUAUAAUGUACAAAAGUUAUGCCAUUUUUGGUGAUAUACUCUUUUAUUCGUUGAAUUAAAUCAAAAAUUUCAUUUGAUUUUAUUUCAUGAAAAUAAAAUAAUUUUUUUUUUACCAAAUAAAUAAAAUCUCUUUAAUAAUAUAUAAUAUUUAAUAAACCUACAAUUAGUUUAAUAGAAAAGUAUGGUCAAAAGUAUUAUAUUUAAUGUCAUUCAAGGAAAAUGUUGUCAAAAGUAUUAUAAAUAAUGUUAUUCUAAAAAAUGUCAUACAAUGUUUCUGUUUUUUUAAUAUAUUUAUUUAUAUAAAACAUUUGUAUAAUAGGUUGUUCUAUGUUUUUGAUUUUAUCUUAAUAAAUGAUAAUUAUUUUUUUUCAAUUUUUUUAAGUAAUAAUGAUAAGAGAUUAAUUACUAUACACUGUCAGUGUAAAAAGUUUUACACUGUCGGUUCAUCACCAUCACCCGUUUGUAUUACUUUGUAGAUUUUUAAAAUAAAAGUCAAACAUCUUUUAAUAUUCAACGUCUAUAAUUAACUGACGGUGUAAAACCCUUUUACACUGUCAGUGUAUUUCAAUUAAUCUCUAAUGAUAAAUAUUUUUCUUCUAUAUUUUAUAAUAUUUGACAUGCACUUUCUUUCUUUGUCUCAAUGAAAUAUUUAUUCCUUGUUUAAUUUAAUAUUUAUUAGUGACAAAAUAUUUGUUCCGCGCCAUUUAAUUUAUUAUGACAAAUUAUAUAAUUCUAAAAAAAUAGAACAAUUAUUUUUUUUACAAUAAAAAUAAAUAAUCAUUAUUUAUUAUUAAUAAAUAACAAAAUAGGAGACAAAAAGUUAUCAUUCAUGUAUAAAAAAGUGCAAGAUAAUCAUUUUUUUUAAUAUAAAAAAAAUGGGACACAAAUAUUUAUUGUUGAUGCAUAAACAAAAAUGUGACAAAUAUUUUUUAUCGAUACACAAAUUAAUUAAUAAAAUGUAAGUUCAAGAAAAGGAAACAUGUUUUUAACAUAUAGGUGAAAAUUGAAGACUAUAUCAUCAUAUAAAUAAUCCGGUUUAAAUUUCUUUGGCCCAUAAAAAAAUAAUGAAAAAAAUAAAGGGAAUAUAAAGCAUUAAAUUCAAGAUGUGUGUGACUGAAACGGAGGAGGGUCUCCUUACCUUUUGUUGGUGCACAAGAUCAAGCCCAAACUCAAAAGGCAAACCACAUGAUCAAUGAGUACCAAAGACCAAGAACUAGGGUUUUGCGCAUAAGUAAAUAUCAUGAUUGUAAUAUUUAUGAACCAUGGUCCCAAGCAAUAAGAAUUAAGGUUUCACCCCUUGAUUCCAUAUUGAUUGCACCACCACAAUCUCUAGGGCUUGAUCCUCAAGCAAACCCUAGCUUUUGUCAGGUAUAUAUAACCACAAACUUUGAGUCUAUAAUGUAUGUUUGAGAGUGCUAACAUGAAUGAAUGAUGCAUAUGUAUUUGAUAUGAAUGAGUACAGAUGAAUCUCAAACCACACGUCAGAUGAAAAGUAAAAAGGGGAGGGCAAAUUUUGGGGUAUGACAGCUGCCCCUAUUUAAUCAUCUUAAACCUGAAUGUGUGAAUUGUGACACCUUUUCGGGUAUUCAAGGUAGAAGAGGAUUAAAUACCAAAAUAUUCGGAAAUUUUCCCCUUGAGAAUGGUUGUAAUGUGAGAAGGUAAGUGUAUUGGGAAUAUGGAAUGACAAGUAGACUUUUAUAGGUUCAUCUGUUGGGGAUUGACUGAAAUACUCUGUUGGGGAAAUAUAUCAGUCGAAAAGGAAAAGCAUGAUAUGCAUGCUAUAUGCAAUGUAUGUUUAAUUUUUAAUAAUACAUGAAAUUAUGUAUUCUACAUAGAAAUGUGGGUUAUUUUAUGAUAAAUGAAUGAUAUCCACAAGGGUAAGAUUUUUCUGGUGUAGAGUAGACUUCAACUCACUGAUAGUCGCACCAAAGAACAUGUAAUGAAGGAAUGCUUUAUGUUACCACCACUACUGGAUAUGUUCACUUGAUCCUGCUGGGGAGGAAAGAGUGUGAUCUGAUCGAGCAUUCAUUGAGAUGCUCUCAUAUAUCAAGCACUUUCUAGGUAAUCAAAGCAACACACAAAGCUUUGCUUGUUCAUUUUCAAGGCUUCAUGCUAUGAGCGAAGCGACAUGAUUCCACAUGGUGAUGAAUUAUGCAAUGGUUAACCAGAUGCUCAUGUGGCGGGAGGUGGGAGAUUUAAGACUAGGAUAAAGGUCAUAAAGACGUGAUUCUCCGAUGCCAACUUCAGGCUCAACAGUUUUCGUCACACCUUUGCGCUGUUUUAAAAUAGGGAGAAAACGUGUACCUUAGUAGCCUACCUCUUCCCCAGUCUGUAGGGUGUCUGCAUGAAUUUCCCCAAUCACAAAUUAUGAAGCAGUCUUGUCAUGGGAAGAUCUUGAUUUGGCUUUCCCCAGUGUCUUGAAACUGUAUCUCCUUGAUCAACCAUUUCCAGGAGUGUUUGACUUCUCGUGCUCUUGAGUUGGCAUGCCCCAUUAUGAGCCUUGAAGUGACUUUAUCCCUGGUUGGCUAAGCUAGGAGAGAUUUGUCUUCUCGAUGUGAUUGCCCCAGAUUGAAUGAGUCUUGAAGUGGUAUUCACUUCUUCUCAAGGGAAUGUUCAGGCAUUUUACCCUUUGGUAUGAUCAAACUUCCCAUUAUGGAAACUUUCUUGAUGUCAAAUGCUUGUUCGUAAGUAAAAAUGUUUAUUUUUCAAAUGAUAAUUCUAACGUUAUGUUUAUGUAAAUUUUGAAAUCCAAAUAUGGUCACUAAAAUUAUGAGAUAUAAUGAAUGAAUCAUUAGUUAAUAUGUCAUAUCAAUACCAACAUAAAGGAUAAGCAAAUCUUUAAGAGUCAGUUUUACAUGAUCCUAGUAUAGUAUGCUUUUCAAAAUAAACCAUGCUUCAAUUAGGUCUUUUGAGGGUUAUGAUGUGGCCUGGUUCACGGUUUUAGAAGUAAAGGAUACAAGGCUCGAAACCUAUUCUAACCCGCCCAUUCUCCUUGAUGUUCUACAGUCCUACGUUCAGCUCGCUCAACACAAACACUUAUUUUUCAAAAUGGAUUCUGAAUAUUAGUUGUGAUGGUUAAGGGACCCAUGAGAUUUUGAGAGUGACAAUCACCCACCUUUUACUUUUUCUUGUAGCCACACGAAUUUUCUCUUGUUGAGGAUUCUUGAUUCCUCUUUUUUUUUUCUUUCCCUUAUUUUUGCCAGGACUGAUCCCUUUUUAAUCUUGCAGUCCAUCGGGAUGCCCUAAUUUUCUCCUAAGUCACUUAUUUUCAAGUUUUCGACUUAGCAGACUUUUCUUUUGCUUUUGAUUUCUUUGCAUUUCUCAUUUUUCUUCUCUCUUUUUAAUCUUGCAGUCCAUCGGGAUGCCCUAAUUUUCUCCUAAGUCACUUAUUUUCAAGUUUUCGACUUAGCAGACUUUUCUUUUGCUUUUGAUUUCUUUGCAUUUCUCAUUUUUCUUCUCUUUUGAGAAAAAAUUCUGUGACAUUUGCUUGAUUUGUUGAAAGGGUUGUGACUGUCUCGCUCCUUUUUUUUUGUAAGGGAUAACCAUUAGGGAUCUGUGAUUCAAUCCUCGCCUGAGGGAUAUUAUGUGGUUGAUCCUUAGAUAGGAUACUCUCAUUUUUGAAAUUUCAACGCACGGUCAAACUAGAUGAAGACUACCCUACCCCUGGUUAAGACUGAGGGUUUUAUGUAUAGAAAGAAACUCCUACUCCAAGGCCCAAAGCGUUGACUAGGGAUUAUCUUCCUUAUACCUCCGGUGUUUAGGGAUUUGAAACAAUGCCUUACAUCGUCAACAAGGUUUUAUUCAAAAGCAUACAACCAGUAGUCUCGUGUACUUUGAUUUCAUCAUUCUCUUUUGAUUUUUAUUAAGCAAAAGUAUGAUAUUGUAAAAAAGAUAUGAGUGAACACGAAUGGAUUGAUUCAAAACAUGCAUAUUCAAUUCAUUAUGAUUAUUAUUAAAAAAUAAACAAGUUUUUACAAGUGGAUAUUACAUUGACAAACAAGAAAAACUAUAGAUGAAAAUGAAUGAAAAAGUGAUCUUCAGUGUUGAUUAGUCACCAUUUGUGCUAGAAUUUUCAUCAGUUAUACGUCAAGAAACCAGGUAAAUUGUAGAAGUUUCAGCUUAAUUAUGGGUAAUUCGAGUCAGUUGGUGUCUUAAUAGUAUUUUCUUUGUUUAAGUUUCUGUUAUCUAUUUUUAUGCUUUUGGUAUGUGUGGCAUGUUGGAUCUAGGUAUAAAGGCACAAGGAAUCAAGGAUCGGACGCAGGACAUGGCCAGAACAAGGAAUUAGAGAAAAAAAGAAAAAAAAAAGUGCAAGCAUCUUCCCAUAUGCAUAUGUACUCAUAUAAUACACGUAUGAACCUGCACUAUACGCGUACCUUACUGUAGCACCUCAAAUUUGCACCCAUCAUUGUACAUACAUUCUCAUAUUAGGUCAUAGCAUAUCAUGGUCCAUUGCAUAGCAUUGCAUUGCCUCAGUUGCCUCAAGUACAAGCAAGUCAAGAAUUAGGUCAAGACUGAUCAGAUCGGGGAGAUCAAGUGCACCAAGCAAGCAAGGGUGUUUCUCAAGGAGAAAAGGCCCUAGGUUUGUCCAACAAGUUCACAUGACUUGGAGGUCCAUUUGAAGUUUUUAAGUCAAGGGUGCGAUGUUCAGAACCAUCAGUUCAUGCACAGACAGUCAAAAACCUAGAAAGUCAAAGUUAGUCAACUGUGUUGAUUUUGGGGUUUUUUUUUUUCGGGGGGGGGGGAUGGAUGGAUUGGGUUUGAGAGGGCUUAUUCAUGUCCAAUAGGCCUCAUAUAUCAUGGCAAUCAACUCAUUGAAGAAUUUGAAGCCAAUCAGAAAAUUUCCAAAAAUAGAAACUGGACUGUAAUUUUAACUGCAAAAAUGGAAAACUUCUUGAUCCUCACUUGCAUCAUGAUACAAGGCUUCAAAUGAAUUUUUUGCCCAACAUGAAAGUUGAAGAAAAAAAUCUNNNNNNNNNNNNNNNNNNNNNNNNNNNNNNNNNNNNNNNNNNNNNNNNNNNNNNNNNNNNNNNNNNNNNNNNNNNNNNNNNNNNNNNNNNNNNNNNNNNNNNNNNNNNNNNNNNNNNNNNNNNNNNNNNNNNNNNNNNNNNNNNNNNNNNNNNNNNNNNNNNNNNNNNNNNNNNNNNNNNNNNNNNNNNNNNNNNNNNNNNNNNNNNNNNNNNNNNNNNNNNNNNNNNNNNNNNNNNNNNNNNNNNNNNNNNNNNNNNNNNNNNNNNNNNNNNNNNNNNNNNNNNNNNNNNNNNNNNNNNNNNNNNNNNNNNNNNNNNNNNNNNNNNNNNNNNNNNNNNNNNNNNNNNNNNNNNNNNNNNNNNNNNNNNNNNNNNNNNNNNNNNNNNNNNNNNNNNNNNNNNNCAAGGGUUGGAUGUUCAGAAGCCAUCAGUUCAUGCACAGACAGUCAAAAACCCUAGAAAGUCAAAGUUAGUCAACUGUGGUUGAUUUUGUGGUUUUGAUGGAUGGAUUUGGUUUGAGAGGGCUUAUUCAUGUCCCAAUAGGCCUCAUAUAUCAUGGCAAUCAACAUCAUUGAAGAAUUUGAAGCCAAUCAGAAAAUUUCCAAAAAUAGAAACUGGACCUGUAAUUUUAACUGCCAAAAAUGGAAACUUCUUGAUCCUCAACUUGCAUCAUGAUACAAGCUUCAAAUGAAUUUUUGCCCAACAUGAAAGUUGAAGAUCUUGUUCUCCCAUUUUCAAAAAGUCCAAGAACUCUCAAAUCCCAUGAAUGGUUUGCAAGAUAUGGUCAAAUCAUUUUCACAUUUUCAUGAACUUCAAAUGGCCAUAUCUCAUGAUUCCUUUGGCCAAAUUUGAUGGGGUUUUUUCCUACAAUCUCCAUUUAAUCCCCUCUUUCCAAAAAUUCAUUCAUCAUUCACCAAAACCUUGCCAAUCAAAAUGGCAUUUUUUGACUUGUUUCAUUAAAAUUCAAGUUUGACCAAAGGUUGACUUUUUGAUUUAAUUGUUUUCAGCACAUUUGGCCAUUUGGAAUUGAUUUAGAAUGUCAUUUGCAACAUGUUCCAAGCCCAAAUUCGUGCACUUGCUAUCACAUACCACCAUUUUGGCCAAAAGUGCAAAAUUAGCAAUUUGAUUAAAAUGAGCAAAGUUUGGUUAGCACUUGAUUAAGCUUUGUUAAACAGCAAAUAUAAAGUGUUUUUUCUGUCAUUCUAAACCCUAGUCACAGCCUCCUAACACACAGAAUUCCUUCUUCUCUCAUUUUUGCAUUUUCACACUUUGAGAAUUUCUGACCAAAAGCUUCAAAGUGCUCGAGCAACCCUUGAUUGUUUCAUCACUUGGCCAACCUUUGGAAGCUAUUUUGGACCUUAUUCCUCGACUGUAAGCAGAGGAAACUCACUGUUCUAUUGCAAGCUCUCUCAUGGCAGAUUAUGGUUCAAGCUAUCUCGUGCAUUCUUGAGCUGAAAUAACUUCAUUAUCCAUCAUUUCAAAGCAUAAAGCACAUCUGUUUCGAGCUUUGAAGGCCAAAUAACCAUUACAACUCAACUGUUCUUCAAUCUUGGUAACAUUUCGAAUCUCACCUUUUACCAAAUUAGCUAUGCUAGGAAGGUCUUUGUAAGCUGAAUGCCAUUGCAAACUUGUAACAUCAAAAAUGGUAUGAAGCGGACGAAAUCGAAUUCUAUGUGUGACGCAAACUAUUCACUCGACUUCCGCUUAGUAAUGAGUUAAUGAGAUCUGGUUUCCAUAUUUGGUGGUCGGUGGAUGAUGCAUUGAUGUAUGAUGUCAUCUGGCAUAAAAAUCNAUGCCAUUGAUGUAUUUGAUUUGCGGUUCUGGGCAUAAAAAAUUUUCGAGUUGAUUUGAAGAUGAUGAAGCAUACUGUAGCAUUAAAACCCUAGCAUUUUCCAGAAAAAACCCCUGUUUCACGUAUUGCAUGUGGUUGUUUACUGUGCAUUUCCAUGAUAGCCAAUUAAAACAUUUCAUUUGCCUGGCUGAAACUCUGCGUUUUGAUAAGUAAGGGCGGUAAUUGCAAAAUUGCCACCGGUCAACCAUGUUGACCUAGUAUAACCAUGUUCUUUGUUCAUUUUUGUCUCAAUUGUUAUUCAUCUUCCAAAAUUCAUUUCUCACUCAAUUUAACUCCAAAAAUCAUGGAAUUUUUUGCAUCAUGUUCAUGAGAAUGUCUUUUAUUUUAUCAUGAUUUUUGCUGAAUUUUUGGUUGGCUGUAUUUUUAAUGGUGCUAGUUUUCUUAACAUGUAUGCUCAUUUGACACAUGUUGCCAAUCCUUUUGUGAAAUGAUCAUGUUGCAUCCUUUUGAUCUGAAAAUUUUUGUGGUUAUUCUACACUCAUCCAUGCUUAUUUUGGUAUAAAUUUCAUGAUUUUAUCAUAUGUGGAUUGAGAGCUUUGAUUUUUUUGAAGUAAGGUGUUACAUUUGAUGUCACACCAUGAAUGUGCAAGUUCAUGAAUUUUGUUGACCUACUUCUUGGCCUCCAAUUGACCCCAAAUUUUGCAUGAUCCCUCUCAUAUAUGUCUAGUUGACUUGUGAAUUUUCUUGGAUUUAUUUGAGCCAUUUCCUAAUUACUUGAGAUUUUUCUUCCCUGCCUAGUCAUUUGUUGACUUUGUGUGACACACCUUGCCAUUUCAUUUGGGAAAUUCUCAUGCCUUAUUGUAUGAUCAUGCAAUUUUGCAUGUGCAUACUAGACAUCUUGAGAUUUGCAUUGGUGUUGAUCCCAUCCAUUUCUAAUCUGUUUUCAUUUUGUUAUGAUUUUUUGAAGAUGACACAUGUUUUGUUGACUUCUUUGUGCACACUUGAAAUUGUGUUGACUUCCUGAUUUUAAUUGACUAUCUUCCCAUGAUCCAAUUGAGCUGAAAUUUCAUAUGCAUGCUAUGUUAUGGAUUGUGAUUGAGCAUGAAUUAUUUGAUAAUUUUUGGAAUUGAUUAUGUUUGCUUUUGAGCUUGGUCUUGCUGUUGACCUUUUGCAUGUUUCCUUUUUGCCAUGUUUUGACUUCUUUGGUCUAUAAGAUGAUAAUGAUGCAUGAUAUGAGUUUGAAUCCAAUUGUGCUUGCUUCUUAAAUGCUUGAACUUGACNNNNNNNNNNNNNNNNNNNNNNNNNNNNNNNNNNNNNNNNNNNNNNNNNNNNNNNNNNNNNNNNNNNNNNNNNNNNNNNNNNNNNNNNNNNNNNNNNNNNNNNNNNNNNNNNNNNNNNNNNNNNNNNNNNNNNNNNNNNNNNNNNNNNNNNNNNNNNNNNNNNNNNNNNNNNNNNNNNNNNNNNNNNNNNNNNNNNNNNNNNNNNNNNNNNNNNNNNNNNNNNNNNNNNNUUGUGCGUGGAUCCCGUAGAGUACUACGGAUGCGUAGGGGUGCUAAUACCUUCCCUUCGCAUAACCGACUCCCGAACCCAUUCUCUUUGGUCGCGAGACCAUGUUCUUUCCUAGGUUUACUUCGAGCGUUUCCUUUCCCUCUUUUGGGAUAAAUAACGCACGGUGGCGGCUCUGUUGUUUCUUUCUUUUCCCGCCGGUUUUUCGCGUAAUGCGACACUUACGAUUUUUACCAGAAAGGAGAAAAAACGUGUUUGCUUCCCUUACGCAUAAGAACAAAGGUGUUACACGUAUGACUGUGACUAUUACUCGUACCAUGCGAGUUUCACUAGGAAGAGGAACAAAAACAAGCUUUUGUCCAUACGCGUACCGUACGUGUAAGGGCAUGCUUGAGAGGCCACUAUAUUGGCGUACACGUAAUGUAUGUCUUCAAGGAAUAAGGCAAUAUGCGUAUGACACUGGUCAUUACGUGUAUUAAAGCCCAAAUAUUCAGAAAGCCCAAAUUUUGAGUAUUUAGCUCCUUAACACGAUUUUACAAGGUUUGGACAAUUUUACUGAGAAAAAACAUGUUCUAAGGCUGGAUAAUUCAGAUUUUCAAGGUGGAUUCAAAUUUUCAAGAGUUUUCUGCAAUUGAAGACCAAUUCAUCUAAGAUUUCUGUAAUGACAAGAAUCUUUACUAUGUUUUCUUUUCUUUUUAUGAGUAGCUAAACCCCUUAUUGGUAGGUGGUGUCCCUGAUUCAAACUUGUAAUGGUUUUGAAUUACUUUAUGCAAUAAAAAUAAUUUUUAGUAUAGUUGAUUUAUUAUCAUGAACGUUCUAAUUGCUUUCUCUAACGGACAAACGGAGUUUGAUGUAUGUGAAAUAAUUAGGAUGACCGCCAUUAUUCAUGACCUGCUUGAGAAUAUAUCAUAGUAGAUGAUGCAUAGGACUAGGGAUACCAUAUAAUAACUGGAUUAUUCUUGAUAUAAUAAUGUUUAAUUUCAUCCUUGAUUUUCUAUGUACAUAGUAAUUAGGUUGAAUGAUUAAAGAUUUUCUCACUAAGGACUUAGGAGUAAACAUCCUUAAGAAUUGGUAGUCAAUUAUAUAAAAGUUGUUGUCGCACCGUGAGUUUGGAAUCGUUACAUGAUUGAAUCAUACACCUUCCCUUGCAUACUACUUAUAUUUAUCUUAACUGUUCAAGUAUUUUAUUUACUUUAUUCGCUUUUGCUUUUCUAAUUUCAUCAAAACAAUACAAAAACACCCAAGCUUUUGUUUUAAUUGAAAUUAAUCCAGAACUCUGUAUCAUCAAGCAGUCCUUGAAAUCGAUACUAGGGAUUUCCCCUUUUUGUUACUUCAUUGGCAUAUUAGUACACUUUCUAAUUUUCUGAUCAAACUUUUGGCGCCAUUGCGGGGGACUGCCAAAGAUGAUAGAGUUCAUAAAUCUAUUUCAGUUAAAGUUGUGUUGCUCUGCAACUAAAAUUUUAAAUUUCAGUUUUUUGUGUGUGGCUAUUGUUGGGUUAUAAAUAAUCUUUGUAAGUGAGAAAAGCCCUCAGCUGAUUUUACUUUUGAUGCAAAACCAAAAAGAACUUUUCACGCCAGGCUACGACAAGCUAAGGAAACAAGGUUGACUGCCACUGAAGCAAAAAUUUAUGAACACUCAAAUAUAGAAUCCCACAGAGAAAGAGAAGAUCCAAUUAUGGCUGAACCACAAGAAAGACUUCGUGGGGAUUAUGGAGGCGAAAAUGCCCCAUUGGUACAUUUAACUAUAGUGAAUCAACUAGUGAAUGUUCCAAAUUUUCAAUUGCAUCCAACAACCAUCUGUCAGCUUGAGAAAAGGCCUUUCACAUGGAAAAUCAAUGAAGAUGCAAAUAAACAUAUACAAAGGUUUCUUAUUAUGAGCACUACUUUGAAGAUUGAGGGGCACACUGAAGAAGCAAAAUUUUUUUGAGAAUGUUCCCAUUCACUUUAGCUGAAGACGCUGAAGAAUGGUAUUAUUCAUUGUCAGCUGGAAGUAUUACUACAUGGGAACGGAUGGAAACAACUUUUCUAAAUGAGUACUUUCCUGCUUCUGUUUAUAAAGAUAAGAUAUUGUGAAUUUUAAGCAGAAAGAAGGGGAAUCAAUGGGUGAUGCAUAUAAGAGAUUUAAAAGGUUACCGGUUGCUUGUCCCACUCAUAACUUGGAUCAGACUGAAUAGAUGAAAAUGUUUGUUAACGACCUCAGAUUGAAGACUAAGCAACUUAGUGAUACAACUUUCGGUGGCUCUGCCAAUUUUUACAACAUCCAUUAUUAUCAAGAAGAUAAUAGAAGCCAUUGCUGCAAAUGAACAUCUAGAGUUAUAUGACCAAAGUGCGAGUAAAAUAGAAGGUGUGAUUGACUUGAAAAGUUGUAAAUCAGAUUGUGAAGAUGGAAGACCAAGAUGCUGCUGAAGUUGAGAGAAGACUUAAGGCUAUGAAUAUAGGUACUCAACAAGUAGCCGAAGUUCAACCUGUUCAAGCGGUUGAUUGUGAGAUUUGUGGAGGGGCCUAUUUUCCCAUGCAUUGUGUUUCAACUACAGAAAAAAUUGAGGAAAUAAAUUUUUUGAAGCAAAACAACCCAUAUUCUAACACAUAUAAUCCGGGCUGGAAGAACCAUCCAAAAUUCUCCUAGCAAGAUCAGCAAGGGAAUGUUCAAAAGUAGGGUCCUACUCAGUAUCAAAACCAACCCAACAAUCUUAGAAUCCACAACAUCAACAACAGUAUCGACCACAGCAACAACAACAGUAUCGGCCACAGUACCAACCACAACAACAACAAUAUCAACAACAUGCACCCAAAAAGGCCAAUUUGGAAAUUUCCAUUGAAAAGAUGGUAGCUCAAAGUUCCCAGUUCCAAGUAGAAACAAGAAAUAAUCAAAGAAACACUAUGACUUCUAUAAAAAAUCUGGAGGUUCAGAUGCCAUAACAAAUAGCAGGUUCUCAAGCACAAGGUUCCCUACCUAGUGCAAGUAUGACAAACCCGAGAGACCAUAAUAAUGUGAGUGUAGUGACAACAAGCAGUGGGAAAUCACUUGAAGUUCCUGAAGAAAAAUCAAAGGAAGAAGACUAAUUGAUUGAAGUGGUGCUAGAAAUCAAAGAAAAUCAUACCACUACAGAGGAAUAGGUCACACCAAAAUAGGUUGUAAAAGAAAAACCCACUUAACGAAAACCAAUCAUCAAACUACCAUUUCCUACAAGGAACAUGAAGAAUGACCAAAAUGAGAAAAAAAUUGAAAAGUUCCUAGAGAUGUUUAGAAAGCUAGAAAUCUACAUUCCAUUCUCUUAGGCACUUGAGUCGAUGCUCAUAUAUGCGAAGUUCAUGAAGGAUAUUAUCUCAAAGAAAUGCACGAUUGAAACUGAACCUAUACUGCUAACUAAAACUUGUAGUGCUAUUUUAUAGGGUAUGAAGAUCUCAGUCAAAAAUAAAGAUAGAGGUUCUGUCACCAUUCCAUGCACCAUUGGGGAUAGAUCAUUAAAAAGGAACUUAUUGAUUUGGGAGCUAGUGUGAGCCUUACGCCUUUAUCCAUAUACAGGAAACUGGGAAUAGAAAUGGUACAGGAUACCAGGAUGACACUCCAGUUUGCAUAUCAUUCAGUGAAAAGACUUUAUGGUGUAGUUAAAGAUGUUCUUAUUAAGAUAGAUAAAUUUGUGUUCCAUGUUGAUUUUGUGAUCCUUGAGAUGUUGGAGGAUGAAGAGAACCCUUUAAUUCUGGGAAGACAUUUCCUAGAAAUAGGGAGGUGUAUGAUAUACAUUUAGGAAGGAACCAUGACCCUCAAAGUUUAUGAUGAAGAGAUAAAGAUUGAUGUGAGAAGUAUCAUGAGACACAAAGAAGACGUAGGGAAAAGUAAUGCAGUGGAUGUGAUAGAUAAAAUGGUAAUCAAAGUUAUUCAAAGCCAAGUCCAUAAGUUACCUUUGGAAAGAGUUCUUAGUUUGUCCGCCCAGGAAAUAGAGGAUAAUGAUGAUGAAAGAGAGAGGGAAGUUCUAGCUAUGUUUGAGGUACAACCACCGUGGUUGAGAUCCAAACCACAACGGUGGGAGGAUUUCAAAGCUCCACAAGAAGCUGAGACUAAAAAGGAAGUUAAAAUAGGUACAUGUGUAGAACUGAAGCAAUUAUAUGAAAAUAUGAAAUAUGUCUUUCUGGAUUCUGAAAAUAAUUGUCUUGUAAUAAUAAGUUCUGGGUUACAAGCAAAAUAAGAGGAGAAAUUGCUGCAGGUGUGUAGAAAUACAAAAGUGUUAUGGGAUGGACCAUUGGAGACUUGAAAGGGAUUAGCCCCAUAAUAUGCAUGCAUAAAAUAAUGAUGGAGGAUAAUCACAAACCAGUGGUACAACCCCAAAGAAGGCUGAAUUCAGCAAUGAAGGAAGUUGUGAGAAAAGAAGUGGUGAAGUUGUUGAAUGCAGGGCUAAUCUACCAUAUUUCUUACAGUUCAUGGGUGAGUUUAGUACAUGUGGUACCAACGAAGGGAGGAACAACGAUGAAUCUAAAUGAGAAAAAUGAAUUGAUUCCCUCUCGCAUGGUUAUAGGAUGGAGAGUGUGUAUUGAUUACAGGAGGCUCAACACCACAACAAGGAAAGAUCACUUUUCUCUUCCUUUUAUUGACCAAAUGCUAGAGAGGCUUGUAGGUCAUGAAUGUUACUGCUUUUUAGAUGGAUAUUCAGGGUAUAACCAAAUUGUUGUAGCCCCAGAAGCUCAGGAUAAGACAAUGUUCACAUGUCCUUAUGGUAUUUUUGCCUAUAGGAGGAUGCCAUUUGGGAUGUGCAAUGCCCCUGCUGCUUUUUAGAGAUGUAUGACAUCUAUAUUCACCGAUAUGCUUGAAAAGAACAUGAAGGUGUUUAUGGAUGAUUUUUAUGUUUUUGGAUCUUCUUUUGAUCACUGUUUAACUAAGUUAUCUCAUGUUUUGGAAAGGUUCCAGGAAACUAACCUUAUUCUUAAUUGGGAAAAAUGCGAUUUCAUGGUACAUGAAGGUAUAAUGAUGGGUGAGAAAAUCUCCCACAAGGGGAUAUAAGUUGACAAAGUGAAAGUGGAAGUAAUUUCUAAUCUCCCACCACCAGUAAAUGAAAAGGGGAUAAUGAGUUUCUUAGGACAUGCAGGUUUCUAAAAUUGUUAAGGACAUGCAUGAAUGUAAUGAUGUGUAUUAUGCAUGACUGGUUUAUGCAAUGGUAUGAGGGUUUACGGAUGCCCCAAGUUUGGGUAUGGUGUAAUGAAUACUGAGAAAAAAUUGCUUUGGUUGUAAGGCUCCUGAUUUAUAGGGUAUGAGUUACGUCUUGCAUGACUACCCGACAUCCUCAUAGUUCUUGAUAUUGCUGGAGGAAGAAUCUGACAUGGACCUUCUGAUGCCCCAAAUUGGAUCUGAAAAGCUCUUACAAGAAAGGAGAGAGACUUUCUCUCUUCAGACAGUCUUUCCCUAGUCUGCUGGGUAUUUGCAUGAAUUGCCCCAGUUACUGGUUAUGAAGAAAUCUUGCCUCUGACUGGCCGAUAUUUGAGGGAAUGCCCUUAACUAACUAAUAUUUGGAGAGAUUUGUCGAAUCUCGAUGUAACUACCUCAAAUUGAGUGAAUCUUAUAGAUACUUCUCGACAUGACUGCCCUAGAUUGACUGAAUCUUGAAGCGGCUUGUCUUUCUUCUUAAUGGAGUUUUUAGCCAUUUUGCUCCUCGACAUGAUCAAACGAAGUGGCUUGCCCCUCCUCAACAGAGUCUUUGGGAAUUCUUCACUUCUGUUGCAGUCAGGAUCCUCAAUUUAUGUUCAUUGUGGAAGAUUCCUUGAUGUCAAAUGCUUACUCACGAGUAAGACAGGAUCCUUUAAGAAAUGAUAAUGUCAAUGUUAUGCUAGUUUUGAAAUCCAAUUUUUUUCACUGGAAUUAUGACACAUAGUGAAUGAAUCACUAAUGAUAAUGUCAUAUCGAUACCAACACAAAUUAUAAGAAAAUCAUUAGGGAGUCAGUUUUAACACGAUUUUACUGAUCGUAGUACUUUUUUGAAAUAAACCUUGCUUCAAUUAGAUCUUUUGAGGGUUGUAACGUGUCCUGGUUCACAGUUUUAGAAAGAAAGGAUUUAUGGCUCAAAACCUAUUCUAACCCACCCAUUCUCCUUGAUGUUCUCCAGUCCUAUGUCCAGCUAGUUCGAUACAACCGCUCAUCUUCCAAAAGGGAUUUGGGAGUGAAGGGAACCUACAAGGUUUUUAGAGUGGCAGUCACCCACCUUCUGUUUGGUUUGUGGGAACACGAUUUUUUUUUUGCUGAUGAUUUUCUUUUUUUAUUCCUCUUUUGCUUAUUUGUGUUUUUUUUAUUUCCCUACUUUUGCUGGAUGGACUCGGAUUUGCAAUCCACAGGGAUGCCCUAAUUUUUGCCUAAGUCACUUGUUCUCAAGUUUUCGACUUAGCGAACUUUCUUUCUUUCUUUUUUUGGUGGAACAAAUUGUGUGACAUUUGUUAAUUUGAUUUGAAGGGGUUGUGAUUGCCUCGAUCCUUUCCGGGUGAGGGACAACCAUUAUGGAUUUAUGGUUUCCGACCUCUCGUGAGGGAUAAGAUAUGGUUGAUCCUCAUAUAGCACACUCCUGUUUUGAAGUUUGAACGCCUGGUCAAACUAAUUGACGACUAUCCUACCCCAGGUUAAGAUUGAGGGUUUUAUGUUUAAAAAGAAACUCCUACUCCUUGGAUUGAAGGGGUUGACUGGGGAUUAUCUUCCUUAUAACUCCGGUGUUUGGGGAUUUGAAGCAAUGUCUUACAUCAUCAGCAAGGUUCUAUUCAAAAGCGUACGUGCAGUGAUUUCAUGUGUUUUCAAUUUCAUCAUUUUCCUUUUGAUUUCGCUUAACAAAAGUUUGAUAUUGACAAAAUAAAGUAUGGGUGAACACGAAUGGAUUUAUUCAAAUCAUGCAUAUCUAUUUCAAUGUCAUUAUUAUUAAAAAACAAACGAGUUUAUUACAAGUGAAUGUUAUAAAUGACAAACAAGAAAAUUACACAUGAAAAUGAUUGAACAAACUAAUGAUUGCUGGAGUGAUCAACCUUAUUCUCUUACAUGUGGGGUCUUGAAGAAGCUGAUGGGACAGUCUGACAUAUAAAACUCCUUUAGAUCUACCAUUUAUAUAACUAUGGCACUGCAUAUGUGCUUACCUGCAUUACAUUUGGAACAACUAGCGUGAAUGAGAUAGCUUUCGAGUCGAUUAGGUCUUGGACCUUAUGCUUCAUAGCUCUGCAGUUCUCGACAGUAUGCUCAAGUGGUCCAAAAUUGAAUUCACACUUAGCAUUGGAAUCACAGCCUUGAGCGAGAGAUGUUUGGGGAGGUACUAACUCUCUAUAUUGCACCAAAGAGUCUCAAAGCAAGCUAACAAGCAGUUGACUGUACGACAUAGGGAUCAAAUUUGUCCUUAUCUUUAGUUUCCUCAGUUUCUGCUGCCCCUACUGAUAAUGAUUAUGUCAUUAUGGAGCGUAUGGUUGUUGAUACUGCAUUAGUGGAGGACCAUUAGGAAUAACAUAUAUGUUGGCGGCUGAUACAGUUUAGGUGCUACUACUGCCACCUGAUGGUAUGGCAUUUGGUAGGUUCCAACUCCCCCCUUAGUGAUUAUGGCAACAUUGGUCUCACAAUCCUUCUUCUUUGGGAAUCCGGAAUAAGAUUUCUUUGCUCCAUUGGCCGUAGCUAUUGUAUCUUGUUUCUUGACGACCUUCAAGAAGUUCUCGAUUCACUCACCAGUAAUGACCAGGUUUGAGAAUCCUGAGGAGACGCUUCCAACCAUCCUAUCGAGAUAAGGCCCCUGAAGGGUGUCCAUGAACAUGUGUACCCGUUCUCUUUCAAGAAGGGGGGUUGAACCCUGGCAGCUAAAUCUCUCCAGCAUUGGGCAUACUCUUUAAAUGAUUCAUUUGUCUUCUGAACAAGGCUUUAGAGUUGAGUUCGAUUGGAAGCCAUGUCUAAAUUAUACAGAUAAUGCUUUAGUAAGGCUUCAACAAGUUCCCUUAAGGUUCGUAUAUGUGUGCGCUCGAGUUGCAUAUACCAUUCCAGAGAAGCCCCACUAAGGUUGUCUUGAAAAAAGUGCAUUAAGAGUUUUUCAUCAUCAGAAUGAGCAACCAUCUUUCUGCAAAAGGCUCGAAUAUGGGUCUUCGGGAAGGUGACCCCUUGAUACUUUUCAAAGUUUGGAACUAGGCACAUGUCAGCAACAUCCAUCCCAAAGGUAACAGGUCUUUCUAUUGCUUUGAACCUCUCCUUCAUUAUACGAAACUUCCUUUCGAUGUCAGCAAGAGAAGGACCAAAAGCGUCAUAAACAAAAUAAGCCUUUGUAUUGAAGAAAGCAUCUUGAUUAUCUUCGUUCUCAGGUUAAGCUCUCCCAUUGAUAUGGAUAUUGAAUGUAUGACCAACAUUUUGAUAUAAUGGACCUCUUUCAAGAGGUGGUUGAGCCACAACAUGUGUACUAGGUCCUCCUAGUGGAUUUAUUGGCAUUGUCACAACAACAGAGUUAGAAGCGGCAACUCUCAGAUUAGCCUAACGCAUUUCCUCUUAACCUCUAGCCAAAGCUUGUAUGGAUUCAAUAAGAUGACCCAUAUGGGCCUUCAAAAUGGUCAUAUUUUCCCUUAUAACAGCUUGGUUCUGCUCUAAUUGAUCCAUGAGAAGUUUCUGAUUACUGCAAGUAUUAUAUGGAUGCCAGGAAGCCAGCUUGAUUGUAGCAGAUUCUGGAUAAAGGCCAAACAACAAUGAGCUUUCUGAAUAGAUAUGAUGAAAUGCAAUGAUGUAUGAAUGUAUGCAAUAAUUAUUUUUUUUGUGUUCCCAGAGGAAUGCGUAUGCUAAGUCAAUUUUAUGAUGCGAUGAGCUGGCAUGCGUCAUCAUAGAUUCAACAACUUAGUAUAAUAUAGAGAUUCUGGAUAAUCUGGCCAUAUAACACAGUAUAAAAUCAAAGGUCCGACAUGACCUAGAAAAUCCGGGUAACCUGUCCAUGUAGCUCAGUAUAAGAUCAACAGUUUGAUAUAAUUUGGAUAAUGUAACAUGUCCAUGUAACUUAAUAUAGGAUCAAAGGUCUAACGUAUAUAAGAGAUCAAUGGUAUGAAGGGUCUUGGUUUCCUGCACACACAAAAAAACAAUAGCCCCUCUCACAGGUGUGUAUUACUCCUCAAAGAUGGUCCCUAAAAGGUAUCCCAGAGUCAUUGACUCAAAUGAAAACACCAUGCCAUAGCGAAUUCUCACAGGAUAAAAGUACUUCCAAGUGAAUCUAGUCUGAGUGUGGUUCUCAUGACAACCUAACGGGAAAAAUGAAGGCCUACACGACUACCCACGAGUCUAUCCUAUGUAUAUACUUAAGCUUCAGUGUAGAGUUUCUCUCAUAUAGUAUCAUCACAUCCCAACAUAUAAUAUGACAAAUAAUAUCCAGAAUACAACAUCAUACGAAUAUUUAAAGCAUUAAGGUAAAUGCAACAAAUAACAUAAAGAAAACGAGUAAAGCAAUAAAGAUAAACACCUAAAAUACGCAAAGAAAACAAACAAAAUUGGGCUCAACUUGCUUAGGAAAGGGUCCCCGGCAGAGUCAACAGCUGAAGCUACGCGAGUUAUACCCGAGCAUAUCGCAUAUUCAGAGAAACAACAGAGUCGCCAUCGAACUUUAUUUAUUCCCGAAGGAAUGGGAAAACAUCGAUAGAAUCCGGGGGAAAGAGAAAAGGGUAAGGAAGUCAGUUAUGAAAUGGGAAGGUAUUAUCAUCCCUCAUAUCCAUGAUACUCCAUGGGAACCGCUUUGAAUUUUCUUUGCAAGAACGAGUGUUACUAUCUGAAGAUUACUCGUGAAAGGGGAAAUUAGGGGUUAAUAAUUAAUGUGCUCGCCAAGGAUUAGGGCGCUUGUGCCUACAUAUUCUCACAGUGUAAUGAGAAAGUCAGAGCUCCUUAGUUUGUGGAACUAAGACAGAUGUGUUAUUUGUUUUUAAUGAACAAUAUUAACAUUCGCGUUCUACUGUCAACUUGCGUGUAUGCUCGAGCAUGGGAGUCUGAAGCGUCUAUUUGUUUGCGAUAGAAUGGAUGAACUUGGAUCACACUCUAGUAGUUAAACAUUGCUUGCUCACACAUGAAGGCUUAAGCUUCAUUCACGGUAGAAUGGAAGUAACAUGUCCUUUCUGAAAAGGUUUUAAACUAAAAAUGAAGCUCAAAGGCAAAAUUAAAUUUGAUAAGGUGAGUUUUCUUUUAUUCUGAAAAGAGAGUCAUGAUUCGAAUCGUACUAAAGUCUAUGAAUGGAGAUGAAUACAGUGAAGAAUUGGGUCAUGCGUCUCGUACCCAAAGAUAUUCAGAAUGAGGAUAGGAAUUCUCCACUCUCAUCCCUUCUCCAUUACUUAAGACUUGUAGCGUACAAUAUUAAUCAUAUUAUUAAUUGUUUUUUGAGUUUAUUCACAAAAUGGUUUUAGUUUUACUGAGAGAGAACAAAGGGAGAAGAAGAAACCCUAAAAAGUUGAGGUCUGGUCUUCAUUCUGCAUCCCAUAUUUGUGUAGAAAAACUUAUCAAUCAUCCGAUUUAAAUUGCACUAAAGUCUAUGAAUAUAGAUGAAUACAAUGAGGGUCAUUCACCCCGUACCCAAAGAUAUUCAUAAUGAGGAUAAGGAUUCUCCAUUCUCACCCCUUUUCUAUUACUUAACGCUCAUGACGUGUAAUUUGCAUCAUAAUUGAUGAGUUUUGAAGUUGAAUUUCCUUGCAGCUUCAUGUGAGGAAAGGUUGUCCUUUAAGAAAGGAGACUUGACAAUCAACUUAUCAAAUUAUGCUAAAGUCUAUGAAUAUGGGUGAAUACGAUGAGCAACUGAGUCAUUUGUCUCGUACCCAAAAGAUAUUCAGAAUGAGGAUAUGAAUUCUCCACUCUCAUCUCUUCCCUAUUGCUUAAGGCUCAUGGCACAUAACUUGGCUCAUGAUUGAUAAGUGUUGAAUAAACCUUUGUAGUGCUUGGAUAGUAGUCUAAUAUGUCUUGUACUGAUUUGAAUUGAAUGAAGUCUUGAAUUUUGAUCUUUGAAUCUUGAAAUCUUAUACAAAUCUUGAGAUCCAGUAUCCAAUACAUAUUUAAUAUAAGAGACUUUCCCUAUCAAGUGAUCAAGGGUCUUUUUAUCACUUGAAUAUGCUUGGGGAAUUGAGCACAGUCAAAGGAUUUAAUUGAUCAAAGCAAACUUUGAUCAACUGAAUCAAUCGGGGAAAAAUCAGUUGAAAAUGAAUUGAAUCAUGUAUACAGUAAUCUAAAGGAUUAAUUACCCAAUCAGAAGAUUUUCACAAGUCCUAAACUAAGGGAACAUGCAAAUCAAGAUAUUAUACACCCUAUGGGUAAAAUGGUCAUUAUCCUUAAAAUGAAUUAACAAACCUAAUGGUCAAUUACAAUCCCAGCAUAGCAAAAUUAACCUAAUGGUCAAUUACAAUCCCAGCAUAGCAAAAUUAACCUAAAAACGAAUCAUGGAAAAAAAUCUAUACUUAAGCAUGUAAAUCCAAAUCAUGAAUAAAGUAAACAAAGUGGAUUAAUCAAACUAAAGAAAUGGGAAGUUACAAUCUAAAUAACAACUUUAUUUAAUGAACAUGAUCUUGAGAAUUAUAAUGUGAUAUACGGAUCAAAAUGGAAAAUUAACCUAAUGGAAAAAUCAUGGUAGAAUCUACAAUUAACCAUAUUAAUCCAAAUCAUGAAUAAAAUCGACAAAUGGAUUGUCAAAACCUAAUGGCAAGUGAUACUAAAUCAUGGCACGAUUAAUCAACAAUUGAAUUAUCUUCCAAAAAAUCCAAAAAAAAAGGAUGUAAUUAACAUGAUUAAACCUAAAUCAAACUCUAAUUAAACUAAUCAAUUUUAAGGAUGAAAAAUUAACCUAAUUAUGAACAAAAACUUUAUUAAUCCCUAAUCAAGAAAUCCUAAUUUUAACCAAGAUUAAAGAGUGAACAGUAGCAUGAUUAAGCACUAAAAAUAAAUAAAAAUUAAGAUUAGAAUUGGAUAAGGGAGAGAUCAUCAAGAAUAAUCAAUGGGACAUGGGGUGAAUCAAAUGGAGGGAUGUUCAUUGCAACCCAUGUCCUCAUACAACAAUACCCAGGUAAAACGUUCAGUAUCCACAAAUUCUCCUCAAGUUUCACUUCACUUCCUCAUUGCAAAAUCAUAGGUCGAACGCGCUCAACAGAAGAAUUUCAACAAGAACGUGAUUCAACAUGUUAUUAUCGAAUUUCAUACGUAAAAAAACAUAUAGCCAUCUGUCGCAACCUGAAAAAUAAAGUGCGAAAAAAAACAACCGGCGAAAGAAAAAGACAGAAGAGUCGCCACCGUGCGUUAUUCAUCCCAAAGGAGGGAAAGGAAACGCUCGAAGUAAACCUGAAAAAGGAAGGACAAGACGGGGUCUCGCAACCAAAUCUUGGGUUUGGAGUCGGUUAUACGAAGGGAAGGUAUUAGCACCCCUACGCAUCCGUAGUACUCUACGGGAUCCACUUUUUAGUUCUUGUCUAAAGGGUGUGGGUUUAUCUAAUGUACUAUUUACUAAAAAGGUUAAGAGAAAUGACUCGCGCGGAUGUCGCAUCAGCUGCAUACGUAUCUCAUCUGAAUAUGAGAAUCAGAGUCUUCGUAGCUCGGCUACCUAUGGGUUGGGGGGAUGUGUGCUCGCUAAGAACAUCGCGUCUUAUGCCUACGUAUCUCAUCUGGCCUGAGAAUCAGAGCAAAACGUAGUUCGGCUAACUGUGGGGUAUGGAUUGGGUUUUGGACAAACGACGUCACUACGCAAUCUACCGGAUGCUCGACCUUUGGAGACUUACUCGCCUGUAGUAGAAGGAGUUAACGUGUUGCUUUGGGUUUAGGGUUUGGGAUGCUCAAGGGCAAAAAGGCAGUCCUUGAUGAAGGAACCGCGCUACCUGCAGGGAUACGAACACAUACAAAACAAACAUGUAUAAAGUAAAUGUGCCAACAAGGGGCUCAGAAGUAAAUAAACAAAAGAAAAACAAAUGCCUCCUAUCGAGGUCUUCCAGCUAAGAAAGCGAUAAAUGUGGAAAAGAGGUAAAAGUACCACACGGAUGAAGAUCCGAAGUAACAACAAUUAAAGGAGUAAGAAACCCAGGGACUCCCAAGCUAAUGCCAUCAAAGAAAAGUGAGUCAGUACAGGUAAUCGGAAUGAACCUCCAGGGGGUAUCCCACAAAUAAAGUGGGAAAACCACGCAAACCAUCUCUGCAAGAGUCUGUGAGCCCUCACAAAAACUCAACAAAAGGGUUAGUGAAACACGAUAAGCAUUUUUUUCAUGAAUAACAGUAUGGUUUCAGAACUCAAACCCUGUGGCAUACAUUUCAGAAAUCAUGUGAUUAAACAUUCAAGGCAUAGGUUCACCCAUUCACAUACAUCACACAUUUAGAACAUUCAAAUUGAAGGCGUAAAAUAAUGGGAAUAGGGCAAACCUGAUUGGAGAGCUUGAUUGAAAUUGAGUUGCACCCGAGGCCCUUCAGGGUUUGGAGGCUGCUUGAGUUCUCUGUCAGGUUUCUCUUCAGGUUUUGUCCAGGGUUUUGUUCCAAGGAACCUCAGAGUAUUUUGCUUCUCUUCCUUUUUCUCAAAGUGAAGCCUUGGUAUUUAUAGACUGAAUUUCAUGGUUUUGUGGGCUCAAAUGAGAGAGACCCAAGUCCAAAUUUUUUUUUAUUAUAUUUUAUUUAUUUAUUAUUAUUAUUUUUAUUUAUUUAAUUAUUUACUUAAUUAAUUAAUUAAUUAAAAAAAUUUUAUUAUUAUAUUUUUGUAAAAAAUUAUUUUUUUUCGUUUUUUUUUUUUAGAUCUAAUUCUGAUUGACAUGAUGAAAUGCAAUAUGAAAUGCUAAAUGAAUGCAUGAAUGAGGAGGGCAAAUUUUGGGGUGUUACACCAUCGAGAAAAAUCAAGGACUCACAUCCUCAAUGCUUAAUCGAAGAACCGAGAAUGAAAAGUUGAGUUCGUAUUCUAACUCAAUCCUCAAGUUGCAAUCAACACUGAAAUCGAAAUCACUAGAGGCUUCUCCCUACGUGCUGAAUCGAGAGAUCAAAAGGAGAAGGGAAAUUUACCAGCUUGCUCCGACGUGGUGGCUCAGGUAACGACUUCCUGCGAUCUUCUUAUUCUCUUUGUUUCUACCUUUUUUCUUUUUUCUGUUUGAGAUGGUCGUCUCUGUUUGCGUAUUUAUCAUUGAUUCGGUUGUGUAUUUUGUAGAGAGUGGUUCAAAUUCUGGAAGAUUGGCUAGGUUCCAUCAUUAGUAGAAUCAGGUCAGAGCGAGUUUUUAUCUUUUGUUCUGGAAGUUUCAGGUUCAGUUUGAGUUUAAUUUAUAAUGCAGUUGCAAUUUGGUUUGAAGGUUUUUAAAGGAUGAAAAUUACCUUAUGAGUUCGUUGAGAGGUUGGUUUUUAUGCAGGUCCUCGAAGGAGUUCUUCUAGGGAGUUCUGUUAUGAGGAGGUUAUCACAAUUAGGAUGUGGAAGGUGAUUUUUGUUCUGUUAUGGUUAUGUGAGGGUCCAAAAAGUGAUUAGGGAGAUGGAGGUUAGUUUUGUUAUCACAGUUCGGUUAGGAAUUCUAGUUCAGUAAGUUGGAGAGAGAAGUUACAGUUUGUUAGAUUGGUUAAGAAGCGGUUAGAGGUCGUUAGUUGUGAAGGACUCAGUUAGUUAUUGUGAAGAUUGAAGUUAAUAAGUAAGUUGAAAUUGGUUUUUUCACUCUGUUAUGUAUGUGCUGGUGGAUCGAUUUACUGAGUUAGAAUGUUUUGCAGGGGGGUUAAAUUUGGUUUUGUUAUGUAUUAGGCAGGUUUGGACUAGUUUUGUUAUGAAAAAGAAGGUGAAAACAUGUUUUUCUUUGUAGGGUUGUACACUGAAUUUUCUGCUAUGUAUUAUGUAGGGCUUUCCUUCACAAUGACAUGCUAUGCAUUACUUCAAUGUGCUAUGUUGUGGAUCAAAGGCAAUGAAGUGUGGACUACAAUUAGGUGCAUAAAAGUUUGGAAAGUACUAUGGGCUCAAAUGUACAUGUUAUGGAAUUGGGAUUGGAAAGUGUAUUAAUGGUUGAAUAUGAAUUGUGUAUGGAAAAGUUUGAAAUUUAUUUUGAAUGUAUGGCUCAAUCUAUUUGUACAUGGAAUGUUUUUUGAUGUAAUUGGACAUUGAAUGUAUGGCUUAUGUUAUAAUUUGAAUUAAUGGUUGAAUGUAACAUUGUAUUUUUGGAAUGACAAUGGAUGUAAUGGUUAUUAUUGACAAUGAAUAAAAUGGUUAUUUGGACAUUUGAAUGUAUGAGUUACAUUGGUACAUGGAAUGGCAUUGUUUAGAGAAUUAAAUGGUGUAAUGAACCAAGGUUUAAGUCUUGGUUGUAAAUGGCUAAAAAAAUGCAAAACAGUUUAUGUAUUGUAAAAAAUGAACAUGGUUUAGAAUGGAUAUGUAGUGCAUUGAGAAAUAAAAUGGUUGGAAAAUGGCUUUGGUUAGAUGGUUGACCAAAAGGUCAACAGUUGACCAAUAGUAAACCUAGGUAAAGAUGUGUAUUUUUGUGUAAUACCUUAUGCACAAUCAUGAUGUAAUUGUAAUGAUAUAUAGUGAUACUUUAUGAUGACUUUAAUGGUAUUUACAUGUUUUUAAAUGGAUGGCUUUAGAUUGAAAUGAAAAUGAACUUGAAUCAUGACUUAAUGGAAUGAGUGAAAUGGACUUUGAAUGUGGACCACAAUGCCCUUAAACCAAAUGAAAUAUGCCAUUGAAUUAGACCUGAACUAAUGAACUCCAAUCAAGCAAUAUCAUGGACAUGUAAAACUUUGACUUAAUGCACCCUAAUCAAGGCAAUGGAACCAUAAACAAGUAUGACAUUUGAUGAAUUAUCAAUCAAACCAAUGAAUCCUCCAUAAAUGACUAAAGGACCCAGAUGACCCUCAAGCUUGAAUGCGCACAAAAUUGGUGAUAGUGCCACAACCAACAAUUAGGGUUUCAGACAAAGGUACAAGGCUCCACAAGCACUUCCCCAAACCAUGGGCCCCUAAUUAGGGUUUUAGGGACCGAAUCCAAUACCAGUGAAUCAGGGUUUCCCCUAUGCUCCAUGAUAAAGACAAACUAGGAUGAAGGGCCCACCUCCUAUUCAAUGUGUUGUGUGAUAAAAACCCUUAAAUCCAUGGCUUUGUGCUUCUCAAUGAAAAUGGAAUAUGUUAUGAUGCUAUGGGUAUGUAGAUCAAAUGAAUGACCACAAGGAUAUGCAUAUGAUUAGGGUUAGUGACCUAUAUGAAUGAUCAAUCACCAUUUUCACUAUGUUUUCAUCACUGAUUCGACAAGAAACCAUGAAUUCUGGAAUACUCUAUGCGCAUUAUGUCACAUUUUAAGUUAAUUUUCAUUUAUGUAAGUUAUUUAAGCAUUUUAUCGGUUUUUAGUUUUAUUUCAUGUAUUCGAGAUUUUAUGCUUUGGGUGCCUAUGUUUAUUUCCUCCAGGUCCAAGUAGAAGAUCCAACGGACUCAAUGCAAGAAAGUAGAGGGUUCAUACAUUCGAGGAAAGGAGAUUACUCAGUACAGGAGACCUGACACGGCCACCCGAGUCACCUGACACGAGCCGUGUCAGGAUGAAGGCAAAACAAGACAAGAGAUGGCUAAGACAGGGGCCUGACACGGCCACCCAUGUCAAUUGACACGGGCCGUGUCAGCCCCCCUGGGAUGAAGUUGAAGAGGAGGAUCAAGGCAAGAGCCUGACACGGCCACCCGUGUCAGCCCAGGCGCAAAAUAUUCCAAUUUUUUGGCUUUUUAUUUGGGCUUUAGUAGCAAGGACAUUCUGGGGUUUUCCAACCAAUGCCAAGGGAUUUUCACUAUUUUAGGAGAGUUUCUACGAGAGAAGGAGGACACUUUGGAGCGAGGAGAAAAUAUAACAUAUAGAAUUGUCAGACGAUCAAGAAUUACAGAGAUCAAGGAAUUCGGAGAGCGGAAGAUUUUCAUGAGCGGAAGCAAUUAAAGAUCCAAGUCAUCCAAUUACUUGUAAUGUCUAAUUUUUAUCUUGAAUUUGUUUUGAACAAUAUGAGUAGCUAAACCCCCCAAUGCUAUGGGGUGUCCCUAAUUUAGAUUUGUAAUGACUUUGAGUUUACGAUUGCAUUGAUAAUUGUUUUUCAUAAUUACGAAAAUCUUUUAAUGUGUUUAAAAUGCUUUCUUUUUCGGACCAAUUGAGAUUGUUGUAUGGUUAUCAAUUAGGUUGGACCGUCAUUGAUAAGGUUUUCAUAAGAUUACUUUGUAGUAGAUAUCACCUAGGACUAGGGAUACCCUGUAUUGUAUGAACCAGAGGAUUCUUGAUAUAAUAAGGCUUAAUUUCACUGGUAAUUUUCUAUGGACAUAGAGAUUAGGGUAGAAUGAUUAAAGGUUUUCUCACCAAGGACUUGGGAGAAAAUACCCUUGAGAACUGGUAGUAGUUAAUUGAUAUUUGUUGAUGCAAUAGUGACUCAGAGUUGUUACAAGGACAAAUUAUACAUUUUCCCUAGCAUGUUCCUUUUUUCCUUGAAACCCUUAUUUUUACAGUGUUUAUUUUAUUCGCCUUUAUUUUUAUAAAUCUGAAUCUAAAACCCCCCAAACACUAAUUUUUGUUUAAUUGAACGAUUAUUUGAACUUGAUAUUAACGUGUAGUCCUUGAGAUCAACAUCAGGGGAAUUUCCCCUUUAUUACUACAAAAGGCAAAAUAGUGCACUUGCUAUUUUCCCGAUUAAUGAACAUUAUGAAGGGUAGAGUGAAUUUUGGGGCAUGACAAUAUGCAUAAGACAUAGGAAUUGGAUCAUAGCAAGGAUGCCUCCUUUAUUGAUUGUGGUUUCCUUUGCUGAUUUGUUUCUGCUUCAUUUUUUGAUUUCCUUGGGCGGGUUUUUAAUGCAGUAGGAGAUAUUGUGCUUAGGGAGGAAGUUGUAGAAUUCCUACAGUUGCAUUUUGUAAGUUAUCCACCUUAAGUUUGUUCUCGGCUUGCUUACCAACUACAACUUAAUCUGAGAGAUCCAUUGUCAAGCUAUCUGGGAAGAGUCCCAAGGUCAUGCCAACUCUGCCUUCGACAUAAUCCAAACUCUUCUUUCACCUGGUAUCCUCAUGAUUACCCUGUUCCAUGAUUCUCUGAAAAUUUGCGUCGGUGAAUCGUUGUCUUUCUGUUUGAGGAAUGGGAAAUAGUGUAAGCAUGUUAUUUUAUGGUAUGAAAGGUUAUGAAUGCAUGGAUGAAUGAGAUGCAUGAAGGAAUUUUUUUUCACAUUUCCAGGGGAUCCCAAGAUUUUUGAAUGUUUAACACAAACUAAAGCUUUUGGAUUCCAUAAGAGUGUACAUGCUAAAAUUGGUUUUGAUAUGAUGUCAUGAGAUACAACAUGAUAAAUUCAAAGGUCUAACACAUCUGAAUAAUUUGUCCACACUCCUCAACAUGAGUUCAAAGGCAUGACGUAUCGACGUAUGUAGAGGCAUGUUUUCCUACACAAAACACAUAUUCCAUCACAAGGUAGGUUCUAAGACUUUAUGAAGGUUCUUAGAGUCGCGGAUCCUGAGGCAAAAAUAUCGUUAUCAUCACAAAAUGACUUGUGAGCCAACAAUACUCUCAGGACGAUCUACUCUAAGUGAGGACAAACCUCAACUUCAAAAACCAUAAGUUAACUAAAGGUCCCUAGAAUCAGCGACUCCCUUUGGAAGAAUGGUAGUCAAUGCAAAAUGACUUACGUGGCAAUGAAACUUCAAAAGGAAUAUACUCUAGGUGGGGUCUUCGUACCUUCCCAUCAAGACAACUACGUCUGAAAAGUCAGUAUGGAGCUCCCAAUCUAUCUCAGGUAUACUCUUAAAGUCUGGGUAUUGGGCUUCUCACUCAAUAGCAUCAUAAACCCAUCCCAUAAGAGAAAUAAAACAAAUAUGUCUAAGAUAUAAUAUAUGAAAGCAAUAAAGCAUGCGAUAAAUGAAAUAAUGGUAAAGCAAGUAAAAGUAGUUAAGAUAAACACCCAAACAAACAAGGAGACAAAAAAACUAGGCUCGACUCCUACUUGCAAGAGCAAGGAAUUCCCAUCAAAGUCGCCAGAUGAUGGGGAAUCCCACCGGCAAGAUUCCCCAGCAGAGCCACCAACUAAAGCUACGAGAAAAAUACUUAAGUGCGUCUCACGCUCGAAGAUACAACAUAGGUCGCCAUAGAAAUUUAUUUAUUCAAGAAGGAAAGAGAAAACAUCGAUAAAACCCGGAGGAAGAGAAAAAGGAUAAGGAAGUCGGCUAUGCAAGGGGAAGGUAUUAGCACCCCUUACAUCCGUUAUACUUAACGGGGACCGUUUUGAUUGUUCUUUGCUCGAAUGGGUGUUAUUAUCUAAAGAUUACUUGCAACAAGGGAAAAGGUAAAAAAGGAAUGGAAUAAUUAGAGUGCUCGGUGAGGAUUAGGACCCUCAUGCCUACGUAUCCUUAUAGUGCAAUAAGGAAUUCAGAGUUUCGUAGUUCAUAUAACUAAUGGUGAGGGAUGAAAGAGAGAGUGAUGUAAUGAUAAUAUGGUUUGAACCAAAGGACAAUGUUGUUUGCACCCGUAGGAUAGUUAUGUCUGAACCAAUGAGAAAAGGUGGCAUAUUGGACGAAAAUAAAGGGUUUUAUCCUAUAUAAGGACUUUCAAGGUAACAAAAGGAAAUGUUAGUGUAAACAACGAGAGGACUUACAAGACAAACAAAAAGGGCUCUUGGUUCAGAGGCAGGCGUUGGUUAUUGCCCAAAAGUAUAUAUGGAAUCCAAAGAAAGAUUGUAUUUGGUUCAAAGAGAAAGUAUAUAACUAAUGAAUGAUUGGAGGUUGGGGGUAGUGAAUGAUAUAAAAGAUAUUUAAUGGUGAAUGACGGAGGGUGAAUGGAAGGAUAAAUAAGAAUUAAUAAAUAAAUAUGCUCGCCAAGGAUUCGAAUCCUCGUGCCUACGUAUUCUCACUAUGAAAUGAGAAAGUCGGAGCUCCGUAGUUCGGGGAUCUAAUGCGGAACAAAGAAAGAAAGAGAUGAUUAGGUUGUCAAAAGGUGAAGGAUUGCCUAAACACAAGAGGAUUUAUAAGGCAAAAGAGAUCGAAUAGAUUCGUCUAGGCACGAGAGGACUUAUAAGGCAAACAAUGAAUGAGAAAUGAUUUGCCUACACACGAGAGGAUUUACAAGGAAAAAGAGCUCGAAAGGGUUUGUCUAAGCAUGAGAGGAUUGACAAGAUGAACAAUGAAUGAGAGAUGAUUUUCCUACACAUGAGAGGAUUUACCAGGCAAAAAAAGCUCGAAGGGGUUCGUUUAAGCACAAGAGGAUUGGUAAGACGAACAAUGAAUGUGAGAUGAUUUGAUUACACACAAGAGGAUUUACAAGGCAAAAGAGCUCGAAAAGGUUCGUCUAAGCACGAGAGGAUUGAAAAGACAAACAAUGAAUGAGAGAUGAUUUGCCUACAUAUGAGAGGAUUUACACGGCAAAAAAAGCUCGAAAGGGUUCGUCUAAGCACAAGGUCUUAUGACACGAAAAAUGAAUGAGAGAUGAUUUUCCUACACACGAGAAGAUUUACAAGGCAAAAGAGCUCGAAAGGGUUUGUCUAAGCACUAAAGGUCUUAUGAGACGAGCAAUAAAUGAGAGAUGAUUUUCCUACAGAUGAGAGGAUUUAUAAGGCAAAAAAGCUCGAAAGGGUUCGUCUAAGCACGAGAGGUCUUACAAGACAAACAAUGAAUAAGAGAUGAUUUUCCUACACACGAGAGGAUUUAUAAGGCAAAAAAUCUCGAAAGGGUUUGUCUAAGCACAAGAGGUCUUAUAAGACAAACAAUAAAUGAGAGAUGAUUUUCCUACACACGAGAGGAUUUAUAAGGAAAAAAAGCUCGAAAGAGUUUGUCUAAGUAAGAGAGGUCUUAUAAGACAAACAAUGAAUGAGAGAUAGUUUUCUUACAUACAAGAGGAAUUAUAAGGAAAACAUGAAUGUUAGGGUUCGUCUAAGCAUGAGAGGUUUGACAAGACGAACAAAGACUAAGAGAGUUUUCCUAAGCAUAAGGGGACUGAUAAGGCAAACAUGAAUAGGAUAUUAAUUGGGAUUCCAAGACGGGUAUUUGAUAAUGAGGUGAUUAACCCAAAGGAUGCAUGCGUAACAAAGACGAUUGUUAUGUUUGAUCAUUCAUGAUGAAGAUUGUUGAAAAUAUUGAAUGAUGAAGAGUUUGAAUGUUGAAAGAUUUGGAUGUUGCCUUAAGGAAGAAGAAUAUAUUUGAUUGUUUAUGAUUAUGAAAUUUGUUGGGUGAGUUUAAUUGUUGGUACUUAGAGGGAGACAAGCGUCUAACCACUGGCUAAGUACGACCAGCAAUUAGAAUACUUGGAAGUUGAGAGGAUAGUUUCAUCCUAACCACUCUUUUUCACUCUUAGAGCAUCAGAUUAGACUCAUUUUAUUUGUUAAGUGUUUUGUAAGAAUGUCAAGUAUCGGGCCACAAGCUAGGUACGACCGACAACCCAAGUACUUGAGAAUGUUAUGCACAAGUACGUACACCCCAUCUUUUUCAUCCAAUUUAUUAUGAAAAUGAUUUGAUGAAUAUAAAUGGAUAAAGAUAUGAAGUUGAAUAGGAUGAGAUGAAGAAUUGGAUGAGAUAGAAUGGAAAUGGAAAUGCAAAUGGAUGAGAUACUUGACAUUGGAUCAAGAACUCGUGUUGCUUUUGAUCUAACUUGACUUUGAAAAGCACUUGACGUUGAAUCAAGUGGGUCUUUAUUCUUUUGAAAAGUAUUCUUUUUAUCGUUUGAUUUUAUCUUGUUAAUUACAUGCAAAGUAAACAAUAAGGAAAUAAAAUUCUAAGUUAUUACAUGAUCAUGGGAAUGGGGGACAUAUUACCCACAAUGGGGGGAUGAAUCAUCAACCAUACAAAAAUGGGAAUAAAGGAUCCAUACAAACAUAUAAUGAUACCAUGCCCUAAAAUCAAUCAAGGGGAAAUGGUACCCUAAUAACUCCACAACUAUGAUUAUGUACCAUGCGUCAAAAUACAAUCAAAUGGAUACAAAUUGGUAUGCUAAUCUAAAUAAUUAAAAUUAGGGAUCGAGUCCUAAAUCUAAACAUGAAUCAAAAGUGGCUAAACAAUUAUGUAUCACAUUGAAUUACUAACCACAUUUAGCUAAAAAGUCAACAUACAAUGAGGGGUUGAAAAUACGAUGAAUCAUUACCUUUAAAAAUGACCUAAGGAUCUAAACUAAUUAGAAUCAAAUCAUGUUCUAAAGCAUUAAUCCAUUGAUUUAACAAAAUAGUUCAAAGUGAUUAACAAAACCUAAUUAAAAUUCUAACCAUUUAAUCAUGUAUUUUUGUAAAUAAUGUGAUCAAUCAUCAUGCAUUAAAAUGUGGCAAAAUGAUAGAAAAAUCAAUAAUAAAAUAAAAUAAAAUAAGAAGAGAAAAAAUAAGAAAAAGAAGCAUGGGGUGCAAACUGAAAUAUGGUGCAAAUAGGAAAUGGAAGUAGGGCCCAUGUGCAGAAAGCCCAUAUUUUCCUAACUUCUGAUCAGGGGUGCAUGAUGAAUUCAUGGUGCCAAAAGGAAAAUGUAUGGGCCUAACAGGUUAAGUCCAAGUACACUUGUGGGAGAGGGAGUUGAAAAUUUCAGAUGAAGUUCAAACUUGAGCAAAAAUGUGCGCUCCAUGACAACACAUAAUUCAAACAUAUGGCCUGAGCCACCCUCACAUCCGUCGCACUGGAGGUCGCCGACGACGGAGGAUGAGAGUUAUCUACUGAGAAAAAUACACCAUCUAAAUCGUCUCCUCCUUCUUCAUUCAUAUCUAUCAUUAAUUUUACAUUACUUCUAACCUAAAGCCUUAACCGGAAUGGGAUUAAUUAAGAACCCUAGGUGUUCAAACAUAAAUUAAAUCAUAAUCAUGCAUGGAAUUGAUCCACAACCAUGGGGCUUACAAUCUACUACCUUCAACCUACCAUCUGGUAACAAGAAUUUGGAGAAAUUGAGUGAAAAAGGAGAGCUUACCUGAGCGAUAUUGGAGUUCAACAUGCACCAUAACAGGUAAGGUAAUUCUUAUUCUCGUAUCAAUUCCUCUUUCUUCUUCUUCUUCUUGGUUCUGUGGAUGUGAAUGAUUGGUGAGAGUGAGUUUUUUUUACUCGAGUGAUUUGAGAUGAGUGAGUAUGAUGAACUGCACUGAGUGUUGAUGAACAAUCCUUUGGAACAGAGUGAUGAUGAUGUCAAUCAGGGUUGAUGAAGAAAUUGGUGAAAAUUUAUGAAUCCAAUGUUAAGUGAAGAUGAUGAAAAAAAUUGUGAUUGAUGAUUAUGAUCUGAAUAUGUGUCAAUGUUGAUGAUUGAUUUCUGUUGAGUGAAUAGGUGAAUAUGGUGAAUUGAUCUUAUGUGAAAAUUUGAUUCCCCUUGAAUGAGGAUUGACGUUAGCUUUUAAAGCCCUUAAAUCCUCUCAACCAAAUCAAUUAGAGGUGGUUAGUUAGUUGGCCUUGAAAAUGAGUGUGGAAGUUUGUUAGGAAAAACUGUUAAGGUUGUUGGAGAAUUGUUAUGACAGACUGAACUCAACCCUGUUAGUUAGUUAGGUGGUUUUUUUCUGUUAGAAAUUUUUGGUAGGUAGUUAGUUAGGUUAGGCAUGAGGUUAGUUAAGUUAGUUAGGGAUUAAGUGGUGAUGUAGCAAGAGGUUAGGAAUUUAGGAGGUGGAGUUGUGACAGCUAGAUUGAGUGAACUGAGGUUGCAGAAAUUAUGUUAUGAUGUGAGUGUCUUUGUGAUGUUCCAUUGCUGCUUGUUGUUGGUUAUGGUAGGUUUGAAUGGUUGUUGAGUUAGAUAUGUUGCAUUAUUUCCUGCUAUGAAUGAUGGUUGAUGCAACGUAGUAGGUCUGCAAUGCUACUUAGAUGUUAUGGCCUGCCAUGAUGUAUGAAUUACUGUUAAGUGAUGCUUGCAUUGUGGCUGCCUUGUUAUGCUUGCUUGCUGUUGUUGUUUCUUAUGUAUUGGUUAGUUGUGAUGUUUACAUGGAUGUUAUAAACAUAUGGAAAUGUGAAUUCAUAGCUUACUUAUACAUAAAUGCUUGUUAUUUCUGCUAUGAUGCAUUAUUGCUUGGAAUGUGGUAUGAGCUGCUAGCAUUUAUGCAUUAGUGUUGGAUCUGUCUUGAUAAUGUGCUAUGACUAAUUAGCCUACCAUGUUAUGUUGUAUUGGUACUAUUUAAUGCAUUAUUGGCUUUGGUUUGUACAAGAGAGAUAUGAACUGAUACAUGUUAUGUCUUAGCUUGUUAUAAAUCAAGGGUUGCAACUGUUAUCACUACGCCAAAAACUGGAAUAGACAGCGCACCUUAGAGGGCGCUUUCUUAAAGAAGCGCACUCUAAAGUGAAGAGAAAAAUAAGGAGGAAUAGACAACGCACUUUAGAGGGCGCUUUUGUAACAAAGCGCCCUUCUAAAGUGAAGCGAAAAAUAAUGAGGGAAUGGAGGGACACCAAUAGAGGGCGCAUUUAUGAAGCGCCCUCUAAGGGUACCCUUAGAGGGCGCUUUUAAAAAAGCGCUCUCAUAAGUCCAUGUACAUUUCCAGUUUAUAAAGCGCUUUUGGAAAGCCUUAGGAGCGCUUUAGAAGCGCCUCUUAGGCCCCUUUAGAGGGCGCUUUUUUUACACAAGCGCCUCUAAGUCCCUUAUUAACAUUAAAAUUAUAACAUAUAUACUGCAUGUCUCUUUAUUUUCCUCUCUAUAUGCUAUUUUCGUUUACGUAAUGGGUUUUCUCUCUACUGCGAUUACUUCUACUGUGAUUACUCUCGUCCUCCGUUCGUUCUCCCUCCCUACCGUCGUCGUCGCCGAGCCUUUUUCUGCUGCUGCAUUCACGUUCACUGUUAUCUGCGUCCACCGUCGCUGUUCACUUUUCUUCUCCAUCGUUACCGUCACCUUGAGGUAUCUUCUCUCUCCAUCGUACCGUUCACUUUCUUCAGGUGUUUGAUUGGCUUUUUCUAAACUGGUUUUCAUUUUGUGCAUUAUGGUUGAUAAUGUUGUUUAGGGCAAACGAGCAUUAUAUGGUGUCAUGGCACCCUUGUUAUAAGGUUUUUUAUUUCUGCAUUGAAAACUUGAUGUCAUUGGAGUGUGUUUGAGCUUGUGCUUGGAAGUUUGAUGAUUAUGGAUGCAGUUUGUUCAUGUUCAACACCAUAGUUUGCAUUGGUCUUUGUAUGCAGUAGUGUGUGUGAUGGUAUUCUAAUGAUGAAAAAAGAGAGAGUUUAGUAUUGUUGUAACAUUGAAGGAAAUGGAAGGUAUAUGAAUGUGUGUUUUUGUGUGUAGCUUCACGAAUAUGGUCAUUGUCUUACUUGGGGUCUUAUUGAAUCUUUCUAUUUAUACAGAUAAAAAUGGCUAACCAAGACGAUACCCAUUGACGCGAGUGGAUCACGUAACAAUGUUUGAAAAAAGAAAUCAAAUGAGGAUUGAUGUUAUGAAGUCAAUCAUUCGUGCAAGAGACAAGGGUGAAAAAUUCGAAAGUACAUUGGAGUGCUGAAGACCAACUAAUUGAGCCUAACGGUUCAAUGUUGACAAGUUACAUUGGUUCCCUUGUUCGACAAAUAUUCCGAUACAUGUCAUAAUUGGAGAAGUCCGGAAUUGAGGUUGGCAAAGAAAAAUAUGGUCCGAGAUACAGGUACUUACCAUAUAUUAUUAUAUGUUUUUUUUGUUGACUAUUUGUUGACCAUAUAUUGUUAUAAUAUUACUUAUAAUAACACACUCCUUUGUAUGUUUUUUAGAGAUCCUUUCACCAUCGAUGAAAGCGGCAAAAUAUUGUAUUCAAUUGGCCGGAAAAAGACUCCGAGGAUUUCGAUCCUUUUUGUCAACAAAUUUCUCAAGGAUGAGGAAGGAAACUUUGUUGAAGCAGAACGGCCAAUGAAGUAUGCGGAGAUUAUUUCAGCGAAGAAUGGGAUAACUUUGUCGCCAAACGAAGAAACGAAAAAUUCCAUGUAUGUCUAUUAAUUUUGGUAUUAUACAAUUGUUAGUUACUUGGUUCUAAUAUGCCUUAAACUUUUUUAUCCAGGAAGUAAGCGACAAAAUCGGAAAGGGCAUCAAAACCGCGUAUCCGUACAAAAAGGCGUACGGGAUAUGCACGGUUACAACAAAGAAUUGUGAGUAUAUUCAAAUGCUAUGACUUAUACAUUGUCACAAUAUGUUAUAAUUGAUGAUCUUAUAAAUAUUCAAUUUGUAGCUAGCCGAGGAGAAAGUGACACAACAUCUCUUCCGGAGCACGUAUGUGGAAGGCUGCUCGGCGUUGGGAAGGAUGGGGCUGUCGUUGAAACGUUUCAAAAUGUUUAUGACGAAUGUGUAAGUAUAUGUAACAUUAUUUUCUUAAUUAUAUCGAAAUUUUGUUAGACAUUAAUUCAUUUUUAAUCUCCUCUAAUAAUAUUUCAGGAGACUCUUAUCCCAAACCUUACCUUCAACCGAGGUCCAGGAUUGCAGAGCGUACUUAGUCGAGUACUAAAUGUUCCUGAGUAUUCGGUCGUGUGAGGGGUAAGGGUUUUUGUGUGACUCCGUCGUCAUUUUAUUAAAAAAAACCAAAACAAAAAUCCUUACAACAAAGAGGUGAUGGAGACCUUGGCGGUUUAAGGGCACAAAGUACUCGAACUGCAAAAGGAGAAUGCAGGUAUAGAGAGGAAAGGUGCGGUUCCGAGGCAAAGAUACUACGUGACCGAGCUAGUAUCAAUUGUCAACCGAAAAUUUCCCGAGGUAAUUAUAUAUGUUAUUAUGAAAUUAAAAUAGCACUUUUUUACUGACCACAUAUACACGUUAACAAUAACAUUUUAUUAUUGGUUUAGGGCAUACACCUUGUCAGCUGUAUCUAUCGUCACAACUUAUCGCAUAGUUGGCAAGGAAAAGUGCACAACAUUCGGGUGAAUUACUUCACCAUAAUCCCCUCCCGGUGGGAUAUAUAAAGUUUCGGUUGACCUUGUAUUAGAUACCGACCGGCUUCUACCAUUACCUGACGUUUUUCAGAGACAACGUUGAGCGAGAUGCAGUCGGAUCCUUUGUUGGAUGGCCGUCAGAUCUAAUUUUCCCAGAUGCCGAGGUAUAUAUGUUUCUAAAUGAUUAUGAAUAUUUAGUAUUCACAUUUCAAUUCAGCUACAAUUAUGAUAUUUAAUCAAUCCUUAUUACAUGGUAAUGUUAGACUCCUACAAGACCCACACAUAAAGCUGGUAAAGGGAAUUCAAGACGCAUCGAGUCGGUUGCAUCUACAAAAAGGUACAAAAUAUAUAUACCAUUGAAUUAUAUACGCAACGAUCUGUUGCAUCACAAAAAGUCAGGAUUUAAUUUAUAUGAAUUUUUAGGUUCCCGGUCGAAAGUUGAAAAAAGCUGGUAACGAUAUUCCAACGACGUCCGGGACAAAAUCUCAAAUUAUGAUGCGUCUUGAGAAAAUGGUGGAAGAGGCGAUAUUAUGCACGGCGCCAUCCGUUAGUGUAGAUUUUGAUGAAGGUGUUUUCGGAAUUGCUCAUUCGAAAUAAUUGCAAAGGAGGACAUGCAACAACUUUUUGAACACGAAAAUUGGGCAUCGCUGUCAUUCAUACAUACAUAUGGUACUCCGAUCAAUCUAUUACUUACUUAGUUGAACAAUUUAUUUACACAUUUUCAAUGAGUAGUCUAAUGUUUAUUAUGUUUCUAUUAGGUAUAUUAUGUAACAUUGAUGCGGGGAACUGAAUUGUGUACGAUUCAAUUUUAUUGCUGCUUCCCGUAUCAACACAAUGUUUUAUAACGAAAAAUCCAACAUCCGUAAGAAUGAACUAGUCGAUAGAUUCAUGGAGGCCGGCGAUAUACUACACCAGUUGUAUUUUUUACCGUUUAUUCUGGCAACGGUUAGAUUUUCUUUCUAAUAAUUUAUUUUAAUCUAUGUAUAUCUUUUACGUAGAAAAUUUUCAUGGACUAAAUUUUUGUUUUAUUUUACAGUGCGUCACUGGGUGUUGGUUGCUAUGGAUCUUUCGAGACUAAUGGUUGUAUUAUCUCGAUUCGUUAUCAGGUGAUGGAGUAAAUAUCCGAGUAUGAAGAAGACGGUUGACGCGUAAGUGAAAUUCCCCUAAAUAUUCGUGUGUAUUGUAUAUUUUAAUUAUGUCUGUCAGAUUGAUCUCAAUAUACGUUUUAUUUUGUUAAGGGCAAUACUAAAAUUUAGAUCGAAAAAUAAUUACCGUAAUAGGAAGACAUUACCUGGGUCAGAGUUCAGGUAUAUAUUAAGUAUCUUAUUUUGCUUAUAAUAGUGUUUGUUUUUUUUGCUUAUAAUAUGUUUGUAGAAAUUAACUAAUAUAUAUUAUUGUUUGUUUUUUUUCUUGUGUAGUGUCCUUCACAAAACAUUCGGUCGAUUGCGGAUUUUUUGUAUUGAGAUUUAUGAGAGAUAUCAUUGCGUUGAAUCGUAUGACAUCCCAAAAUGGUAUGGAAUAAUAACUUUAGGGUUUAUUUUAAUAUAUCGGAUAUUUCAUCUAAUUUGUUUACAAAUCAUGAUAUGUUUUAUUCUCUUAAUUGUAGUACUUUGAGGAAUACAAAUCUUACUCAAGAAGCUCAUUUUGGAUGUAAAUGAAGGAUGAAUUGUGUCAAUUCAUUUGUUGAUCAAGAAUCAUUAGCUAGGUUGUAUAUUGUUGUACAUAUAUGUAUGGAAUGUUUGUUGUUGUAGCUGUUGUUGUAUAUAUGUUGUAUAUUGUUGUUGUACUUUUACUAAAUCAUGAAUAUGUUGUUGUAUAUUGUUGAUCAAAAACAUAUAUUAAUGUGUAUAUAUGGGAGGAUUAAUGUUGUAUAUAAAUGGAUUCAUGUUGUAUAUAUCAAUGGAUUAAUGUGUAUAACAUUGGAUUAAAGGAUGAAAUCAAUAUGAAUUUUACACUUUUGCAGCAUGCGAACAGGUUACCAAUUAAAUAUCCACUGUUUUCAAAUAAAUUUUUUAAAUAACUAACACUUUAGAGGCGCUUUCUGUAGGAAGCGCCCUCUAAACACUUUACAUUGACAACUUUAGAGGGCGCUUUGUCCAGAAAGCGCCCUCUAAACACUUUACAUUGACAACUUUAGAGGGCGCUUUUCCAAAAGCGCCCUUAAGGUGUCCCUUAUGGACCACUCCAGAGGGCACUUUUUUCUGAAAGCACUAUAAUGUGGCCCUUAAAGGGACCUUUAGACAACGCUUUCUCCAGGAAAACAAAGCGCUGUCUUUACCUAUGCCAGCGCCACUUUAGAGGGCGCUUAAAAGCGCUGUUAUAGGCCAAAAUAAGCGCCCUCUUUUCCCUUAUUUGGCGUAGUGUAUACUUGAAUGAAUACCAAUCAUGUGCUUGUAUGUAGGCUUUACCAUGCAUUUGAUGAAUAUGGAUUAUCUUUAUCUUAUGGUAUGUUAUGCAAUGUUGCAAUUAAUUCAAUGAUUGUAUGCACGACUGAAACAAUCUUAGAGACAUGGUCAUGAUUGAAGCUUGGCAUGGAGGUUCAUGGUGAGAACUUGAAGAAAUCCAAGGCUUACUUGCUCAUAAAGAAAGGUUUUACCAUGGAAUCAAAUGGAAUGAAUGCAAGGAAUGACGACACAAUGGAUCAUUAGGAUUAGGAAUGUGUAAUUUUAGGUCAGUUGACUUUGGUCAACUGGUUGACAAAAAAGUCAACAGUUGAACAAAAGUUAAUUGUAGGUCAAAUUUGUUUUUUUUUUGUAUUUUUAUAUGGACCUUGUAAAAUGAUACUUGUAUGGUUAAAUGAGCAAAUUUGAAUGGAAAUACCCCUUCGAUUCAAUGAAACAUGCCUUUGAUUCAAAUUAUGACUUUUCCCCAAAAUCCAUAUUUAGAUCAUAGUUUGAAAUGAAUGAACCAUGAUCUUUAAAAAACUUGACCAAUAUGGACUAUGAAUGCAUGAUAACACAUGAACCAAUGGACUAUGAAUAUUUACCAUGAAUCAGGAACAAGUGGACUUAGAAUACACCAUGAAUCAAAGAUCAAUAGACUAGGAAACAAGAACCAAUUCACUAUGGAACAUGGACUAAUGCACAAUGAAUGCUCCACGAAGCAUGAAGUCAAUGGAAUAGGAAUGCAUAAUGGAACAAGACCCAAUGGACCAAAAAUGAAACAUGAAACAUGAAACAAUGAAUGCACCAAUAACUUGAAUCAAUGGACUAUGACAUUUGAAUGAAACAUGCCAUUUAUGAGGACCUUGAAUGUAUUAAGAAUCAUGAGCCAAUGGACUAUGAAGCAUGGAUCAAUAGACUGAAUGCACCAUAGACCUAGAAUUAAUGGACUUGAAUGGAAACUAGAAUGCAACAUGACUUGAAUGAAAGCUUGAACAAUGCCUUGGAUUAGAUGGAUCAUCAAGCAUGUAGGUAUGUAAAUCCAAUGGUCAACUUGAUGAAUUAUUCCCAAGAAUAAUAGUACACUUGAUGAUUGAUGAUGCAUACCAUAAUGAUCAAGAACCACACUCCAAUGAAUUAGGUUUUUAGUCAAUCAUAAGACCAUAUUAUCCACCAAUACCAAAUAUCCAUGAUUAGGGUUUCAUGAUGCAAACCAUCUAAUCAAAGAACUCAAACAAACAAGAAGCUCCACAAUCAAAUCUCCAACAAAUGGCCCCAAGAUUAGGGUUUCAAGAUCAAACCCAAGCUCAAAAGGCAAACCACAUAAUCCAUGAGUAGCAAAGACCAAGAACUAGGGUUUUAUGCAUAAGUAAAUACCAUGAUUGCAAUUUUCAUGAACAAAGGUCCCAAGAAAUAAGAAUUAGGGUUUUACCCCUUGAUUCCAUAUUGAUUGUACCACCACAAUCUCUAAGGCUUGAUCCUCAAGUAAACCCUAGCUUUUGUAAAGUAUAAUUAACCACAACCUUUGAAUCUAUGAUGUAUGUUUAAGAGUGCUAACAUGAAUAAAUGAUGCACUUGUAUUUGGUAUAAAUAAGUGCAGAUGAAUCUCAAACCAUAAGUCAGAUGAAAAGUGAAAAGGGGAGGGAAAAUUUUUGGGGUAUGACAACAAGAAGAAAAAAGAGACUGAUUUUUGCUUCGUCUUCAUCGUCCAAUUCAUGCUAAUUAUGUUACCGCAUUGUGGUUCAUUGUCCGUGGAUCCAAACCCCUAGGGUUUGGACUCCAAAUUGCUUCAGUUCAACGUUUGAUUUCUGAUUUUAGUAGUUUAUGGCUCAUAAGUGUUUUGCUUUGGUUUAAGGGAUGAGAGAAGAAUCAUGGAAACGAAUUGUGGAUUAUGGAAGAGGGGACUAGGAAGAUUGAUUUGAUGGUUGAUUAAAGGUUUUGGACCUCCGCCGCCGCCAGAGGUGAUUUCCGGCGCGACUGAGUUUUUAACUCUUGUCUCACAUUCUGAUAACGCGUUUUCAAACAAGAAACAUGAUUGAGAUAUCCAGACAUCUCCCCACUCUAUUGGCCUCCUUGAUAUAGGCUUAGGGCCCUUGGGCCCAUUGAAGUUCCUUCAUAAGCCCACUAUUUCUUGCGUAUACCCCCUCCUGGAUUGACACUGCCUUGUGUUGGGCUUUGCUUUGUCAAGCUCAAUCCAAAUGAUUCAUACAUCCUACUGAUGACAACACACCCCUUGCCUAUUCUUUAUUAUUAUUAUUAUUAAUUGGUUUUUUCAAUAUUCUUUUUAAUAAAAUCUUUUAUCACAUAUUACAUGGAAAAUACUUCGAAUAAUAAUGUUAACACUUAGAUUUUUAGAUUUUAUAUUUUCUUACGAUUUAAAAUACGUUUAGAAUUUUAGAAAUAAUAAUUAGAAUGCACUCUAGUUUAGAGAAUUACCCAUUAAUUUUUUAGAAUAAUCUUCAAUUAGAUUGUAGAAGUUAAAUAACAUGUUCAUUGGAUUUUUGGUUAAAACUUAAUUGUGUAGUUGUGAACUAAUGUUAACCUUAGAGGUUGAAAUACAUGAUUAUUACCUUUUAAUCCCUUUUUUACUUUGGUGCAUGUUAAUGCUUGAUGCUAAAAAUUAAUCAUGAUUAGUCUUAGGAAUUAAUUUUUAAGUAGAAUACAUUAUAAUUUAUUUCCUUUUCUUUUGCUUUUGUUUGUAUGCAUGGGUCAUGGUUGUGAAUGUUGCUUGAUUUCUUCUUACCAUUUGAUUUAUUCUCAUGUGCAUGAUUUAAUUUUAUGUACGGUGUAUGAUUAUCCCCCAUAUUUGGACAAAAUGUACCCCACUCCCAUGAACAUAUAACACUUUUAUCACUUUCCAUUUUAUUCCUCUCAUCACUUGUUAACUAAGAAAUAAUCAAAAGCGAUCUAAAAAGAACAUUUUUCAAAAGAACAUAAAUAAACUCGAUUAAACGUCAAGUGUUUUUAAAAAUCAAAUUCAAUUGAAUAUAACGCAUGUGCUUGAUCCAACGUCAAGUACAUCAUCCAUUUAAUUCACAAUCUUCAUAUUCAACUAGAAACACUUGAUCCAAAAUCAAGUCAUUUUCAAAGUUUUACAAUAAACCAGAUGGAAAAGAAUGGGGUGUACGUACUUGUGCACACCAUUUCUUAAGUACUUGGGUUGUCGACUGUACUUAACUUGUGGCCCAAUGUUUAUCUUCCAUUCAAAACACUUAACAAUAAAUGGCCUUUCCAUUUCACAGUUCCUACGAAAAUACUUAAAUGAAAAUUAGUAAUACAUAAAGACAUACACAAAUAUGGACGCAAACAGAAUCGGACCACAUAAACAUAGUUGCUCACAAACAUCAAAAUAACAAUUUCACAUAACAAAUUAAAAAAAAUCAAACAUAGUUGCUCACAAAACAUCAAUAUAACAACAACCAGAAGAGAAUCAGAGUAGCUCACAAACAUCAAAAUAUGAAGAAGAAAAAAAUGAACACGAACACAAAAGCGAACACAUACUGAAAUAUAAAGUUUCAAACUUUUAUCGGGUAUACCAAUAAGCAUUGCGUUAUAGGCUCAAAAUUAAUAACCUAGAAAAUGAACAAAUACAUGAAUAAUGAAGAAGACGGGACACUUGUUGGUAAAAUCAUUUGCAAAGUUCAUUUUGUUCAACCGGGAUGUUGAGUUUAUUAGUAUCAAAAUGAAAAAAAAUACAAAACAACGAUGAAGUGGAAGAACAAAUAAGAUCGAAAUCAGGCUGGUGCGAAACUAUCAAACGUCACCUUAAGAUUGAGUGGAUGGUGAAGGAGAGAGAAAGUAGUUUAAUAUUUUUGGGAGAAAGUACAAAUUUUUAUUUUAAAGGGAUAUAUGAAAAGGUUGAACUUUGGUUUAUGUGAUAAAGUUGAAUCAGAUAGUGUCUUUGUAACCAACCAAACCAAACCAAGUUGCAAUAUAAGGUAAGAUGGAAGUAAAUAGAAUAACUAGUAACCUAACAAUGCAAAUUAUGGUAGUUUGUUUGCAAAAAGUAAAUUUGGGACACAAAUUAACCUCAAAUUGGUGACAUGGCAUUAUUAUAGACGGGGGAAAGUUGUAUUUUCCACAACAUCUUCUUUUCUUAUAUUAUAGAUGUUUCAUUAUUAAUUUUUAAUAUUCAUGAUGCUUUUAUAAUAUUUUUAGGUUUCAUGCGAAUCACUAAUGGAAGUGUCUUGAGCGUUGAUACUCAUUAAAUAGACCACAAAGAUUUGUUUAAGGACGGAGAAAGGAAUAAAUAAACACGCUUAUAUUUUCCCUUGAUUAUUACUCAAAACCGAGGUAAAACGUGUUUCUUUUUAAAUAAAAAAUACAAAAAAAUAUAUGUUUCAUCCCAAACGCCACAUACCUCUCGAUUUCUAUAAAAAAAAUAAGGGAUGUAAGCUUUUUUAAAAAAUAAAUAAAUUAUUUACACAGAAUAUUAAAAUAAAUUGUUUAAACAAAUCUAGAUUUUAACAAUGGAUUCUUGGAGAACAACAAAUAUUUUCAAGUUAUUCUUGGAGGAUAACAAAUCUUUGUUAUUAUCCAGAUUUUGUUGUCUAUCAUUUGUGUGCAUUCUUUUCAAGUUCAAUGGAUUGUAUGCAUUGUUGAUUGUAAUUUUAAGUGUCGGGUUUUUGUUAUCGUCUCCACGGGGAUUGUGAGAUAUCGCCGCCUUUCGACAGUUGUUUUAAUUCUUAGCUUAAGGUAACAAUGGUUUUUGGUUUUAGUCACGGUANGGUCACAAAAUGGGUAUACCGAGUCGUGUUGAGUCAUGCAUGGGUGUGUGCAUUGCAAUUGAUGUGUUGUUUUGUUGAUGUUCAUGAGUUGUGAUUAUAAUGAUGAUGAUUGAUGAUGAACUGUGUUGACAUGUGUGCAAUAUGUUUAUAUUAUAUUCUGUCGUUAUAUUAUUGUUUAAUAAUGAAAUUCUCACCCCUUCUGCAUGUGUUUAUGUUCAUCUAUGAUGAGCAAUGUGCAGAUAAUGAAGAGUAGCUUUUGUUGAGGUUUGAAGAAUAAGUGUAGAGUUAUUCUACAGAGUCGAGUCAAAUGCUCUGGUCAUGUGACACCGGGGUUAUGGGAUUCGAUAGAUAAACGAGUUAUGAUUUACGUUGUCUAUGAUAUUUAAAUGUUAAGAUAUUUUAUGAAUUGUCAUAUGAUGCAUGACAUAUUCCUGAUGUUGUCCGCUGCGAAAUUUUAGCAAAAUAAAUAAUAAUUUUAUUCUCUGAUGUGAUAAGUAUUAUAUGAUGUGAAAUGUAAACUCUUCUACAUGUUGUACUCUGAUAAAUUAAUUAAAUAUGUCGUUUGGGUAGAAGGGUGUUACAAAAGCUGCACACUAAACCAAACAAAUUACAAGCACAAGUCAAAAAUUUAAAAAUUAAGCAACUAUUGUGAUGCUCGCAAUAUCAAUUCACAAUCCCCGGCAACAGCGCCAUUUUGUUGAUUGUAAUUUUAAGUGUCGGGUUUUUGUUAUCGUCUCCACAGGGAUUGUGAGAUAUCGCCGCCUUUCGACAGUUAUUUUAAUUCUUAGCUUAAGGUAACAAUGGUUUUUGGUUUUAGUCACGGUAUCUUGCAUAAAAGUGUAAGAAAAUGAGGUAAAAGAUUUGGUUUUAAUAUUUGAGAAAUAUUGCCAAAGUUAGGGUUCGACAAUCACUUUGCAUGCAUAUGUUCGAUCAACAAUACUUAUAAACUCCUUUAGAUGAUAAACUAUUUCACAAAGUCCUCCCAAUGUGUUUAUCUCUAACACACAUUGUGGGUUUUCCCAUUUUGAUCCAUUGUUUAUCUCUAACACAAUCUAUCAAAAUGACAACUUUUUGGUUUCAAACUUUAUGGUGAACAAAAUCAUUCAUUACUAUCUCUGCUAACAAAUAAGAUUGGAUGAAAACCUAGGUAAAGAGUGGUUAAACAUCUCUCGAUCUAAACCAACACAAAGAGUUAUCGAUAAAACAAAUUUUUCACCAUAUAUCAUCAUUAAAGAGUUUACAAAUGAAGAUCAUCCCAUUUACAACAAAGCUAAUUGAUAUCUACAUCUAACCUUGACAAAUGAAGAACUUAGCUACUCAUUUUUCAUGGUAGUUUGGCUCACAAAGUUUCGGAAGAAGGUUGAUCAACAUCCGAGUCGAAUAAUCGAGAUGGAUGGGAAUCCACCUUCUUUUUGUGAAAGAUGUUAAGAGAUGAAGAGAAAUGAUAAAAUGGGUUUCUAGGUCACAAAAUGAUCCAAAAGCAAUGCAGGAAAAUAUCUAGAAAAUCUAAGGUGUUGUCCAAAAAGUAGCCCUUGCUACUUAAUACUAUGGUCUGAGCUGUCAUGCUCGCUAGGCGAGCAGAAUGGCUCGCCUAGCGAGCCCCUAAAAUAGGCACCAGAGGCACCUGCGCCCAGAAAUAUCUAACUUCAGACUUCACAUGUUCGCUAGGCGAACAAAACCUUCGCUAGGCGAACAAAACCUUCGCUAGGCGAAGCCCACGCUUCCACCUUCGCUCCAGCGAGCUUAGGAGGUUUUGCUACUGGAAUUGCUCGCUGGGAGGUCGCUAAUGGCUCGCCUAGCGAGUGAGUGCUGGUUGCGCUUUUGACUAAGUCUGAACGUGUUCGCUACCACGUUCGCUGGCUGCUCGCCUAGCGAGCAUGCUGAUGAAUGCUUUCUUUUUCUUGGUCCCUUGCCAUUUUCUUAUGCCUUCAUUUUCAAUUAUUUCAUGCCUAAUUCCUGCGCAGUAACACACAAAUCAAAGGUACCAAGAUCAUUUAACAUUGUAUUGCGAUUCAUCUAAAACAAAGGCGGUUUCGAACGCUUUAGCAACAAAAAGGAGUGGAAAAUGCCCACAUUUGAUAGCUCAAAUAAGCACUUUUGGGCAUCUAACAUGCAUCCAAUUUUUGAUAAGUUAUUUGUUCCUACCAUGAUAAUUUAUUUUUAAACUUGCAAUCCAUCCUAGAGAUCUGUUCAAAGAUUUCAUUAUCUUGAGCAAAUGUUUUCAUGACAAAUGCUUUCACAAGAAAGAUAACAAGAUACACGUACCUGCAAUUUACAACAUGUUUAAGAAUAAAUUCCUCAAUAUUGUCAACCGAGAAAAACAAUAAAUCUUGGAGUGUUUUCUUUGAUUGACAACAUAGGAAGGUUAUUCCAAAAAUAAAAACAACAACAUUAACACCAUUAUAUUAUGAUGGAUGUAAGAGCAGAAAAAAUAUUGACAAAAUACCCUUUUUGGUCCCUUAACUAUGCCCUUAGGUUUAGAUUAGUCCCUUAAUUUUUUUCGUGUCAGAUUGGUCCCUUAACUCUUUAAAACUUAUCAUGUUAGUCCUUUUCGUCUAAUUGGCGACAGAAAAAUUCAAAAAUCGGUCGCUAAAUCCGCCGCUAAUUAGGCAAAAAGGACUAACUUAACACAUUUUAAAGAGUUAAGGGAUCAAUCUAACACAAAAAAAAAAUUAAGGGAUCAAUCUGAACCGAAGGGUAUAGUUAAGGAAUCAAAAAGGGUAUUUUACCAAAAAUAUUUUAUUCAAGAUAGAAGAACAUCAAAGAUUUUUCCUGUCUUGCAAUCCAUCCCAAAGCCUGAUGCAUACAAGUUUGGAGUGACUACAUAUAAGUUAGGUUUAUGAUAAAAUCUGAUUAGCGAAUGCUUUUAUAUUAAAAUUUGAUUAUGUAAUCCCUCAAUUAUUAAAGAUAAUUAAAGGAUUAGAUCAUUAAUUUAUAAAAAAAGAAAGAAAGACACCACUUUUAAAGAAAUAAAAAUAUAAACUGCUAUUGUUGGGAUUCGAAGCAUGUCCGGUCUGUAAUUAUUUUCCCUUCAAUUAUAUUUAGAAACCGAGGAAUUAUGUGGUAUUUAAUUUUUUUAAAAAUAAAACAUAGCGCGUCUUGGUUAUGUCGAUUUUUUGUUGGGUGGGUGAAAGCUUUGUCAUAAAAUAUAUUAUUUGUAGUAGUGUUCUUGUGGAAGUCCAAUAGUUUAAUUACCCCGUAGGGUGACAAGGAUCUUCUUGUGGAAUUUCAACAAUUUCAUUACCCCAUAGAACGACCAGGAUGUUCCUAUCGAAGUCCAACAAUUUAAUUAUCCCGUAUGACGGCAAGGAUCUUCAUAUAGAAGUUUAACAAUUUAAUUACUCUAUAUGGCAGGAAGGAUCUUCCCAUGAAAGUUCAAUAGUUUUAUUACCCCAUAGGGUGGCAGGGAUCUUCUUGUGGAAGUCGAACAAUUUAAUUACCACCGUAAGGCAAAAAGGAUAUACUUUUGGAAGUCUAUCAAUUUAAUUAAGGCGACAAGGAUCUUCCUGUGAAAAUUCAGCAAAUUAGUUUCGACAGUCAAACCAUAAUAACUUGUUAAAAAUAUCUUAAUCUUUUACAAGAGUUUUCAUACAUAGGCUUUGUUGCACGAUACUCUUUGAGUUCCUAAUAGAAGAUUCAAGGUAUCUCUUCUCUUGGUGAACUUGACAAGUGUCUUUUGAAGAUCGAAAAUUUCAUUUUUCAAAGUAUCACAUUCAUUAUACUUGUCAAGUUCAAUUUGUCUUUUUGUAAGGAUUUAUAUUUAUUUCUCAAGGUUUUUAUUUUUAAGUUCAAGAGAGGAAAUAAUAUCCUUGGAUGUGGAGACAAUUUGUUCCAAUUUGUUUGUUUCUUUUGUUAGUUUCUUACAAAUGCAAAAAACAUUAUGAUAAGAAAAGUAUGAGGUUACCUCAUAAUCUUGAUGAUUUACCAUGAGAUAGAUAUUGGCUUCUUCUUCAUUGUAUGAGGUUUCCAUAUCACUGUCUUCCCAUGAAGCAUAAUCUUUCUUUCCAUUUUUAUGAGUUUUCUUAUAUUUGUUUUUAUUUUUAGUUUUUUGCUAAGGGAAAUUUUGGCCCGAUUUGUCUUUUGUUUCCACAUAAGUAACAUGUUGGGAUGAAUGAGGCUUUCUCCCUAUCAUUGUCUUGUUCCUCUCUUUGUUUCUUUUCAUGCCUCAAGAAUCUUUUGAAGUUCUUUACUAUAAGGGACAUGUCACUGUUAGAGUCAGAUUCCUCUACUUUGAGUGCUAGACUUUUGUUUUUCUUUUCUCGUUUAUCAUCUAUGACAAGUUUUUUAAGUUCCAUCUCGUGUACAUGUCAUUUAAAAAAAAUAUUUGUGUGUCCAUAGUUGCUAAAUCCUUAAUGAUUAUUGGGUUUCCAACUACGGUUUAGGCAUCUAAGAAUUUUUACAACUAGUUCCUCGUUUGAAAGUGUUAUUUCCAGAGUUCUCAUAUGACAUAUGAUAUGGGUAAAUUGCCACUACUACGUAAAUGCUCUUUCACCACUGUGGAAAAAGAGAUACGAUCAUAUGACCGUGAUGACAAACUAUGUCGCACGCUACAUAUCACAAAGGUUAUCUCAAACAACCGUGGUGAAAUAUAUUAAGGUCGUGGACUUGAUUCCCAACCAUAAUAUGAUAUAUAAUAAUUGACAUUCUAGCUAUCACCAUAGUGUCUUAUUAUCUGUGGUAAAAUACUUUUUUUAAAAAUAUUCUUUUUAAUUAUUCCAUUUAUGUCCCCCUUUUUAGUACUUAUACGCUAUAUUUUACCACAAUAAAACCAACAAAUAUGCAUAUUUUUGUAACCAAAAUAUGACUAUAAAAUAUUUCCAUCAAACUCAAAAAUACAACAAAUAUAUAAUUAUAAAAUAUAGCUAUACCAAAAUGUAACCCGCCUAAAUAUUAUUUACAUUCAACAUAAAAAAAUAAUAAACUUAUAUUACAAACUUAUGUAUGAUCAACCUUACCUAUAAAACGUAUUGAAAAAAAAUAUCAAACAUGCAUAAACAUCUUUAACGUCUUUUUCUGAUAAUGAUGUAGUGUUACUAAAAAAUACAAUAAAAAAUACACAACUAAUAUUUGUUAUUAGUAAAAAGACACAACAAAUACUAUAAUUUUGUUGAUUAAUAUAAAAAAUAUUAAUACGACACAAAUAUUUAUCAUUGAAGCAUAAAAAAAACACAAGAUAAAUAUUUGAAUGACAAAAUAAAUCCGCUUCAAAUCAAAUACAAAUAUAAAUCAAAUAAAUUUUUCAUAAAAUAAUAACAAGAAAAUUUGCACAAAAAUAAUUAGAGGAUGAUGUCAUAGAACUAGAUCCAGAAUCCAUUAUGAUAUAAGAAAUAUAAUAUUUUAUUAAUAUGAUAAUAAGGCAUACAUGAGAACAAUGCUACAACAACACAACAUAAGCCAUAUAUAAUAAUUCAAACACGUUUAAAGGAAGUGAGAUUCCUUAAGUGUUUCAAUGGCUGAUCCGACACAGCAGCUUCAUAAUUGUUAGAAGAUGAACCGUCUUUGGCAGAAAGAGUGAGGUGGUAGUUGGUCCCAGCAACAACCUGUGAUUCACCUUUGAUAAGUUUCUCAAACUCCAAUGUUGCUCCUUUUUGUUUGUUGUACUCGACAACUGCGAAACGGGCUAUUUCAAUCACAUAUGGAUCAAUGAUGUUCUUUAUGGGAGUCCAACCGCCUAGUAUAGCUUGAUUCAGAGUGGCCGAAGCAAACAAAAUAAGGAAGAGGAGACUUAGGGAUUGAAAUCUCAUGAUGUCUGUUAACUUGAGAAAUCAAGAUGGUGUGAGUAAAACUCUGUGGUGUGGAGUAGUUAUAUAUAAUGUACAAAAG
rnacentral:lncRNA from 1 species